rnacentral:lncRNA from 1 species
AAAGCAGGGGUUUCGGUCGGUUUUACCUACUAUUGGAUUUGAACCAAUGACUCUCGCCGUAUGAAAGCGAUACUCUAACCGCUGAGUCAAGUAGGUCAAGCUGAGUCAAGUCACCCUAUAAGAGAAAGCCGCGCAACCAAAGUAGCCCUUACUAUACAAGGGGGGCGGAGCGUUAAGAAAGAGAAAGCGUUAUCACUAUACGAAAUGAAGCAGCGGCUAGCACGCUAAGCUAAGAUCAACCAAUGUUCGAACGCGGAGCCUUUCUUUCUCGGUCGUCUGUCUUAAUCUUAAUAAGCGGAUUCCGAUUCAUGCAGUCCUUCUCUGCUGCAUUGGUCUUUUCACUCCCCACUCUCCACCAUAAAAAAAUCUUUCCACUAUAUCUCAGGAGUAGUCAAAGGAAGUACGGCGGGUCCGAGUAGGAAUAAAUUGAUUAAGAAGUAGGGCAUACAACAAUGGAAUGGAUCAAUUCAUUCAACAAGAUCUGUUCGGAUCAGACCAGGAUGAAUGGGAUUGGUCUGACCUCUCGCUCGGAUGUAAGACUCCCGCCGCUGACAGAUGUCCCAUGCCACCUUUCGUGAACAGCUAUGCCCGAGAAUGCAUUGUGAUAUAGCGCCGAAUAAGCCACAGCUCUAUUCCCGACUCGAAAUCCAUAAAGGACUUUAAGGGAGAUAAAAUAGGGGGCCCUAUACCAUACAUCCUGCUGCCUUGGGACGACUGCACGUUACAUCAUAGCAGCACGACCAAAUGGAGGUGGAAAGCCCUUGUAUAGGUUGGGCGCUAGCUAGCGCCUUCCUUAUACUAAUAGAAAAUGUUGGGCCUUCCCCUUAUUUAUUAGUAUUAGUCAAGUUGCUCGAGGACUUCUACUGGGAAUGAAAGUUCCCUAUUAUAGGAUCCCUAGUAAAGCCAAUUUAAUGAUGGCCGCUUAUCUGAGUAAGAAGACGAUGGCUCCUAUUAUUGGUGAGCGAUCUCCUCUACACGUUAUCUUUGGGCGUUUUACUCUCUUUCAAAGAGAUGACUAUUCAAACCGAUGACUAUUCGGAUGCACGUGCUUUGUGAAAAUUCCAUCUCCUGCACAAGACAAACUGAGCCCUACAUCUCACUCUAUGUGUUUUCUUGAGUGAGGUUGGGGUACCCCUCUCUCAAAAGGGCUACAAGUGUUAAUGAUCCUUCUACACGACGAUUCCACCUUUCUCGACAUGUCACCUUUUUCGAACUUACUACGGAGCUCGGGGCUUUGAGAUUCCCUGUGAUGGUGGGCCAUUAUGUUCCCCUGUCUCCCCUUAGAGGGGAGGGGUGGAACUAUUGAGGAGUUUAUGUGAGACAGCAUCAGAAUUCUCCGAUUUAAUAGAGUCAGCAAGAUCCGGGUGACCAGAGUGAUCAGCUUAAGGGGAAGUUUCGCAGGUUUGUGAAGACAGAUUCUCGUCACUCAGUUUUCGGAGCUGAGCCAACUGAUUCAGUGGUCUCCCUCUCUCCCUAUACUUCGAACCAAGACUCUUCUUCAGACUUAGGUUCUCUAGCUUCUAUUCUCGGGGUACGUAGAUCCACCCGUCUUCGUUUUCCUAUUCAUAGGUUUGUAUCAACUAAGUCUCUGUCUACUUCCCACGAGUAUUUUUUGCAAUUUCAUCCAUCUUUUUUAACCCGAUACCUUUGCAGAGGCCAUAUCUCAACCCUGCUGGCAGCUCUAUGCAGAAAGAGAUCGUAGCACUAGAAUGGUUUGCUACUUGGGAUUGAGUCUCUCUUCCUCUAGGGAAAGAAGCCAUUGGCUACAAGUGGGUCUAUAAAGUCAACAAAAAGCUGAUGGAGCAGUUGAGGGGUUGAAGGCUAGAUUGGUGGCCAAAGGAUACACACAAGAGUAUUGAGUCGAACCCCUUUCCUUACAGUCAAGUGGCCCAGGGGCCCCCUUUAGAGAUAGGGGAAAGAUUUGCCCCAGCUUGGCGAAUCGCAUCCCCGCGCAACGAAUUGCAUUGCCAACCUCCUGAUUGUCUUCUUAUCAUUUUCCGUUGCAUGUUUGGGAUACGUUUGGUGUUCAAUAUAUUCCCUGAUGUCAGUAAACCAUGGUUUACCGUUGGGUGCCCUUUCAAUGGCCAAAAGAUCCCUAUUGAACAUGCCGGGAGUCCACUCAAAAAUUUCUAUUAGGUUGCAAUACACCGGGCUGCUUCUUUGUUCUAUCAUGAUUGGGCGGACUUUCCCUCAGGAAUGUUUAUCAUGGAGGCCAGUGUUGCCAAUGCAUCCGCGAACUUCUUUUUUCUCUGGGUAGUGGAGAGAAACUUAUUUUCUUGAAUUGCUCAGUGAGCUUUUCAAGAUAAGCAUGGUAUGUCAAAAGUUUUUCAUAUUUGGUUUUUCAUUUCUUUUGAGUUUGGCAGAUGAUAAGCGUCGAAUCCCUAAAUACUUCGAUUUCUUAUAUUCCCAGGGUCAAGGCAGUCUUUAAUCCAUGGAUACAUGCUUCAUCUUCAGUGGUAUUCUUAGUUCCUUAAAAGUUCCGCUUAAUGGCAAUGGGGGUGUGCGAUUCAUCAGGUGCAAUCAGCAAUGCCCCUACUCCGUACCCAUUUUGAUUAGUCGUGCCAUCAAAGUCAAAUUUCCAUGCCCUCCUCUCCUUACAGUCAAGUGGCUUUCAGCUCCUCUUCUGUGACAGCUAUUUCCUCGUCUGGGAAGCAAUCCUUAAACUCAUGUUCCUCCUUGAUAGGGUGCAAGGUGUUCUGCUAUCGCCCUUCCUUUUUGGUUACAUACGUGAUGUCGAAUUCAGACAGAAGCAGUAACCAUCUUGCGGUCCUUCCCGUUACGUUAAGGCGGGUUUCUCGAACAAAUACUUUUUUUGUAGGUCCAUGGAAGCUAUUAAAUGUACUGGGUAAGACAGCAUGUAAUGCCUCAAUUUCCGCCUUACCCGCCAAGCAGGUUUUCUCAAAAUUGGUAUACCUGGUCUUGUAGUCAGUCAUUUUCUUACGUUGGUAGUAUAUGGCCCUUUACUUCCGUCUGUCUUCAUCGUAUUAAGCCAACAUAGACCCCAUAGUGGUUUCAGUGACCGAUAGGUAUAGUAAUAAAGGCUUCCUGGCGUUGUAGGCACUAGAAUGGAAGUAUUCCUUUAUUUUGUCAAAAGCUUUCUGUUCAUCCCAUUUUCCUGCGAAAUUUUGAUUUCGAAAUUUUUGUAUCGGCUCGCAAGUGGUUAUACAAGAGAAAGUCAAAGUCUGAUGGGACUAUUGAUCGCUACAAGGCUCGCGUGGUAGCCAAAGGCUACAACCAGCAAUAGGGUAUAGACUAUGAUGAGACAUUCAGUCCAGUUAUCAAGAUGGCAUCAAGGGCGAUUAGGUGUGACUUGCUUGAUAAGGGAAAGAGAAGACGUCCCUCAAAGCCCCAUUAACGCAAAACAAGUCGAUUCCUGCGUUUUUCAAUUCCCAGAAGCUCUUAGCUACUCAGCUAUACUAUAGGCUCUAAAGGCAUUACUUGACUGAAAGAGUGCUUAUAUUAUGGGGGCUUCCCUUUCCAACAUCUGACUUAUAUACAGGUCAACGUCGACUUAAGAAGCACGAAAAAAAUUAGCUCACUCGACUGAAAGGAGAGGGAUGAGAGUAGUCUUUUUCCAAUAGGCUGGCUGCCUAUUGCAGGAGUUCCUGACCUGAAAGGACACCAGCAAGCUGCUACUGAAUGUGAACAAAGUCAAGGAGAUGGAAUCAACUCAAUAGAAUUAGGUUUUUUUAUGACUGCUGAAGUGACCGAACGAAAUGUUGGAUUGAUUCAAUACCGAAUCCCAGAUCUCCAUAGACGACUAAUGGUAGGGGCUGCAUUUUUAGGAAAGAAAGAUAGUGGCAAAAGGAUGUUAAUCAAAAACCGACGUCUCAUGCCGACCCCGUCUGCAGUUGCUACUACACUGUUACAUCCGGAUAAAGUGACCCGUACUGGUGGAAUAAUUGCAAUGCGACUAUACCGCCUGCUGAUAAAGGGAAGACAGUAUACCAAGCUUGUCCCAGCAGCCAGGUUUGGUCCUCCGGGCAGCAACCCGGCCGGUAUACACCCCACAGAGGAAAUUGGGCUGUGAGGUGAGUAACUAUAUUCAACAAUCAUUUGCCAACAUCGUUCCUAAGCCCUACUAAGUAAGGGGGGAUGUGUUCAGUCCCAAGCAUCUUCGUCAAUACUCCAUCUGCCCCCCGCCGGGGGGUUAAGGGGGAGGAUGUCAAAACCUUACCCAUAAAAAAAAAGUACAUAGACCUGCUCACAAAGAGCUACAAGACAGCCAAAAACAUUACUGCUAAUAAAAUGAAAGUGAACAAAGCCAAACCAAUAUGAUAUUCAAUAAGCCCACUUUUUUGAGAGAAAAAACCUGAAUUUGUUGAGGAAGAUCGGCUGUAGAGGAAAACCUAUAGUCAAACUGAGAAUCGCAGCCGAAGUUUGCUAAAGAGUCUGCCACUUUGUUGUUUUCUCUAAAUGUAUAGACGAUUUUGAAAUGGCCAGCCGAUAAUUUGGAUGAAAUGAAGCUCCACCAUGAGUCUAGGUAUGGGUAAUUUUAGGGGCUUCUUUAUUUUCAUUGAAGCACAAUCAACAAUGAUUUUGGAGUCAAUUGCGAGUUUACGAGCUUGAUGAAUGUAGAGCGCAUCCAGAAGAAUAGAAUCAGUAAACGUCCAAGAUGAUCUGAUGUCAAGAAGCUGAGAACAGUCUUUCAGCCAGUCAGUAAUUUUUUGAAUAAUAGCAGCCGGUUGAGAUAUUGGGUUUUCUAAUUUACUGCUAUUGCCUUCCUUCCAGAGUUCCCAAACUGAAAAAAUAGUAAGCAUAGACGUGACGUAGCCAACUUGGGAUUUCCUGCGAGAUCUGUUAAACCGCCGGGACUGAAUGGAAUCCGUUUGGAAGGAUCUUAUAUUGAAAAGGCGAUCAAAAUGGUUCCAAACCUCCAUAGCAAGCUCACUCUUGAUGAAGAGGCGAUCAAUACUUUAUUUAUCAUGCUCCGAACAGCACAAGCAUUUGCUUGCUAAUCUUAUACCUUUCGUCUGAAUUUUUUCCCUUAACUGAUUCUGAAAUCCCCGCAUACAAAGUCAAAUAAGAGCUUCCACGCAAAAAUGCUAAUUAUUGUAGGAAUGGCUUUAUCCCAGACAAAUUGAGUCCAAGCUUGAAUGCCCGUUCGAUUUCUUAUCGAUUCCCAACCAGCUUUGAGAAUAAAUGACUCACUACGAUUCUUUUUCCAUAUCCCCCUAUCCUCCUGAUGAGAUGUGAAUAUACCACUAUUCCUGAUAUCAUAAACCACUCUGUGAGGCAAAAAUGCUUCGAUAUCAUUGAAAAAGCAGUUUCCAUGUGCGUCAAGCACAUCUAUGAUUUUAAAUAACUAGUAAAGGAGUUGGCCUGGUCAAUAAGAGGGAGUCAUACUUUGGACUGCUUUUUUCAAAAGAAACUAUCUGAAAGCCCCUAUGGUUUGCUGCUUCCAAACCUGGUUGUCAGGACUUGGAGUGAAAUCCGUUCUAUUUUCAGGCAACCCCACCAAUACUUAAGGGCUAAAAAUGGCGGAUUGGAAAUGGAGCUAGCACUGAUUUCUGGUUCCACCCCUGGCUCUCUGAUAUUCUUCUCAUUGAAAGUACCCCCCUCUUAUUGACCAGGUAAACUUCAUACGAAAAGCUUUUGAAAGCUCUUGAAAAUGUCUUGUAGUAGGAGGACCCAAAGCCCCUUCCUGAAUAGGUAGGCACAUAGUAUCAAAAAAUAUCCAGUGAAGCUUUCUUUUGUCUUCAUCACCGCCUCCCCAAAAGUUAGCUAACAUUUUUUCCAACUGGUCAAGAACUCCCUUUGAAACUGGAAUCCCUGCAAGAAGGUGUAUAGGCAUCGAGAAAAGAACAUGUUUGCAAAAUCCACUGGAUAACAAUGCUUUCAUCUCCUACCACUUUAUUUUAUACUCUAUCCAGAAGAUGAGAAUUUUUUUUUUUUAGAUUUAAAUAGAGGUAGUCCUAGAUCAAAAUAUUAGGAAUCAAAGCAAGGAAAGUAGCAUUGAUGGAACGGGGGAUCGCACCUUCAGCGAAGAAAUAAGGUGACCGGCUGGAAGUUUUUGAAAUCCCAACAAUAUUUUCUAUAUAAAAAGAAUCCGGAAAGCCUGAUGGCUUUAAAGGAUAGGGGAGACCUUUUUUUGGGUUAGUGCGCGCCGACAUGCUAAAAAUUACCUUUUAAACUUCUUCCAUAUUAGGAGGGCUCGUAAGCAUCUUAUUAUCUUCCUCUGUGACUAGAGAGGGGAUGGUCUCAAGGAUCUCAUCUUCAAGCACCGAACCUUGAGAAGAAAGUAAUGUAUGAAAUAAAUUGAGAGCUUCCUGCCAUACAGAGACAAGUUCUGAAUUUGGUUCAAGGUGCUUAUUCUCUAUCUUUCUUCGUAAAGCAGAAGUUUUUCAAGGUUACUCUUGGCCGAAUCUAACUCCAUUUUCUUAUCAGCAGACCAACUCUGUUCAAGAGCAAAUUGGCCUUCUUCGUUUUCGGCAUUUCUAUAUUCUGAAAUAGUUCGCCAAUUCAGUGCUUUAUUUGUCGAGUCAAUCUUCCUGGAGAAGACUUGAAAAGGAUUUCCCGAGCAUGGUUGAGAUCAAUGUAAUGCCGAAUCCACAUUCUUUGGAAACGAAAGACCCCAGGCCUGCGAGUAUUAUAAUCUUCUAAGAAGAUUACUAGAGGAGAGUGAUCAGAGGAUACUCUAGGCAAAUGGUCAACUCUGGUGGAAGCAAAACGGCUUUUAUAUAGAAGCGGGCAGUCCCCAUUCAAAAGGAUUCUAUCUAGUCUGGCCCAGAUACAAUGUUGACCGGUUUGAUUAUUGCUCCAAGUCAAUUUGCUGUCAUUGAAAGCCCAAUCAAAUAAUCCAAACGAGAAAAUCAUAUCUUCAAAGCUCAUCACUUCAAUAAAGGCAUUGAAGUCAGGAGGCCGACCCCCAAGUUUUUUCUAAUGGAUCCGCAAUUACAUUAAAGUUCCCCCUACUAGCCACGGGAAGUUAAUGCAAGUCGAUAGGUCCUUCAAUCAUCGAGUACACUAUCGACUUCCCACACUUAUCAUGACAACAUCACCGAUCUUUGGCGCUUAUGGGGGGCCCUAUCAUACACAUGCACCACCAGAGUCUUCAUAAGAACUCUGGGGCGAGGGCCAAGGUGAACCCGGAUUAACGAUGAGAAGCGGUCAAAUCAGUAGCAAAGGCACCAGGACGGACGGUUGGUUGAACCGGGCGAUAGCUUCGCGAUCGAUAGCUCAGUGAGGUACGCCACCCGCCCUACUUCUAAUGAUAGAUAGAAAGGGUGGGAGAGGGGCUGAGGGACGGCAAAGGUACAAAAACAAAAACUACAUGACAUACGUACGUUAAAUGGUAGGCCCAUUACGAACAAUCAUUAAGGCGGUCUCCAAUCUCGCUCGGCUCGGGGCGAUCACUUGAACAGGGCGGGAUUGAUCGAUCUACAUCCAAAAUUCUGGCUUCCCUUCCCAGGAGCGCAUCUACAGAAUAAAGAGAGCACGCACCACACUCCUACUAUACCAGGGCCUUUAGCUUUCACUGAGAAGAAGAGAUUACUUCCAGCUAGCUUUUUUCCCUAACCCUAACCAAUGAAUGAUAGGCCGGCUUAGGAUAAUUGAAAACGAAUUCACUUUCAGUAAUCGGAGGCAGGUCAGGGGCCGGCGGGCACGCCCCCAGCUUCUUAAGUUUGGGAAUUGUGCCGGACCAAUGCUACGAGCUUCCGGAAUCCAAUGGAAUCUUCGUAAAGUCGAUCAUUACGAGUGUUACGAUUCAUUCGAUUGGCAGGUCCAAUCGAUUCAUAGCCUCUCGAGCACAACCCAUAUUCAUGCAAGGAUUGGUGAUUGAGGAUCCAUACAGAGUUUUAUGAAAUAUCUUAGAGAUCAAAGAACAGAUGCUUUCUUCAGGAAAUAUGAAUACUUUCAGGUAGGGACAAGCCCUUUUUUGGCGUUGAAUCGGGUCAGGAAGAACAAGUUGUUCCAGCUCCGGGGAAAAGAUUCAUCUUCCAAUUUUCCCUUCCUUCCAAUUCCAAUAUUUUGCAUUUUCGCUUCCCUCAUUCCUUUUAUUGAGCAUAAUGAUGCGAAUCGGGCUUGUUGUAUUUAGUAUACAGCGUCAAGCAGUUCCGCUUUCCCCUACCGAUGAUGUGCCGAGAAGUGCAUUGUUGGAACUGGGUUGGAACUUAAGACCAUAAGCUCUAGAUUUUUUGGUUUCCGCUAUAGCCGAACACAAGGGAAAGAUCAUUUUUUUUUACCGGAAAAGAUCGUUUUAUCAGGUAAUGGGUACACUAUAAGCAUUCCUUUGGUUAUGUAUUAUGUAUAAGCCUUCCAACAAACAGAAAGACUUGUAUGCAUCAGGUUCAUAGGGGUAAAUACAUUCAAAAGGGAGAAAUUUUAGCGGCUCAUAUUUCAAAUAAAGAUCGCCGCGUGGAAAACUCGUUUUUUUGGGGGGUUGUCCCCACUGGUUUGCGAAAGCAAUGGGAGACUUGCUCCAUAGAACCCCCCCAGAGACUUUCGUCCCCAGUAUUCUCUAUGGGCAAAGGCGCUCAGGUGCGCUUAAAGUCUUAUUGCCUAUAUCUUAUCUUAAGACGAGGUCGCCACCCCGCCUGCUUUAGUCUCAAAUAGGGCGCAAAUUGAGGUGAACAGACUGGACCGAACCUCCCUACGUCAAGAGCUUUUGGCUCUUCACAAGAGAGCACCAGGUCGUAACACCGGAAGACUGCGCCGUUAUUAGUUAUUAUUAAAAUGAUAUAAUUUAUUUGUAUGGUUAGUCACCAGUGGCACAACCUACGGGCUAAGUAGCGCCUCAAUGGGAGUCUUUUUUUCCUCCGCGAUAGUGUAAUACCAAGACCAGUAAGAGAGAAAGGACUUCAUCCAUUCGGACAAAACCCAUGCCCCCCUAACCAGUCGUACUCUGACCAGGCUUCGAAAAACUUCGAGAUCACUGAGUUUCUCGGGAAUCGAGGGGUCAAGAGCCUAAUCAGGUCCCCUCACCAUACCUUGUUGAUAAGAGGUUAAGUGUUUACCAGUGGUUGCGCUUAACCAGAUCCAAAAGGGGAGAGGACACACACCGUUCGGUGAGUGAAAGACGAGGAAAUGCCGAUUCCAGUGUCUCCUAGGAGGCGCCGUGCGUCGAGUAUACACCCGGUACCCAGCUUCCCGUAAACGAUACGACAAUGGAAGAUUCUUAGACAUAAUAGCCCUCAUUACAGGAACAAGGGAUAUGGAACUAACUAAGGAUCUUAACAUGUGACAGGAGACAGGAAAAAAGUCCUUAGUCACUCCGCGUACGAAGAACCGCUUAGCAAACUCCAAAGCACCAACUGACGAUACUAACGAUUUCUCUAACGAAAAUGGAACAUUCAGUGGCGGAAUUAGCUCGCGAUAACGCUCAGCCACCCGCUCAUCUCCGAUGACGAUAUCGUCGCCGAGGAUAGCGUAGCGUGUAAAAGGAACUCCUGGAUAUACUUGGGCUGCUACGAACCAAAUCACCAAAUGGUGAGUUAAUGCGAAAGCAGGCCAAGCUCCGUAAAGGCCCAACGGGGCUCCUAUUACAAAACGAACUCUACCUCGAGGGUGGAUGUAAUUCAGCUCGACCUACAGGGAGAGGAAGCCGACGACGAGAAUUUCGAAUCGUCAGAAAAGAGUAGUAGGUAUACUUUAACAAUAGUCUUGUCCACAAGCAAAUCAAUGUUCGGCAGCGGAAAAUCAUCUUUGGGAACAUGCUUUAUUGAGAAAAAUAGAUGCAUACGCGAACACGUCCAUCCCUCUUGGGCAUGGGGACGAUGUUCGAAAUCCAAUCAGAAUAAUCUACUGCCUUAAUGAAAUCAGUAUAAUAGUAACAAGACAGCUGAAGAGAGGAUGACGUAGACAAGAAUCAACCUCUUCCCGGUGAGGUUUUGAUGUAUCGCAGAAUCCGAAAAGCAGCUUCUAAGUGAGAUGAUCUCGGCUUGUCCAUAUAAAAAUCGGCUGAUCACUCCCUCCUAUGUUGUAAGUGUAAGCAAUGUCUGGGCGAUAAUUAGUCAGGUAGAAAAGAGUCCCAACAAGUCUCCUUGCAAGUAGAUGGGUCAUCCAAUAGCUCUCCUGCAUCUGAGGCUAAUUUUAUAUCUUAUUCCGGUUUGCAUGCAGAAAGACCAGCUUUUGACAAUAAAUCCAAUGAAUACUUGCACUGGGUUCCAAAACUCUUUGCGACCUCAUCACUUUAAUCUCCAGAAGAGACUUUGAGUCUCCUAAAUCUUUCAUAUCAAACUGGGUUCUUAAUCUUCUCUUAAGCUCAUUUAUCGAAGCUAAGUCAUUACUAGAGAAAGCAAUGUCAUCCACGCAGAAGAAGGACAAUACCUGAUGUCGACCUCCUUAUAAACAUUGAAUGAUCCGAUUUACUUAUUUGAAAACCGGCUCCUUCCUCUACUCCUAUUUCGGCUCUUAUACAUGCUGCUGUCACCUUUCAAACCAAGCUCUUGUGCCUGCUUUAGCUUGCCGGAGGCCGUAACAUAAAUCGCUUUCUUGAGCUUGCAUACCAAGUUAGGAUUCCUAGGAGAAGAGAAGCCUGGAGUUGGAGGAGGCUGAAUAGAAACUUAUUCUUGCCCCCUUCCCUUAUGUUGUUGAAAGGCAUUCUAUUCUGCACGUCAAAUUGAAAUAAGGCCACCUUUUGAUUGCAGCCAAGGCAAGAAUGCCACGAAUGGUGUUUAGCAACCUGAAGCAAAUGUUUUCCCUAUCUCUAAAGGGGGCCCUUGGGCCACUUGACUGUAAGGAAAGGGGUUCGACUCAAUAUUCUUGAAGGAAUCCUUUAGCUACUAAUCUAGCCUUGUAUCUAUCUACCGAGCCAUCUGCUUUAUGCUUGAUCUUGUAAAUCCACUUGCAGCCAAUGGCUUCUUUCCCUGCAGGCAAUGAGACUAAGUCUUAUUAUUUUUUUCCUGGGCAUUGAUUUCUUCCUGUAUAGCAUCUCUCCAGCAAGAAUGAUUGGAGGCUUCAGCAAAUGAUUCAGGUUCAUGAGAAGAUUGAACUGAGAUGAGGUAAGCUCGAUCUUUUGUUUUGGGGAAAACGAUUCAUAAGCCUUCAACAGGAUAAGAAACUUGAGAGGAUCGACGAAGCUGAGAGCGGGAUCCAGAAUUUUAGGAAGCGACUGGAAGGGAAGCAACUGGGCUAGACUGCUGAUCUUCUGGAGUAGCCUGACCCUGGGAAAGAGGCUGUAAUCGCCGCCGAGAAUAAACAUGCUGUGCCGGGUGACAGGAAUCCUCUGAGGUCAGCUGAACAGGCUGACAGUCGGCAGAAAAUGCUGAGCAAAGCUGCUGGCCUGAAGAGUGCGGCUAAUCCGUAACAUCAACUGCAGAAGAAUGAGGUUCGAGUUGAUGAACAGGAGAAGGCCGCAAUACAUCUCCAUCAUCAUUCUCCCCCGGGGCUGAUUAAUUAGGUUAAGGAAAAUAUGAGGCGACCCUAUUAAAGAGAGCAUUAAGGAUACAUCGACUCUCUUGGAUUUCACGUCAUAGCAUAUAUAUACCCGGACUGAGCAUAUUCAAGAAAGACACAAGUGGUUGCCUUGGGGACAAUUUUUCUCUUAACUGCGCAGGAAUAUGAACAAAACACGUGCAUCCAAACACUCGCAAAUGCCUAUUAUAGUACUGCCCCAGUAAGAAGUUCAUGAGGUGCCGCUGCAGCUUGGAUUAUCGUAGAAUAAGAGGAGCCGUCUUAGGAAAUGACUUAACUUAAAAGACAGAUGCCGCCGCUGCGAGGCGAGGGAGCAACUUGUCUGGUCUUGCGGUGCACUCAUUCCCGUUACGAGAAUGAAAUGACGCCCCAGCUUGACUCGAGACCAAGACUCCUUACAACUCGCACCAAUCGCGGCACUGAGCGGCCGGAGAUUGAUUGAAAAGGCAGGCCCAGCCGACCCUCUCCCCCCCUAACCGCCUAUCUACUCGUGUUCGUAGCCGGAGGUCAAGACUGUGGUCCGGCGGAAAAACAGAAGUCGUCCGUAUCAAUUGAUACGUGAAUUGCUCAGUAGUGCUUCGCCACUACCCUAGCUGGCGGAAAUAGCUUAAUGGUAGAGCAUAGCCUUGCCAAGGCUAAGGUUGAGGGUUCAAGUCCCUCCUUCCGCUCCUGGCUUCGUCGUUUAGUGGUAACAAGUGGAGUGCAUAAGCCACUUUAGAGAUAGGGGCGAGCAGCAAGCAGCCCCUUGUAUAGGGUUCCAACCCUAUCUGACUCCUAAGAAGUUGCUGGCUUUUCAUCAGCCGUUGCGCGCUAGCGCGCUAGCCUUUUCCCAACCUAGUAAAGGGGCUGCUAGUUGUAGCGCGCAGUGUACUAGUGAAUAGGAAAAGCGAAUUGAGAUUACUAAUGACGGAUGGAGGUUGAGGGUAGAACAUGUUCGGUGCCUCGCCCUUGUCUCCUUCGCCGUAGACUGAAAAUGAUGGGAAUCCUAUCGAGAAAGAAGAAGCAUAAGCAUCGCCUCUCGAUCCAAUCCAUCUUCCCUGGCCUCCCCAACACACUCUUGAUACGAAAGAAACCUCCCGCCAUAGAGAAGAAAUCGAAAGUCUGGGUCCCCUCGAUCACCCUCCCUCUCCCUGUAGGUCGAGCUGAAUUACAUCCUCCCUCUCACCUGAACUGGUCGAGAGAGAUGAACCCGCACCACAUUUUUUCGAAUCGAAAGCCCCAACUAGAGAUGGAAUUCCAGAACCUAAACAACUCAGUUGAGAGCUCCGUGACUGGUUCAAGGGAAGGUCAACCAAUGAUUGAUAGGCCAUUCCCUCCCUAUCCGUCUCUUGAUCCCUCAUUCCACUAAUCCGUUGUUACUGAUUCAUUCAAGGCAUAGACUCUCCAUUUCUUUGUCUUAUUAGCGCAGGUGUUCGUCAACGAUGAAAGCCGCUAAACUUCAGACUCGAGUGGAGAAAGAGGGCUAGGCCCCCGGAGGGCUUUCAGGGACUGGGGAAGACGGGUGGAUUAUAGAGCUAGGGUAGGGGCAAAUCGAAGGCCCAUCGGGAUUGGGCAUGGACGAGCCUCGACUGGGCCAGCAUUGAUGAAAAAAGAAAAACUUCCCCCAUCGCAUCAUUAACCGGUGUAGGAUUCAAGAUCAGGUCCAGGAUUCGAGUCAAAUCGACCUUCCCUCUCAUCUCAGGGUGAGGCAAGGAAUUGUUUCAAAUGUUCGUUGUUCAAUAUCUCGGCUGCUCAAGAAGUUUGACUAGUUGCUCCUCCGACCCGGAGUGGAUUCUAGGGGAAGGGCAGAGCCUCACCUUGCAGUAGGAAGGUGUUCGUUGUUGGGACGGGUUCAAACUGGACUGAAGGGAGGAGGAAAAAAAAGAGUCCUCUCUUCCUGGUCCUAUCGAACCAGACACUGAAUACCUGGGGAUGGCUAGGGCUUUCGAAUCAAAGCAUGGGCAUCUGCUAUUAAGAGGGAGCAGUAGAUCGUCGAUUGAAGAGCCAGGUCAGUCAACUUCUAUUGGGACUUCUAUUGAUUAUUAAUUCGACUCUAGGGACUCCUAGCAGCAAACUAGUCUAAAAAAAGGGGCCCCCAUAGAGAGGCAGGAGAUGCAGGAGCCGCCAGCCGGAUCGACCAACAAAUGAUAGGCCAGAGAGAUGGGCUCAUUCGACUAAUCAGUGAUCCCUGGGCCUACCUAACACAGAUGUCCCUGAAAUAGGGGAUUGGUUGAUCGGAAAGCUCAGGCAGGAGUAGGACAUUCCAUACAAAUCUUUCUGAUCCGCUAGCGGGUGGUCCUCUCCUUAGAGUCAAGUGGCUUUCAGCUCCUCUCAAAUCCCAUUUUUUCAUCGACAGGUAGGGUGAAUUCUAAGGUUCCUUAUUCCGGUUGUAAAGCGGAAGAAGAGGGAGAAUGGGCACAGCCCCACUAGCAGCCCGCGUUUCCGACCCGAAAGGAAUGGAAAAUGAAAGAAGAAUCUGUGUGCACUAUCUAUGGAGUGGAGUGACUAUCCUUAAUCUCCUCUUCCCUAUCUCCCCCUUUUAUGCCUUCGGCUAUUACCGGCUGGCAAGGCUUGGCCCAACAUUGGAUUUGUUUGAAAACUACCAAGGUUUUUGCCCAAAGAAAUUUCCUUUUUUUUGGAAAGGAAGGAAUGCAGGGAAGAAGUCUUUCCUUUCCACUGGUUCUUGAAAGCUAUCAAUCCCCGCUUCUCCCUCUCGCAUCGGUUCUGCAUCAGAUGAUGAGCCCAUGCGAAAACUUUCUCUUUUAUUGGCGCCCGAUAGGUAGGCUAUUAGAUUGAGUCGAAAGCCUACCUACGCAUAAAGGUUCCGAUUCGAGCGAGAGCCCAAACGGGUGAGGCGAGAAGAUCUUGAUCGAAAGCUCCACUGUUCUGAAUAGUGAGAAAGAAUGAAAUUCGAUCAAAUCGAUCGAGAAUAUCAUCAUCUGUUAGGUGGGCCAACCGACCGACCGAGUUGGGCUGGGCGUCCAUGUCACAGAACCUUUCUCUAGCCAAGAAUCCCAUUAUUGAUCGAAUCGGGGCGGAUCCAAUUCAUUGGCAAAUGAAAAAUCUAUCGUUUUAACACUCAGAAAAAAAACCUAGAAAAGAGGAAGAGUCACUAAGACAAGAGAGCUAUAGGUAAGCAAGCAAGAAGGAUAGGUGCAAAAAAAAGGGCGAGGCAAGUGGCCCAAGGGCCCCUUUCCUUACAGUCAAGUGGCUCUCCAUCUCUAGGAAGAUUGUGUCCAGGAUCUGGUAAUCUAAGCCUUGCUUCUUCUGGUCGGCUCGUAUUAGCCUGUGCUUUAUUACAGGUAGUCAUUCCCCCGUUCCUUUAGUCUUUUCAAGGGUACUUUUUUCUUAAGUCGCGGUCAUGUCUUGCCCCCCCAGUAUAGUGACCGCUUCCAUGUUUUCCCCGAAUUUCAUCAGUUCCAGGCUCAAGUGCCUGUUCAUCCAUCUUCAUUCCAAACAAAGGCGAACAUCUCCAUUGAGUGACUGUAACUGCUAUGGUUUACAGUCAAUAGUUCUUAACCAACCCUUUCUUUUUUGAAUUAUUAAUGUUUAUUAAUUAAUUCAUUAUUAUAUUAUGUCUUUCUUUCUGAAGGGCUUGCGGUUUAUUACACCAAAGGCUUUCAGUGAACUAUUGAAGCUAUCGAGAGAGUACCAAAUGCUGACGGUGACGAAGGUUACCGACUUUCGGUGGACGCGGAGCCAACGAGUUCGGUCGAACAGCGUAACGAGUCUAAGGUUACAGAAGCCUUCGCCAACUUUGAUAGGCAUAGCAUUGCAAGCAAAUAGAGCAGAGAGCUUACCCUUUCUUUCUAUUAGAGUCGCGAGCUUGUUGUAGUCGGUCCUAAGGGGAGAACCUUGCUGCUUACUUGCUAUAUCCCCGCGUCCUUGCACGGCUCGGCUCGUUCUUCGAGCCCUGCUUCUCCCUUCCCCCUCUCCCCGUUCCUACCGUCCAAAACAGGCCUAUGGAGUAUAGCCAAGUGGUAAGGCAUCGGUUUUUGGUACCGGCAUGCAAAGGUUCGAAUCCUUUUACUCCAGAUUAUGAACACCCGAUCGGAUCUGUCAAGAACGAGCUGACGGCUACAGGGGAAGCAGCUGACUGCAGUCCCUGAGCCCGCAAGCCAAAGGUUUGACUUUCACCUACCUUUGCUAAGAGAAGAGAGAGAAGGGAAAGACAGAUGGCAGAAAGAAAUCCUUCCAACCGCGGAAUUGAACACAAGACUUACUUCGGCCAGGUUCUUUUAUCAAUCUCCUGGCCCUUGCUUAACUCCUUGUUCCGUAAACCGGUCGCUGGUAGAUCUGAUCCGAACAGAUCUUGUUGAAUGAAUUGACUUCGGUUUGAUUUCCUGAAACACAAGCGGAUCGGAACAAUAGAACUAAUAAUAGAAUAAACAGAGACAAAAGCAAAUAUUUGAGAACUCGGGAAAGGAGAAUAAGCCUCUCUAAGGGAAGAAGACCUAGCCCAGCUUUCUUUCCAAGCCAUCAAUAACUGCCGGCUUUCAACGGGUCCGGCUAUCCUUUCACCGGUCGGUCAGUUAUGGAAGACUCUGCUGGGUAGAAGCCCGAAUAUCAUUAAGAAUAUCUUAACAUUUUUCAUUUUUUUUUUUUUUUUUCUAAUGGAAGGUAAUAUAUGAAUAAGAACAGAUAGCAUUCUGCUAGAGAGAGAGGGCACAGAAGAGAGAGGGCGCUAGCCCGGGUACAUAAGUAUUAGGUCCACCAGUGCACACAAUUAUUCUGUUAUUAUCUCCUGCCCGUUUAACUACUCCUCGAGACAUUUCUGCUGAUGGCCCUUGAAUUAUAGCAGGAGCAACCUCAAUUGCCGUACCCAGGCGCCGGUCUCUAGAAGCUUCUGGAAUGUUCAAUUUGUAUGGCCUCAGUGAUGAGAAUAUUUUGUGUGCCACUUCUGAUGAUGCAUGCAUUGGGGACAAGUAUAUGUCAGUUCCGUAGAUCAAGGCUUUCAAGGACUCCUGAGUUGGUGAUUUGUCACCAGGCAGCACAUUACACAUUAGCAGAUGGAUGCUAUAAAUUCCUCCGAAAAAUCAAAAAAUACUGUGCGGCCAUACAAUAUACUCUAAAUUCUCGUUGUCGAGGGAAGUGAAUCAACAAAUGCAUGCAAGGAGGGAUGUAAUUCAGGAGGUGUAGUUCAUCUAAACAUUCAUCUAUAACAAGAACAAUAGAUGCAGACAUUCUGGAAUCAGAAACUGGAAAAAAAACCAGGUCUCUUGUUUCCAGUUUUUUUUCUUAAUCAACCAUAGGUGAUGACAGUUCUGGCAAAUUUCAAGGAAGCAUGGCUCGCUUGUUAGGCUUUAUGUAUUUUCUUUUCUAUGACCCACAUAGGCACGGUGACCCUACCCUAUAAAGUGAAACAAAAAGCAGUAAUUAGACUCUUCGCCUGGUUUUAUGCUCAUUAAAAUCAACUUCAAAGGAGAAUUCUUUUUAUUGGCCAUUGUUUUGUUUUCUAAUGGUCAAUUUCAGCCUUCUAAAUUGGAACUUGCAGAAAGGCUGAGAUACAUUGGAACAAUGAUCCAAAUAAUCUUUUAUGUUUUUCAUUUGAAAAUGCCGCCAACCAGAUUGUGUCAACAUCAUAGCAUUAGGGGCACUUUGUAUAAUCCGAUGUCUUUUCUUCAAAUGGCCGAACUCUCACAAAUAAUGCAAUACUUAGGGGUGACAGUAGUGGAAGUAGCUAGUAUGAAAUUUCUUGGGCACUUACCCGCAUGAUUUGGCCCAUCUUUCUUUCCUCCAUGAGAAAACACUGCUCAGUGAGACAAUGUAGUCAAGUCAAUAGCAGCCAGAGCAAAAGAUUGAUAUAUAAUGAGAGUUCGCCUUCUUGUGCCAACAUCUCCAUACUAAAUAGAUUUGGAAAUUCUGCCGCAAGUGGUUGAAGAGCGGUUUGGGUGCACCCAAACCGCUCUUCUCGGGCAAUGUAUAGCUUAAGUUGAGCUCGCACCAAACAAAAAAGGAAUAAGUUUCGAAUUUCCGAAAUCGUCUUAGCUAAACCUAUAGAAUUCCACUUUUUUUUCAUUUUUCCUUGCAAUUUAUAAUGCAUUAAGGGGACAAAGACCAGAAACUCUUCGCUGAAUGUGGCUCAUAACCGGUACCGGUGCAGUGAGGUAUUCCCGUUGAGAUUCCCGAACUUUGAUGAUUAUCUCGUCGUAUCUAAACCAGUGAGACAUCAAAGUUUGACGCAUACAUUCUUUUCUAGCCGGAGAUAGAGGAAAAUAGAAAGAUAUGGACUUUCAAUCAAGAUUUUCCUUGCAAGCCGAUUCCCCAGCUCCUGAAUAGGUGCUGCAAAUCUUAAUGUAUAGAACGACUAUAUUGAGGAGUAAGGAAAGGGCUCCCAUGACAAUGAGGCCAUUUUUGCAUGGGCUUGGACUUGCUUUGAUGAUGAGUAGGCUUGUCGCCCGGAGUGAAGUGAUUCCAGGGCUGCUUAAUCAAGAAGUAAGAUAGAUGAGAUAGAGGAUCAGCCAAGCCUAGUGUUCUUCAAGAAAGUGAUAUCAACAAAAAUUUAAUAAGCAUCAUCAAGGCGACAUGGUCAUAGACUUCCACAUCGGCCGUGGAAUUUUCACAUCACUCAACGAUUAUAAAUUUUUCAUUAGAAGAUAACCCUUAGCCUUCACACAACUGUCAGAUGACGUCAGUCCAUGGCUCCCUGAAUAUACCGUGGCUUUUGAAAAUCACUUAACCUUCAUCAGGCAUGGAAUACAUGUAUUGCCCUUGGCCUUCACAAAAAAUUUAGGUUACAUCGGGCGUUUCCUGCGCCCAUCACUUCUUUGCUGGGAAAACGGUCAAUGGAUUUAAGGAUUGUCUUUUUGGAUGCUACUUAGGCAUUCACUCAAUGAUUUAUCGCGUCAGAAGUUACUUUCCCACAUCUUCUUUGACCAGCACACAAUGAUCAACNNNNNNNNNNNNNNNNNNNNNNNNNNNNNNNNNNNNNNNNNNNNNNNNNNNNNNNNNNNNNNNNNNNNNNNNNNNNNNNNNNNNNNNNNNNNNNNNNNNNAAGGGUCGCUUUCGGUUGUCUGCGUAUGACUUUUGUCGGCUGUAAGCAGUAGCCAACCUGUCCCUAAUCAUUUCUAACUUUCUCCAAGGCCUCAUGAAUGAUCUCUGGACCCAAAAUAGAUGACUCUCCAACCUCGAACCACCCAACCGGAGAUCUACACCUCCUACCAUACAAUGCCUUAAACGGUGCCAUCCCCAAUGCUGGAGUGAUAGCUAUUAUUAUACGAGAACUCUAUCAAAGGUAGAUGGUCAUCCCAAUUACCUCUAAAGUCAAUCACACACGCUCUUAACAUGUCCUCCAAUGUCUGAAUAGUGCGCUCUGCCUGCCCAUCUGUUUGAGGAUGAAAGGCAGUGCUAAGUUUCACCUGCGUGCCUAAGCUUUUCUGGAAAGAUCUCCAAAAUGCGAAGUAAACUGAGCUCCUCUAUCUGAAAUAAUAGACAAAGGGAUCCCAUGCCAUCUCACAAUCUCAUCAAUGUAAAGUCUCGCGUAAUCCUCGGCCCUGUAAGUAGACUUCACAGGGAUAAAGUGGGCAGACUUAGUCAAUCUGUCCACAACAACCCAUAUAGAGUCAUGCUGCCUCCUAGUCCUCGAAGACCAACUACGAAGUCCAUAUUAAUGGCCUCCCAUUUCCAAGUCGGAACCUCAAUAAUCUGAGUCAGACCAUCAGGCUUAAGAUGCUCUGCCUUAACCUGCUGACAAUUAGGACACUUAGCCACAUAGUCUGCAAUAUCCUUCUUCAUGCCAUCCCACCUAUAAAUCUGCUUAAGAUCAUGAUACAUUUUUGUGGAACCUGGAUGUAUGGAAUAUCUGGAACCAUGGGCCUCUGUAACAAUCUUGGUCCGUAAAUCAUCUACAUCUGGUACGCACAACCGGUUCUGGUAUCUAAGUAUGCCAUCAUCUCCCAAAGCAAAAGACUCAUUCAUUUUUAACAACACUGAGUCCUUCAUCUCCAUCAACACAGGAUCGAGAUGCUGACCCUUUUUGACUUCCACUAUCAGGGAUGAUUCAGAACUAGGGUGAACUGAAACACCUCCACUAGUAGAGUCAACCAACCGCACACCCAGCCUGGCAUGUCUGUGUACCUUUUCACACUAGCUCCUUCUUCUCAUCCUCAACGUGGGCUGUACUCCCCAUGCUCAUCCUGCUCAAAGCAUCAGCCACAACAUUAGCCUUACCUGGAUGAUAGUGCACAUUCAUGUCAUAAUCCUUCAGCAGCUCCAACCAUCUGCGUUGCCGUAGAUUCAGCUCCCUUGCGUGAACACGUACUGGAGACUCUUAUGAUCCGUGAACACAUCCACGUGUACUCCAUACAGAUAAUGCCUCCAUAACUUCAACGCAAACACCACAGCUGCCAACUCCAAGUCAUGAGUGGGAUAAUUCUUUUCAUGAACCUUGAGCUGUCUGGAAGCAUAAGCUAUCACCUUACCAGCCUGCAUAAGAAACACAUCCCAAACCGACCCUAGAUGCAUCACAAUAGACAGUGUAAUUCUCGCCACUCUUAGGCAGAGUAAGCACCGGGGCUGAAGUGAGUCUGUCCUUGAGCUCCUGGAAACUCUUCUCACAAGUAUCCGUCCAUUCAAACUUGGAUUUCUUCUUUGUCAAGGUUGUAAGUGGGGCAGCAAUGGAAGAAAAUCCCUCCACGAACCUGCAGUAGUAACCAGCCAAUCCCAGAAAGCUACGGAUAUCGGUGGGUGUAAGAGGCUUUGGCCACUUCUUAACUGCUUCAGUCUUUCUGGGGUCCACUUCUACACCUUGAUCGGACACAACAUGGCCAGGAAGGUCACUGAUCUCAGCCAGAAUUCACACUUGCUGAAUUUGGCAUACAACUAAUGUUGUCUAAAGUACCUGCAAAGUUAGUCUCAAAUGUUGUUCAUGCUCUUCCUUGGUCUUAGAGUAGAUGAGGAUGUCAUCAAUGAAUACUAUGACGAAAGAGUGAAGGUAUUCACGGAAGACUCUGUUCAUGAGGUCCAUAAAUGCAGCAGGUGCAUUUGUGAGACCGAAUGACAUAACCAAGAACUCAUAAUGACCAUAACGGGUACGAAAAGCUGUUUUUGGGACAUCCCCAUCCCUAACCCUAAGCUGAUGAUACCCUGAACAAGAUCAAUCUUAGAGAAGAAACUAGACCCUUGGAGCUGAUCAAACAAAUCAUCAAUUCUGGGAAGUGGAUACUUAUUCUUUAUAGUGACUUUGUUGAGCUGCCGAUAAUCGAUACACAUUCUAAGGGUCCCAUCCUUUUUCUUUACAAACAACACUGAAGCGCCCCAAGGGGAUAUGCUCGGCUGAAUGAAACCCUUAUCAGUGAGAUCCUUUGACUACAGCUUCAACUCCUUGAGUUCUGCUGGAGCCAUUCUAUAAGGAGGAAUUGAGAUUGGUUUAGUAUCAGGUUCUAAGUCGAUACCAAAGUCAAUCUCUCAAAGGGGAGGACUCCAGGCAAAUCUUCAGGAAACACAUCUAGGAAUUCAUUUACUACAGGCACCGAGUCUAUGGAAGGAAUAUCAUGAUCUAAAUCAUUAACACUCACUAGAUGACAUAAUAACCCUUUGGACAUCAUUUUAUUGGCCUUAAGAUUUGAAAUCAAGGGGUUAGGGCGAGUCAGAUUGUACCCCUCCCAGACUAACUCUUCUUCAUUAGGGAAACGAAACCUCACCACUCUACUACGACAAUCCAAGCAAGCAUAAUGGCUGUGAAGCCAGUCCAUGCCAAGAAUAAUAUCAAAAUCAUGCAUGGAUAACUCAAUCAAGUUUGCACACAUAGCCCUGCCACUCACAACUAUUGGGCAAUUCUGGUAUACCCUAUCAGCUUUCACAUUUUCUCCUAAAGGCGUACUAACCACUAUAGGAUCAUGCAGGACUUCAGGUAGUACUUCAACAGUAAGGGCAAGUAGAGGAGUCACAAAGGAAAGUUUAGACCCUGGAUCAAGUAAAGCAUAAACAGAAGUUGAGAAUACUUGCAGCAUACCUGUGACCACAUCAGCGGACUUCUCCUGCUCCUCCCUACCUUUCAAGGCAUAAAAUCUGUUCCUCUUCGGAGGCUCGGCUGCUGCUGCAUUAUGUGGGGUAGGCCUAGGCUGAGCAUUACCCCCAGCCUGACCUCUGUUCUGGGGACAGUCUAUGACCAUGUGUCCACUCUUACCACAACCGAAACAGGCAUUAAUGCCCUGUCUACAUUCUCCAAGGUGAGUUCGGCCACACUUAGUACAAGUCUUCCUUGGAUGCUGCAUCUCACCUCCAUUGCCCCUCUUGGGUUCGGGUCUGCCUCCUCUAGGCAUUGUAUUUCUCUGAGGGUCAGAAUUUCCAGCACUCUGUUGCCCCUUCUUGAAUUUGGGCUGCUCGCGGACGCCAAAAUUGUUUCUAUGGCCUCCAUGGCUGGGACCUGCCUGAUCUUGAGGCCUAGGCCUCCUAACAUCACGUACACCUCUCCUCUUUCGGCUGUCCUCUACCUGCUGGACAUGCAUCAUUAAUCUAGAAAGGUCCAUAUUAUCAUGGAGCAUCGCAGCCCGACAAUCCUCCUCCAGGUCUCCAUUGAUUCCUGUGAGGAAUCUGCUCAUCUCCUCCCUACUGGUAGAAACCAAGGGAGUAGCAUACCUGGAUAAUUUCAACAAAGUUAAGUACUCUCAUCAUUCUUGUUAUCAAAUACUAAGGGAAGUACAUACCUUGAUAACUUCACAAACUUCAGGGAAUACUCCCUGACAGUCAUGGAUCCUUGCUUGAGGUUGAUGAACUCCUCAACCUUGGCCUCUUUCAUCUCUCUAGGGAAGAACUUUCCAAAAAUGCUGUCUUGAACAGCUCCCAGGUGACUGGCACCCCUCCUAGGACACGUCUAUCUCGCCACAUUUUGCACCAAGUCUGUGCAACAUCUUUGAGCUAGUAGGAAGCCAACUCAGUCUUCUCAAUAUCAGUGGCCCCCAUGGCCACCAGUAUCUUAUGCAACUCGUCUAUAAAUUCCUGAGGAUCUUCUGAAGUCUUAGCCCCUGUGAAAAUUGGAGGAUUCAUCCUCGUGAAGUCUCGCAGUCUGUCAGCUAUGCUGCGAACCGGUGGGUUUUCCCUCAGAACAUCCUGUUGGUUGACUUGGGCAGUCAUAGCUUGGGCCUGCAUCGUGAUGGCCUGUGGUGGAUUCUGAUUACCCCUAGCUCUGCUGCUCCCCGUCCUCAGACCCUUAGUUCCCCAAGUAUUCAUUCUCUGAAAACAACAAGGUUGAUGUUAGACACGUUCGUAACACCAAGAAUUCAAACAUUAGGAAAAGCACAAUAAGAUCAGUAGAAGGGAAGUCUUUCCUACGCAUCAUGCAGUCUCUAAUCCAGGAUAGUGGUGCACUUCACUACCAUGACUUAGAAACUACUCAAUGUGGUUGAUGUGAACUCAUUAUUCGAGGAAUUUAACCUAGCGCUUUGACACCAACUUUGUCACGAUCGGAAUCUAGACCCCAGACGAGACCGGCGUCGUUGACCUCUCAGAGGUCACAGACAAGCCUGCUUACGUCAUUCUUACUUUACAUAGAUUAAUUUUAGCGGAAAAUUUGAAAUUUUUGAUUUUUAAUCAUACUUGCUGAACAUUCUUAACAUUUCGUAAUCGUUCAUCAUCAACCAUCUAACAUUUAAGAGAUAAGCAACUGAAAGAAAUAAUUCAUUAAGUAUUAAUUGUAUAUCGGCCAAAAUAGCACAAUACAAAGUUUGAACCAAAAUAGGAAAGAAACGCUAGUGGAACAUGCUCCACUAUCUCAACUCUAAAACUACGCUAGAAUGUAAAACAGUAGCAUCCUCGAAAGCAUGAGGACCUACCAAACUCCGGAUGAAUACUGAUGUCCGGAUAGCUGCGACAACGAACCUGUAGCUCUAGCGUCCACCUGUGCCUGCACCUAAAAGUAGAUGUUCGUAUGGAAUUAGUACACACUUGUACUAAGUAUGAGUAUAUGCAAGUACACACCAGGGACAUGCAUGAGAAAGAAUAGCUCUUUCCUAACAACAUGAUUUUUGGAAGUCAAGUCAGUGGACUUGCCAAAUUGAGAUUGGGAAACUUAUGCCAUGAGAGUGACAUGCAUCAUUAUAAUUAUCGUAUGGCACACAAAACAUAACAUAUUCAUAUAACACAUACUUUCUUUCAUGUUAUUCAUUCGUAUACCAUGAGACCUUAUUAUCAUAGACUUAACUUUAAGACUUUCCAAAAUGAGGGCUCAACAUAUGGGACCUCAACUAGGGAGCCUUCUUUAGCAAACACAGAGUCUGCUUCACUCACUCAUUCGUAUUUUAUUUCAAUUCAUUUAUAGGCCAGUGCUAACACCAGCUAUACCUAGGAUGUAGUUUAAGACUUUCAUCGGGUUUGCUGUGCAAUGAUUAGGAAUGACCUAAUGUCAUUACCUGAAUCUAGCUCACCUCUUGAUUAUCCUAUCCUAACACCUCUUGCUAGCGUAUAUGGGAAUUUAAACCCCACCCCACCAGAUCCCUAUAGUGGCAAUAUAGGUUCAAAGACUAGGAGAUGUAUGGAGACCCAACCCGGCAAGCCGGACAGUCUCAUCUCAUGAGAAUUACGUGAACCUCCGCCCUUCCCGAAAGAAGGCAUCACCACUCAUAGCUAGCCUAUCGGUGCUCGGUAUAAAGUUCCAUUACAUUCAACUCAUACAUCAUAGAAGUUUGCUUCUAGUAUGAGGACAUCAUAGCUCAAUAGAUGAUUUCUCAUCUCAUCAUUAGUAUUAAGUGUUUUAAACUCAAUAUUUUUAUUAGAGUAUUCAUAGAGACUGGUCUCUUCAUUAUCUUACACUCUCAUUGGUGAGUAUGUAUCGGUAACAUUUACUUAGGCUCAUUUAAGAUUGCUCUCAUCAUAUGCAUUAACCUCACACCAUGAUUGUCACCACAUUCUUCAUUUCAUUACGUAUAUCUUAGGUUCACUUAUUCUUGAACGUAUGUUAAACUUAUAUAUCUAUACAUACAAGCCAUGAGGCUUCAUUUAUAGUUCGUUAAGUAAAUUCUUGUUUUUCUAAGAUUAUGUAUUACAAGACUUAUUUAUCUUGUAUAUAUGCCAAGAUUUUUGAUUUUUGAUCUAAGUAGAUGACAUUAUUCUUGAAUAUUUCACUCACAUAUGACUUAUGUAUCAAUACGGAGGUUUGGACACGAGAACCCAAAUUUUGAAUUAUUUGGAUAUCAUUUAUAUUUUUCAUUGAUUUUAGUUCUAAUAUUCAUAAAUUUAGAACUCUAAGUUAAGUCUCAACAUUUUCGUGAAAUAAUAAAUUUUCUAUUUUAAUUAGAAUUCUAAAUUAAAUUUCAAUCAUUUACAUGAAAGAAUAAUUUUCUAAUUUAAUUAGAAUUCCAAUUUAAAUCUCAAUAUUUACAUAAAAGAAUUAAUAUUCUAUUUUUAAUUAAAAUUCUAAAUUAAAUCUCAAUGUUUACAUAAGAGAAUUAAUUUUCCAACUUUAAUUAGAAUUUUAAUUUACUAUUAUUAUUAUUUUUAAUUAAAUUCGCUUGAAUAGGGAGGUUGUGGGUUCGAACCCCCACAGCCCCCCUUAUUUUCCUCUUAAUUUCGCUGGGAAUGGAGGCUGUGAGGUGGUGUGUUCGAACCCCCACCGCCUCACCUUUAUUCCCUUAAUAUUUUUAUCCCCCUUCAGCCCUGAGGUCGUGGGUUCGAUCCCCACGCCUUGCAUCCCCUUUAUAUAUAUAUUUUUUUUGUUGCAAACGGGGGUCGUGGGUUCGAUCCCCGCCCCCAGCAUCCCUUUUCUAUUUUUUUUUCGCGAAUGGGGGUCGCGGGUUCGAUCCCCGCCCCCAACAUUCCCUUUUUAAAUCUUUUUUUUUGUUAAGGCAGCUACAGGGAGGUCCUGGGUUCGAUUCCUUCAGGCCUCAAAACAUUUUUUUUUUAAUUCUUUGACAUCCAAAAAUUUCCAGAUUUUUUUAAACCUAUUUCUAUGUUUUUGGAAAUUUAUUCCACUAUUUUUCUGCACUUUUUCAUCAAGUUUCACAUUAGUUCUUAGGGAGAUUUCAUGGUUAUUCACUUCACUAUGCUUCAUCAAAAUGAACAUCACAUUGCACACCCAUUUCACACAUAAAAUACAUGAUAAAUAAACAACUUAUAUACCCCAAAACAAUGCCUAAAACACUGCCCUAUACACACCCAUACAUCAACUUUUUCCGGUCAUAUUUUGAUGAUCAUUAUCGCGAUUUCCCGCACAUAAACACAUUCAUAUUUAAUUUAAACACAUCAUUCAUGCAAAAAUCUAGCAGCACAACAUACCCAUCCUACAAAUUCAUUAGGGAGCUAAGGACAAGGACAUACGAAGGGGAACAACCUUAGUUUCAAGAGUUUAAGAAACGUCCGAAAGAAAGUACUCUUGGAGAAAGAAUUCCAUGAGAGAAACCCAUACCUUAAUCGAUGUUCAAACUUUAAUGUUGCUGCCCGGAAAACUCUUCCAAACCACUCCCAAUUCACUUCAAAGUAUACCUCUCUCGACGAACCUCUCUUAGCCUUGACGUUUUGAUUACUUUUUCUUUUGCUUAAAAUUUUUUGUGAGUUCUUCAAACAUGAAAACUGUUGAUAUUUUGGCAGAAAUAAUGUGAGGAAGAUGGAGAACGUGAGAGAGGGAGUUAAGAAGCGUGAGAGAGAGAGGACUAUUUGGAUUAGGAGACUAAUUCAAGAAUUAGUCAAAUAACACUUAAAAUAAAUAAAUACAAAUCUAUUUUUUUUAUUUAUUUAUUUAUUUUUUCAUUUAAAACGUGAAAGGACAAUUACGCCCUUAAAUACUUAUUUAUUCUUAUUUAUAAAAUUUUAUUUUUUUCGAAUCGUUACAUUAAGAGGCGAUCUCCUUGGGAGGGAUGUAAAGGAGCCAUAGGUCACGGGUUCGAUUCUCCCUUGAGGCUGCGAGCCAAUAAGAGGGGAUUAAAAGAGCGAAUGGGCCGGCCAUUGCAGAGCCAAUGUAAUGCUUGUUCUUCUAAUAAAGCACAUCGUUUGCCAUUUCAACGACUCACUUUAUCCAAUAAUGUACCUCUUCAGGUCAUUUUUAGCGAUUUAUGGGGACCAUCCCCCAUUUUAUCACUAGACAAAAAGUUAUAUUAGUGUAUCUUUGUUGAUCAAUACACCAAGUAUACUUGGUUGUAUACACUUAAAAUAAAAGUGAAGUCGCCUCUUUGUUCCAAAACUUUUCUUCCUUUAGUAGAUAAUUUUUUCAAAACCAAAAUGAAAUCUCUUUAUACUGAUCGAGGAGGUGAAUACAAAAGUGUUCAGUGCUAUCUUCAACAAAAGGACAGUGAAGAUUUAGUUUCACCUCCAUAAAUGCCACAACGUGUUGCCAUAGCUGAACGUCAUCAUCGUCAUAUUGUUGAGACAGCCAAGACACUUCUCCAUGAGGCAUCCCUACCACCAGACCUAUGGUCUUUUUCAUGCCAUCAAGUUGUUUAUCUCAUUAAUAGGCUACCCACUCCCAUCUUACAUAACGCGUCACCCUUCCAACAAUUAUUUGGUAAACCACCUAACUAUGCCAAUUUAAAAUUUUUGGUGGCUUAAACCCAAUACCAAAAAUAAGUUGGAGGCUCAGUCCACCCCUUGUGUGUAUUUAGGUGUUUCACCAAGCCAUCAUGCAUACCUUUGCUUUGACCCAAUGCAGUAAAAAAUAUUUAUAAGUCGUGAUGUUUUCUUUUAUGAUAUUUUUUUCCUUUUAAAACGAUGUUUCUACAGAUAAGGAAAAACAUUUCUCAAUUGACCUGGGAAGACGUUAAAUCCAAGGAGGAAACUUGAAGUCGAUCCCAUUCAAACUCCCUCUCAUGAUAUACUACCACCUAUACCAUUGUCGUUGGAAUGCAGGUCAUUCUAAACUUUCUUCUACUUCUUCACAACACAAUGCUUUCCUGCAGGGCCAGUUGACUGAAGAGGUUAUUAUGUCUCAGCCUCAAGGAUUAGUUAACUCACAAUUCCCUUUCCAUGUUUGCAGAUUAAAAAAAAGCCAUUUAUGGACUUAAACAGGCACCACGGGCUUUGUAUACUGCACUACAUGAUCAUCUACAAAAAAUGGGAUUUAUUAUGUCAAUUUGACACCUCUUUGUUUAUUUUGAAGAAUCUGGUUGCUACUGUCUAUGUGCUCUUCUAUGUUGACGACAUUUUGAUCAGGGGAAGUCAUCAUGGCUUAAUUAGACAUGUUAUUGAUUCCUUGGGUUCACGUUUUUCUUUGAAGGAUCUAGGGUAGUUAAAAAAGUUUCACGUGGUCUUCGUCUCACUCAAUCAGAAUACAUUCUUGAUAUUUAUUCUGAACUAGAUAUGAAAGAUUGUAAAGGAGUCCUGACACCAAUGUGCUCUGGUAAAAUGCCUCAGGCAGCUGAUGAUUGUAAAGGCUCUGGUAAAUACAUUCACACGGGCUGCCAUUUAUUAUGCUGUCAACAAAAUGUCAUAGUUUAUGCAUGAUCCUACUGAUGAACACAGGAAGGCGGUUAAAAGGAUACUACGGUAUCUCAAAGCCACGGCAACAUCAGGUCUUCAUAUUAUUCACAACUCAGACUACAAUUUUUCCAUUUACGCUGAUGUUGAUUGGGCGGGAGACCCGAAUGAUAGAAUAUCCACAUCAGGUUAUGCUCUUUUCAUUGGGCGCAAUCCUGUGAGUUGGUCGCUUUAAAAACAACAAGUUGUUGCUCGAUCAUCUACUAAAGCAAAAUACAAAUAAGUUGCAAAUGAUCUUGCUGAAUCACAUGGGUGCGCAACUUGCUCAAUGAAUUGUGUAUCACCAUUCAAAAUAUCCCCACAAUCUUUUUUGACAAUGUUGGUGUCACUUAUCUCUGUCAGGAUCCAGUGUUCCAUAGCCGUAUGAAACAUAUUGUUGUGGACUAUUGCUAUGUUAGGAACCAAGUUCAAGCACAUUGAGUUCUUAUCAAACAUACUCAUGCUUGUGAUCAACUUGCUAAUACAUUUACCAAUCCAUUACUAGCACCAGCCUUUGCAACGUGUCGUUCCAACUUAAGCGUUGUUGACCACACUUAACUUUAGGGGCUGUAUUUAGCAUAAUUAUUUUAUCUUAUACUCCCUCCGUCCGGAAUGAUUUGUCAUUUUGCGCUUAUCUAAAUUUAAUUUGAUUAAUUUUCAAAGGUAAAUUAAACCACAUUAACUUGACAUUUAAAAAAAUCGAUAUUCUAAAACCAUAUGAAAAGUACUAUAAAUUACAAUUUUUUGCAUAUUAAUAUGAUGAAAAAAUUCAUCUUAAUAUUAGUCAAUGUUUUUAUAGUUUACCUCUAAAAAUAGAAACCAUGACAAACAAUACUGGAAGGAGGGAGUAAUAAGUUACUGAUAUAGUUACUGCCUUUUAGUUUCUAUAGAAGACUCCUCCUAUUUUAGGAGUUUAUUGUUGUUGUAUAUUUGUAGAAGAGUCCUCCAACGGCUUAGUAGUUUAUGUACCUAUUAGCUUUGUUACGUUUAGAUAUAGGUUGUUAUUAUUGUUGUUUUUAAUGCUUCGAUGCUGAAGGAAUAAAAUCAUCUUUCGACUACUUCUGUCAAUCUAAUUUUAUAACCCGUCCACGGUAAUUUAGGAAAAAGACUUAGACAAUGUAGAUGAGACUUGUUAGAUUUGUGUUGUUGGUCCUGAAGAUAUAGAAAUGUCCUUGGUCACAACUUGUGUGGAGGCAAUGUCCUAUAAAUUUGCAUGAUAUAGGAAAUAUUGCUGAUUUUUCUAUGACUUGUUCUUAAAUACCAAAUCUUUUCCUCAAUCUAUUGACUUGUAAAACUUGAGAGCUAACAUUAUUUGGCAAAUAAUUGGUUGUUAUUGAUUAGGAAAGGUUAGAACCAACAGAUAUUGUUUCUGAAACUUAUGCAAUAAUAAAAGGAGUUUUCUUUCGGAGAAAAUAAAAGCACUAACCCUUUUGAAGGCGGAUUAGAUAGGGAUUAAAAAAAGACUUUUAACAAAUAAUGGUAUCUCAAAAGUCUAAAUUGAGUAAUUUUAUUGAUACAAAAUAAAAUCCAAUGACUUUACUAUAUAUAUCCCUAAAGUUGAGUGGUCUUUAAAAAAAUAUUAUUUCUCUGAGAGACAAGUAUUUGAAAGUUAACUAUUUAAGUAUUAAAUCUUCAUUUGACAUAUGAUUUGAUAACUUGAGGGGAAAAAAUUACAUUUGAUUCUAUCAAAAUGAGUUGGAUCGGUUAUGAACAACAUGAUUUACUAUAAGUAUCUACUAGUCCAUAAAUUUGUUUUUGAUAUAUUUAAAUAUUUUGCGAGUUAAUUUUGUUUAUCUAGAUUACAUCAAAUAAAUUUUGAUUGUCAUCUUAAAACUACACUUGUCGGUGAUUACGUAGACUCUACCUAAUAGGGUUGAGUUGAUUCGUGCAACACCAUGCGGAGAUGACUUGAACAUGAGCAAGUAGGUUCUAUGAUAUUUGUCACAAAGUUGAUCACCCGUUUGGUCUUGGAUAUUGUGUUGGUAUUACUAUAUUACUCCCCAAUGAAGAUACAAAAAAAUUGAAUACCUUUAGAUGAUUCUUAUGAUUCAAUUCAAUUGAAAUGGAAUUUAAUGAUUUUUGAUUUAAAUUAUCUUGUGAAUGGAAUUGAAAGUAUAUAAGGUUGAGUUGGAACAAAUUUACGCUAGAUCCUCCGCAUCUCAAAUGUAAAAUAAAUUAUUAUGUGACAUUUAAUGCAUUUUGUUACGUCAAAUAAUACUUGCAUUGACUUACUAAAAAAGUCGGUUGACACUUUGUUGUGUUUCUUUGUGGUAUUCAUCCUCGUAAGGCUCUUAGAAUCACAUCCACCGCUCUCCCUGUGAGUCGAGCCUCCUUUUCAGUCGGUCUUAGUUAGUUCCGUCUCUUUGUAGGGUUAUAACAUUAAAAGUCGAGACUUUUAACACACCAGAGUCAAUAAUACUUAUUUGAGUAUUGUGAUGGUCUACUCGUGGCAAAUGAUGAGUGGACAAGGCUAAGGUUACUCUUUUCCUGAGAUAUAUGUCGAGGCACCACUUUUAUUAUGUGUUAGGUAGUAUAUGUUGUUUUUUUUUUCUUUUCUUGUCAGAAAUUGUUCCAAGAGUUUAUAUUUAAAUUCAAUUAUUAUAUAGAGGUUUCCUAGACUAAUAGUUGUGUUGAGUUGUAAUAAUAGAAAUGUACAUGAUAUACAUGAAAAAACACAUUUAUUUUUCUUAUGAAAUUAUUUUUGUAUAAUUCUAAAUUUGAGAACGCUUGAUGAUUAAUUUGAAAAUGUAUAAAAUUUUGAAAUAGUUUUUCGCGGUUGGUUCAAAUGUGCGGUCUAUGUGUGGAUUUGAUUCGCUCAUGUAGUUGAAUGCUAGUCACUUGGAUUUUGGACUACUCUUUCAACCAAUAGAGAAUCAAAGCUCAAAUAGUUCUUUCAAAGGCCAUUGCCUCUUUCCAAGUAUGUUUCAAAUUAUAUCAAAAUCCUUUUGUUUUUUGAUAGUAUUGAAAUCCUUAUUUUCCUUUUUCCAUAUUUUUCUAGAUUCCAUCAAUUCAUUCAUAACAGAGGUUCCAAUCUAACUCAAACUAACAAAAAGAAAAGAAAAUUCAUGUGUAUGCAGACUAGAAACUGAUAUAUAACUUAAAAUGAAUAAAAAUAAACAAUUUUGUGUAUACCUGACAAAAAUCCUGUCCAGUAGUCCAUGUAACCUUCUUCAAAGUCAUGAUAAAAAAUCAACUUUUUAUCAGUAAAAGCAAAUCUGAAACAGAAACAGAAACAGAAAUAGAGAUCAGAACCCUAGAAGUCGUGAAGACAUCAAGGAUGAAAACGUUGUGCCGUUGCGGCCUGCGGGAGGGAGGGAGUGAGUGAGUAAAAUGUAGUUUUUGUUUUUGUAUUCUGUCUGUAGCAUGAAAAAUCCCUACAUGCCUUUUUACUUUUUCAUUACGACAUGUCUUUUUAUUUUUUCAUUUAGGGUUAAUUAGAUCAAAAUACCCCUAUACUACUACUUAGUUACGGAUACAUCCAUUAAUAAAUUAUAUUGAUGUUAUUAUUAUCCUCUGCUUUAAUUUUAUUUCUCAUUUAUUCUAAAAAUAGAUUUUUAUUUUUACUUUAUUACUUUUGACAUAUAAGAAAAAGAUAAUAUAUUAUUUUCAUGUUUGACCAUCAACAUUAAAUAGAUAUUUUUCAAGACAUCGUUUAAUAGGGAAUAGUGUGGUAAAAUAUCUAUAUCAAUAAUUAUUUUUUAAUGGGUGUGUUAAGUCAAAUCGUGGCAAGUAGAAGUGAACAGAGAGAGUAAAAGAUAAACUAAAAGUAAUUAUAAACAUUAAGAUUGAUUUAUUUUUAUGAAAUUUUAAAAAGAAUGAUAAAUUCUUUUCAUAAUUGAGUAAGAUUAGAGAAGACAUUUUUUUUAAUAUUUAUCAUUCAAAACUUGUAAAUUGAAAAUUAAAAUAAAUAUUCAAUAAGAUAUUAUCAAUUAUUAGUAGUAACUUGAUAAUAUUCUCCAAAGCUAAUCGAGUUACACAUAGUUUCUCUCAAUACCACGAUUACAAAUUCAAAGGAAAUGAAAAAUAUGUGUUUGGCAAUUGAGGGGUAAACCUUUUUGAGAAAAAAAUAGCAGUUUCCAUUUUUUCAUAUGGUAAUAAAUUUUAUGAAAAUCUCAUGUAGACAAGAAAAGGCUCUCCCAUCUCUUCCCUCUCUGGCUUUUGAACAGAGAUUCUUUAUUGGCCACAAAAGUAUCUCUCAACUUCUAGUUUACUAGAUCAUUUGUUGUUGCGUUUGUAUCAGUAAGCAGAGGCGAAUAUAGGAUUUCAAGAAAACGGGUGCACCAUGCUUUAAAGAUAAGAUAAAAAAUUUAUAACAAUAACUAAGCAGCAAUACAUAAGAAUUACAUUACCACAAAAAAUAUCAUCAGUUAACAAUUGUACUCAACGAGACUUCAUAUUUUGAAAACAAUCUAUAACAACAUCAUUACUUACAUUUUCAAAUAUCUUCCGCUCUAUCUUAUAAACUAAAAAACCAUUCAAAAAUUCUUCAUCAGUGCUAUUACGUAGAUCAUUUUUGAUGAGCUUCAUUGAUGAGAAUACUCUUUCGAAAUCACAUUUAAAAAAGAAGACUUAUACCUCUUUUGCGUUCGAAAUCAUAUAUAUAUAUAUAUAAAAAUUUCUCAUAAACCUCUUUUACUUUAACAAACUUAAGGUGAUUUUUUAAUGUAGAUAAAAAGAAAUUUUUAUUUUUAAAUACGUAAAAAGAAUUUUAUAAAAUGCCCUUAAACUAUGCGAAAAAAUAAAAAUGUCAUCCAUUUGUAGUUUGAUAAAAAAAUUUCCUUUUGUUAAUACUUUGAUCCAUAAAUUCUCUUAUUUAUAUUUAAUGGGUCAAAAAUACUCAUUUUUAAAAUAAAAUACAUUAUUAAUUUUUUUUAUACAUUAUUUUCCUAAUAAUAUCUUUUAAAUUAGAAAAUAGUUAUCUUACUUCUGUUAAGAUAAAAUAAAACAUGAAAAUAUUUCUUAUGAUGAAUAUAUAUUUCUAAUGGAAAUUUUUGAAACAAAGUAUUGAAGGUAAGGUCAUGUUUAAGUCAAACUAUAAACGGAGAACAACUUUGUACUUUCACAUCGUGUAGAGACAUUCUUAAUCCUUACUUCUUUAAAUACAUAGUGUACUAUAUAUUAUAAAAUACAAACAGUAAAUAUUUAAGCUAAAUAAAAUGAAAAAAAUAUUUUUAAGAAUAAAUAACAAAGAGUCUGUUUGGAUGGGAGCUCUAAAGCUUGCCAACAUAAAAAAUUUAUAUCAUGCAUAUUAUUUUGCUAAUAUAAAAAAUUCUAUUUGUAUUCAAACCAAACGAUUCCUUCAUUUAUUUCAUCUUCCCAUGCAUCAAUGAUCAAAGUCAAGUUUCCUACCAUAAAUGAACUACAUUGUAAACUACAUUUCGCUUCACUACCUUAUUUGUCCUUUGGACCCUUCGCCUGCCCACCACCCGUCAAAGCAAGCUCCCUAUGUUGGAAAGUUUUUGGAAGAAUGAACAGAGGAAUUUACCAUGAAAAAUAAGUGGUCUAAGAAGAUGCCCAUCACAACUCCCAACAAAUACAAAUGGUUAACAAAACAAUAUUCAUAGUUAAAACCUUUAAUAUAAGAUUAACUUGGACAUUGUUUGUGAUCUCAAAUGACCAAUUGUGAUAACUUAUUGUAGCUAAGGCAACUUCAUUAAUAUGUCUAAUGAAAUAAUCCUUCAAUGAGAACAGAGUUUGUAAUAUUAGUUCAUAAAUUUUCAUAAAAUUAAACCAUGAAAGAGAUUUCGUAAUGAAUAGAAAAUUGUAGUACCUGGUGCACUACUGGUCCUUCAGCAUCAACAUUGCCAUGGAAAAUCACAUAUGCAAUAUCGGCAAUGUAAAAAUUAUAUCAAAGAGAAGCUUUGGUUUAUCCUUUCACCGGAUUGUCACAAUAGAGUAGUCUUUAUCUUACCAAUUAAGGACACUCAUAUUAGGCCUCUCUUUUUCAUUCAAUCCUUCACCAACAACACGUUCAUAAUCUUGGUAUGCCAACAUUAGUUGGUGAUUCUCUUCUCUCGACAUAUGAGAAACCCUUGGAAUUCCUUAAUUUAUCGCUACCUCUAAGUAUAUUUCACAAUAGUUGCUUCAUCAUAGAAUAUUUUUUUCGGAUCAUUAACUGUACCUCCCAUUUCCUCACCUAGCUAUUGUUGGGCGUUAUGAGCGCACACAUUAGCAUUAACCACAUUGCAUUUGAGAUUCGUGAGGACACUACUGACCUGAGACAAUAACACCGGCCUAUCACUCGAGCUAUUGACUCAGGCACGAUCAUUAGUUUUUUAGAUAUUUUCUUGGUAUGCUAUAAAAAGGAGUAAGACUAUUCCAAAUAUGAUAACUUGGACACAUCGUCAAACAACUUGAAUUUAUAAUCAUACAAAUUUAAUUUUGUACAUCAUCCAGCUGAAGCAGACAAAAGGUUUCUAGUGAUCCCGAGAACAUAUUGAGUUUUACCUUCAGCUUGUCCACUCUUGUGCUUUCUUUAAGUUGACAUAAUUACAACCCUGCUUUACGUCUAAAUAUUAUAAAUUGUUAAUUCCGCGAUUAUAGGAUAAAGGAAUACCCAUGAUACAUUAUAUCGUAUUUGUAAACAUUUCUAAAUAUGCAAAACGUAAUUCCAGGAAACUGAAGAUCAUGAUAAGUGUGCAUUUUUCAAUAUACUUUUUGUUUAUUUAUUUGCAACUUGCAAGCUCGUCCUUCACUCUAUUUUUUCACAUAAAAUGAAACUGUAGAAAAUUUGUAUUAAAGAAACUACAAACAUUUAGCUUUAGCAGGAGCCUAAUAAAAUAGAAUAACAUGUGUUUUGUAGUAAAAAUAUAUAUAUAUAUAUAUAUAUAUAUAUGCUCACUUGUAUUAGUUAUCAUAUGCAAAUGAAUUUUUUUAAGAGCUCAGAAUCAUUAAUGAGAGUGGCGCAUGGACUUUCUCGAGAUCUCAUCACAUCCCCAAUUAGUAAACACAAAAAAUCUGUGUGUGAAAGUGAGAGAGAAGCAGUAGCUGAGAUUUCAUGCAAAUGGAUAUUGGAUUUCACCGAUCAAGGAAAAUAGAAAAUCACUUAUAAACUGACAGACCUCACUAAUCAUAACAACACUACAUAGAGUCCUCGUAGCCUCUCAUAAUUUUCAACAAUAAUACAAGGAAAAAGGGUCUGAUAUACCCCUCAACUUUGUCAUUUAGAGCUGAUAUACCCUUGUUAUGAAAGUGGCUCAUAUAUACCCCUACUUGUAAACAAAUGACUCACAUAUACCCUUUUCCUCUAACGGAAUUGAAAAAAAAUAAUUUUAAUCUAAAUUUUUAUUAUUUUUUUCUAAAAAAUAUAAUCUCAUAUGAGUUAAUUUAGUACUCGUCAAACAUAUUUUUUUUGACUUUUUUUUUCAAUGACUAAUUUAUAAUUAUUAUUUUGAUAUUCAAAUUUAUUUAUGUUUCACUAAUAUUCUUGUAAAACUUAUAGUAGAUGACCAAAUUUUUUCUUCGAAUAUGAAAUUAAAUUACAAUACACACAAAAAAAAUAGUUUAAUUUUUUUUUCUUUAAACUAAGGAAUGAAAGAAAAAAAUAAAAUAAGAAUGAGUAACUCAAAUAAUUAUAAUAAAAGAAGUCGAAAAAUAAUUUAUGUAUGAAAUAAAAAUAUACCUUGAACUUUGAUAGAAGAAUCAUAUAUACCCCUAAAAAUUUUUUUUUUUAAAAUUACAAGUAAUAAAUAUAAAUUUAAAACUAAUUUUUUAACUUCCGUUAAAUGAAGGGUAUAUGUGAGGCAUUUUGUAACGGCAGGGGUAUAUGUGAGCCGUUUGUUUAACGAUAAGGGCAUAUAUGUGCCACUUUUAUAACGAGGGGUAUAUCAGCUCUAAAUGAGAAAGUUGAGGGGUAUAUCAGACCCUUUUCCCGUAAUACAAAAAGAUGAAAUAUCAAAUUCAAAUAUAAUCAACUAAUAUCAUGAGGUUAAAGCUAAUGUUGUUUCAGGUAAUCUAAUAGAGUGCGCAUAUAAAUUUACCUGUAUAUCUGGAACGUUGAGGCAACAACAAAAUUUGAAUAACCAACACACCAUUUUUUUUAUUUCAGUCCAUAUAGUUCCUAUUGAUGGUUCACACUACCGAGUGCCUAUAUUGAAUUCUUAAAAAGUAAUGUAUUUUAAAGAAUUCGACACGGAUGUGUCAACGUAAGUGAAGAUCCGUAUAACCUAGCCGAGAGACUAUAUCAUUCAUCUGAGAACCCAAACUUAUUUGUCGUUUUCAAUACUAAAAUUUCAAAAUGACGAAAAUAUCUUUUUCUAUUGGACAACAUAAGCACAUUCAAGACAAUGGGGAAAGUAGCAAAUCUAAGUCGCAUUAUAUUUCAAUCAAUAUUAAUUUAAAAGUCAGGAGAAGAACCAAAUUUUAACGGAAGGUUGUUAAGAAGACUCGCCUUUUGUUGUUUUUGAUGGUAUGAAUGGUUCGAGUUUCAGACCUGCGCUUGAAGAUCCAAACACAACAACUUUUGCUUUCAUUUCCUCCAUGAUUAACAGCUUGGUCGAGUUCCUCUAGCAAAUCUUGGAUAUCCCUCACCAGCAUCAUGUGACUCUUUACACUACUAUUUCCAACUCUAAAAUCAAUUACAUGUUCCGACAUGGCAUCAUUUCAUUUCAUGAAUCUUAACCAUCCUUUAAAAAUCAUUCUAUAUAUCUUCACUUUUUCGUGUCUAUCAUAUAGGUCCUACUAAUAUUUGGAGUUUUCUAUUUAUAUGUAUUUUGCAUAUUUAAUUUUUAAUUAUAACAUACAAUUUUAUGGUCAGUUAAUGCUCCAGAAUAAAAUGUAUAGGUCUUUUUUUUUCAGUUCCUCCCAUCCCCCCAAAGGAUCAUCUUCAAUAACAUAUCAAAAUUCACAUUAAUUAGAAAAAGCUAACAAAAAAUUUAGAGGUGUUUAUCAUGUAAAAAAGAGGGUAAAAAACAAUGAAAUUCCAAAAUCGAUUGUGAGAAGCCCUGCUAGAGAAGAAAAUAGCGAGAGGAAUAUCAAGGGUAAAAACAAUUUUGAAACAUGCAUGAGUAAACAAAACCCAAUUAGAAACAAGAAAUUACAAAAUUCUACAAUAAACUACUAAAAAAGCGGAGAAUACUAAAUAAAAGAAGCAGAAGUAGAACACCCAAUAGAUUGUGACUAUCAAAAAGGUAAACUUGCCAAGGAAAAAAAAAGGAGUGAGAAGAAUAAGAAGGGGAACAAACAGCAAUUCAAAUGAUGAAAACAAAAGGUUAAAAAGGCUUACCAAUUCAAGAACUCGGAAGAGAAAGUAAUAGAAAAUCAAACUAUCAAAGAGAAGAGAUGAUUUCAGUUUAUUACACAUGUAGAUAAAAGGACUAUGUCUAGUAAAAUUGGGCCAGACAGAGCAAAAUAUUAAAGCAUUCACUGUACACUUUAGAAUGCUUUUUGUAAUACUAUAUGAUGCAUUGUUCGUCCGUCUCUUACUCGCUUAUAUUAAAGGGUAAUUUAAUCAUCUCAUUAUUGUUAUUAUUCGCUAGUACAAUUUUCACUGGCUUGAAAGAAUUUAAUACACUUUGUUCUAUCAAAUGCUUCCAUACCUUAUUGAUUCCCGUUCAAUCAAAUUAAAAUUUAAAUUAACAUCUUGAAUUCAUUAUUGAAUAUCAACAGUACAUAACUUGGAUGUUUUAGUUUUUAAAAUGGGGGACGGCUAUAGCCUAUGCCAUACUGCGAUUGCAAUUUAGAGAGCAAAACAAUUAUUUAUCGGAACAGAAAUAUUGUUAAGGCUAAACAAUGCUUCAUAAAAAUUCAAAGGAAAAUUCCUUUCAAGCAAAAAUCUGAUUCUAAUGUUUUAAAAGUCUGCAUCUCAAGGAAAGGGAAAACAUAGUGAGUGUUUUUGUUUAAACAGCCGUGCAACUGCCUUUACCACUUUUUCCCUCUAUUAAAAGCAAAAAAGAAAACCUAUUGGAGUCAUUCCAUAUUAAUGUUCCCCACUUUACUUCAAUCUCUUUGAAUCCCGACCUUCUGAUGUCCUUCCAUACCUCUUUUUACCAAAUAUAUCAUGCCGGAAGUGACAGGAGAAUCCUUUACGACAUCCCUUAGGUUUAUCAAAGAAAAUACAAGGUGUCAAGCUGCACGGAAUUGGUUUUUGUAAGCUUUCAUCAACCAUAGACUCAAUUUUUUCUCCACGUUGCUUGAUUAGGGAAUUGCAGUAUUUGUUGAUAUCCUUGUGACUAGUCAUCGAGGAGGAAGGGCCAACAUUUGGUGAAAUAGUCAACUUAGGCUGCAAGGUGGUAGGACAAUAUCGGGAAACCAACUCAGAAAUUUCUCCUCCGGCAUGGUAAGGUACUCCAUAUUUGCUAAUGAGUUUCUUGAUAUUUUUGAGAUCAAGCUCUGAAAGGGAAUAGGUUACUGACUUAUUCUCUCUAAUGUCAGGCUGAGUCAUUGUCAAGGGCAUAGAUUUUGCAGAUCCUGCAUGGGCAGCAUUGAGAGAAACAACAUUGGUAGCCAUGCCAUGUUCAUUCAUCAGGUUGAGGAGAAGCCUAACCAAUAUGUUGGCAUCAAUUAGACUACCCUGCUCUUGAAGAGUAGCUACAGCUAUGGCUACAAGAACUGUCAAAUCAUGAGUUGGUUCUUCUUCUUCUAUAGAAAUGGUGCUGACUUCUGGAGUUUGACUAUCAUCAUAACCUUGUUCCAGGUCAGACAAGUUGUAAGGACUGUUAAAUAAGAAAGAAAAAUACUCACUGAUUAAAACCAAGUAAACUUAAGACAAUGAAAUCAACAAAACAUUGAAAAGUAAUCCAAAAAUUACUUACUUUGGAGGAAUUGCAAACUUGUUAGGGAAAACCGCCUCAAUCACCCUCCUUUUCCUAUACUCCUGCUUAUUGGCUUCUUGACUCUCUUCACCAGCAACCACUAGCCAUUUCUCAUUCAGAUGGAACUACAAAUAACAACAAUAAAUGGGGUUAUCAAAACAAUAUGUAUAGAAACUAUUCAAAUAAAGACAAUUUCUAUCAUAUCAACUUAAGAUUACCUUGGGAGGGCAUUUCCAUAUAGCCAAUGAUUUGGAAGAAAGUCUCUCUUCUGACUUCUUUAAGCAAUCACUUCUUUUAAAUGAUGAUUUGUUGAUGCUUUGAUGUGUCUGCUGUUGAGAUAUGCUCCCAACUUCUGAUGGGCAAUCCUCUUUGCGAUAAUGUUUUACCUGUUGAGUGGUAAAUUAUACAAACUUGUUAAGGAGAAAUUUGGAAUAAAAAAACUAAAGCAUAUCAAUGUUCUUGAUAAGUAAAACUGAAAGUAUGUCAAUUUGACAUGUCCUUGAUACUACACAGAAAGAAUAUCUCUUUGGGAAAUGAAAUGUAACUCAAGCAUUUUGGUGCCUCGAUAGAUUAAUUAGCAAAGCAGAUGUUAUCGGAUAAAAAGGUUAACUAUCAAGGAAUCAAGAACACUAUACAUUUGGUUCGAGAAAACCCAGUAGGAUUUAAAAUAAAGGAAAUACGAUAUAUCAUUUUUUUCAAUUAGUUUUAAGGAUAAGGAAAGCAUGGAAAGCAUAAGAUUGGGUACGCUACAUUGAUCAAAUUAAGAGGGGACAUUACAUGUGUUGAACUACGAUAUGAGAAUCUUCGUUAUGCUUGUUUGUAUUGCGGUAUACUAGGACUCAGAGAAAACUUGUGUCCCAAGAGCAAAAGAUAUAUGAUCAGACACACUAAAAAAGGAUUAGUUUGGGGCAUGGCUAAAAGUAGAGAAUGGUGUCGCUUCAGCAGAUUAAAAUAGACAUUGUGGAUAAUAUUCUUUUUCUUUUAAUGCAAAGGAUAAGUUGCAUCUUUUAACUCUCCGUAAUUAAUCUAUGUGAACAUUGCUAAGUCGUUAGUAUAUGUAAAAUAGGAAAGUUACUUCAUCAUUAAUGGUUCACAUUUAUCUCAGGUUUCAGUUUCCAAACUUUGUAAGAAAAUAUUCAGAAGACUUGAAGUUACUUUUGUAUUAUGACAAAUUUGUCAUUAAAGUGAGAGUUAUGUUUCAUUACAUUAAUUAUACGUUAGUUUGUUACAUUCUUUUGAUGGAUGAAAAAUAAAUGAUUUUCCUAUUUAAAAAGUAUCAUUUGGGAGCUAAGCACAGAGAAGAAAAAUACAAGUCCUAUCUUUCAUUUAUUCUCCCUCAACAAUUUCCUUUUAUUGGCUUGAAUAAUCCUUCAUCCCAUUGAGGAUUUCUGGGCAAUUAUUUUUGUGAAACUCCAUACUUUCAGCCACGAGUGCACGUGUUUGACAGUAACUGUAGAACCUUGGAGAAGAGCACCGUCUACUCAUACUGUCACACCGGCAAGGAUUUUCACUUUCUAGAUAGAAAGGAAGAGGUCAGGCCCGCCCACCUUUCACAAGAGUAGAAGCUGGUACUCAACACUUGUAUUCUAUUCCCCACGCCUAUUUGUUCACCCGAGAUGCAGAACUCUUUUUUCUUUUUUAAUGAAUAGAUAGAGCCAUGAUACAUUCCGAAAUAUUGUAAAGGUAAAUAGACUCUUUUCGCCCCCUUUUCGAUGUCGCUUAGGGGAAUCAACCUUCUUUAGUCAAAGCUAUUUCUAUUUUUUUGUUAACUGAUUUAUGUAUCGGAUUCCAUUCGCCCCACGGUGGGGAAUUAAUGAUUGGCUUUAUCUAUAAAGAUUUUGGGGUGCAGAAGCUGCACAAAAGCCCUUGCUUCUUAGCGCAUACCCUUUCUUGCUCGUUAGCGCUUGACUAAUAAGAAAGAAAGACCAGCUACGACGAUUUGCACCAAAGUUGAGCCGAAAUCGCUUUCAAGGAAGUGUCUUGCCACGAUACAGUGUUUUUGAUAAGUUAUCAAUAUUGUAGUAUUUUUCCCAAUAGACAUGAAGAAGUAAAUAGUACUGAGGGGCAUAAUCUAAUGAAAACUAAAAAAUCCAAAUUGAUUGAGAGGAAAAGAGAUGUAGGAACCGGAAAUAGCUUGAUACACAUACAAGAAAGAGUUAACUCAACUAAUACACAGAUGGGUAUAAAGAAACAUAAUGCCCAUAAAUUAUGUCAAAAUGAAUGCAAAAAAACUGCAGGUCUUAAGGGAAGUGACGAGAAUUCCUUGCACAAAAAAAAAUCAAAUAGAAGGCCAUAAAGGAAUCAAUACCAUACAAGCUGUAACAAAAGACAAGGUAUGUACUUUUGCUCUUGAGGCUUAUUCUGAGUGCUUGGCAUUUGAACAUUGUAAUGAAAAUAAUAAGUUUAAGCAACUAAGGAAUGACAAUCAGAAUGAAGGGGAGAAAAUGAUAAAUUGGAAACGGAGGACUAGAUUAGUUUGUGUUUCUAAUAGUUUAAAGAAGGAUACAACGUUAAAGAUAAUGGAAAUUGUGGUUAUCAUGUUAUUAUAGAGGAAGGAGUACAAGCUACAGGGGAUAAAUGAAAGAAUAACAAUUCUUUUUGUAUUGAUAUAACAACAAAAAAAUAAUAAUGGUGGAGCGAGAGGCCAGCCCUAAAUGGCUUCCCUUUCGCCUAGCAAAGAGGAAGGAAUCUGAUUCAAGAUCUUGGACAGAAGGGAGGGGACAGAGACGGAGCUUCCUUCUUGUCUUUCACAUUGCAGAAAGAUUAUUAGAGGAGAGACGUAUGGCUUUAUUCUUCACAAUGAGGACUAUGGUGUGAAAUUGUCGAGGCCUGGCAGGAUCAUUGACAAUUUCCUUUUUGGAGGAGACAAUGCGUCUUCACUCUCCAAGAAUGAUUUUCUUAAGUGAAACAAAAAAGUAGAGAAACACGGUUAAGAGGGUACAAAGAUUAGUAAAUAUGGUGCACGCUGUAACUGUGGAGCUGACGAUGGGUUAUUAGGAGGCCUAGCUUUAUUUUGGAAUUACACUAUCCAGUUAUGUGAAUCAGAUUCUUCUCCUUUUACAUCACAACUUUGAUAGAAGAUGGCUCAGCUGAUUGCAAAUAUUGGUGUUUAUUUGUGUAUGUAAGUACAGAUAGAGUCACUUGUUGAUAUCGUAUGCAAGAAUUAGUUAAAAAAUGCAUAGAAACAUUAAUGAUAUUAUUGAUGGAUCGGAAAAACAAAGAGGAAGAAGUAGAGAUACUUGGACCUUUAGAGACUUUAAGAAUUUUAUAUGGAACUUAGGUGCAUUUGACUUAAGUUAUAAAGGAAAACCUUGGACAUGGUGGUGUUACAAGGAAAAUGAGGGUAUAAUCCAAGAAAGGCUAGAUUUGUCUUAGUCACUCCUAAUUAGAAAAUUAAAUUCGAGAAUGUGAAUGUGCAACAUAUUGAAACUGAGGCAUCGGAUCAUUCUUCCUUGAUGUUGUCUUCUGAUGUGGAACCAAUUAGGAAGAUAAAACAAUUUUACUUUGAUAGAAGGUGGAUUGAGAGUGAAGGAGUUCAAAUAUUAUUUCAAAAGCUUGAUCGUAUGAUUGUAAUGGCUUUGAGAAAUCUCAAGUUAGCUUUAAAAUCAUACAUAUUUGUAGAACUUUGGAGAGAAUUAUUGACAUGAAGGGGAAUAUUACAGCCCUUAGGAACAACACUAGUAAUUUUUAAUGGGUAAAUUAAGGUUAUUGAAAAGGUAACUAAGCCAAGCCUAUAACUAUGAAGAGAACUUUUUGAAACAGAAUUCUAGAGGUUUAUGGUUGAUGGAUAAAAAUACUUCAAUACUUUCACAUGGGAGGUGGCUGGUAGACCAAACUGAUAUAAUCCAAGAAGUUGGGCAAUAUUAUAACAGUUUGCUCUCUACAUCUAACCCGACAGACUUGGAUUGUAUUUUGAAUCAUGUUAAAGUGAUUGUUAAGAGCCUAUGAAAAAGUUGAAUGGAUUUAUUUAUACUUUUACGAAUGGAUUUCCAUAAAAAAUUUGUCAAAUGGAUUAGCCUACCAGAGUGAUAAGAGAAGGGGAUCCACUGUAACCAUAAAAUGGAUUUCCAUAAAAUUUAUUUUUAAUAUUUUAUGAUGGUUUAUCUACCUUAUUGAACAUAUUAGAAGAACAAAAUGAAUUCCAAGGGCUAAAGUUGAAUAGACAUUGGUAGAGGCGAAACUCAUAUUUUUUUGUUGAUGACUCCUUUAUGUUUUGUUCAGUUAAAAAUCAAAAUUCAAGUUGUGUAGCCAAUAUCUUAAAGAAAUAUGAAUGAAGCUCUUGGCAAGUGGUUAAUCUAGAUAAAACAGUUAUCUGUUUUAGUAAAAAUGUGAGAGAGGUGGAGAAAGUUAAGAUAUCGUCGUUGCUUAGCCAACGACAAAGAAAUGACAUGUAUAUGUAUUUAGGCUUACCGAUUGUUGUGGAACGCUCCAAGAGAAAGGAUGCUAGAGUUAUAAAGAAAGAGUCAAGGAAGAAAAUAAAAGGAUGGAAGGGGAAGAGUUCUUAAAAGCAAAUAUUUUCCAAACUCAACCUUUCUUAACAUCAUCUUUAGGUUCUUGGAUAUGGAAGACUAUUUUGUGGAGAGAUGUUUGUACUAAAGGAUUGAGAUGGAGGAUUUCUAAUGGAAAAAAAUAUUAAUGUUUGGAUUGACCCUUGGAUACCAAAUAAUAAUGGCUUCAUCCCUAAGAGUAUCCAUGGGCAUACAAAAACAUGGAACUAUGAAGUUUAAUCAGUGUUAUUUGUAGUUUUGAUGAUUUGACAAACUCAGGGCUUAACACACUUCUUACUGCCAGCUGGAAAAAGUACAAAAAGUUGGUGCACAUUCUGCAACAGUGACAGAAAUGGCAGACGCGACAGAAACCUCAACCAAUGACAUUGCUUUAAGGAUUGUGACUAUUUCACGUAAACAUAACAUCCAAUUGUCACAAUCUUAGCUUUUGCAACUUAAAAAACAUCUCAAUAACACUUGCAAAGGAUGAGAAAUCUAAACGAAGAAAUAUUCCGAAGAGCAACUCAAAACGGAAAGAGUUGGAAGCUUAGUUUUCUUAGGAGCAUUUCUUCUGAUCUACAAUUGUAAUAUGUUCCUAAACAUAUAAAGGAGUUAGUUUGCUUUGGUAUGUAAAUUCUAAGUUAGUUAAGUUCAACUAUCUUAGUGGCAACCUUGUGUGUUGCUUAGUAAAUUCUAGAUCCUCAGUUGUGUGGUGAUUUAGUGGGCAACCUGCGAGUUCCUUAGGGAAUUCUACGUUUUCUAGUGGUGAUAGCUUAGUAGGCAAAGUCAUAUUUGCAUAGGCUCUUCAAGCAAUAGAGUUAUUGCUUGGUUGUGAGACUUAAAACUUUCUCUCACGUUUUUGUAAUCGGUUUCACCUUUUCUUGUGAAGAUUACUAAAAACGGUUGAAAAUCAUGUGUGAUAGGUCGUGAUUUUACUCCCUUGAGGAAGGAGGUUUCUACGUAAAUUGCUUGUGUUGUUAUUAUGCCUUUACUUACAGUUUGUUCUUAUUUUCAGUGAGUCAAGGGACAUGGUCCAUUAAAUGUUAGUGGACGAACGUAUUCUAACAGUCAGGUUACUACAUCGCAAAGGAUUUGAUCGGUAAGACAUUGAAAAAAUCAAAAACUCAAGUGAGUUGUCACUCUUUUCCAAACUGCUUUUGGGACUUCUUGUGGAAGUUGGGAUAUAAAAAUAAGCUUAAUUAAUUUUUGAGAAAAUGUUACCUGUAUUAUGCAUAUUUAUUUUGUCUUAUAGUAAGUUACUGAUAUAGUUACUGCCUUUAGUAUCUGUAGAAGACUCCUCCUGUAGUAGGAGUUUAUUAUUGUUGUAUAUUAGUAGAAGAGUCCUCCAACGGUUUAGAAGCUUAUGUAGCAAAUAGCUUCCUUAAGUUUAGAUAUAUUUUGUUGUUAUUGGUUGCUUUAAGCCCAAAAAGCAAGUAACAUCAUCAAGAACACUAGUGCUGCUUCACAUGGACUUAUGUGGACCCUUGAAGGGUCAAAUCAAUAAUGACAAGAAAUACAUUUUGGUGAUAGUUGAUGAUUACUCGAGAUAUACAUGGACAAGAUUCUUGAAAUCAAAGGCAGAAACACCUGAAGAAUGGUGGUGUUUUUCAAAAUGAUUCAAACUAAAUUGAAUCAAGUCCUUUGCAACAUUCGAUCUGAUCUUGGUAAUGAGUUUGAGAACUCAAAACUGGAUAAAUUCUGCAUGGAGAAUGGUACAAGUCAUAAUUUCUCUGCUCCUAGAAGUCCUCAACAAAAUGGAGUAGUGGAAAGAAAAAACAAAACCUUAGUGAACAUUUCCAGAACUAUGAUUAUUGAAUCAAAUCUUCCUCAAAAUUUAUGGGCUGAAGCUGUCAACACAGAAUGUCAUGUUACCAAUAGGUGUCUGAUAAGAGUUGUUUUGAAUAAGACCCCCUAUGAGCUGCUCAACAACAAAAAGCCUAUGUUGAGCUAUCUUAGAGCAUUUGGAUGAAGGUGUUUUGUGCUGAACAAUGGAAAGAAUGAUCUAGGAAAAUUUGAUCCUAGGAGUGAUGGAGUAUUUGUUGAAUAUUCUUCAUCCAGUAAGGCUUACAAAAUAUUCAACAAACAAACUCAAUGCAUUGAAGAAAACAUUCAUGUUUUAUUUGAUGAAAUGGAAGCUUGAAGAAUAAUGAAUCAAAUGAUGAAGAUAAUAUGAUCAAACUGUUCAAUUCGUAGAAAAUUGAAGAAAGUGAAGCUGAUGCAGAACAACAACUGAAAAAUGACUGUGAUGAUCAAAAUCAUAGUUUACCUGAAGAGGCUGAUGAGGUGGAAAAAUGUGAUGAGGUACCUAGUACUACUCAUAAUUCCAUCCAGAGUACAUCAAACUCCCCAGAAAAUGAUGUCUCUCUUGAUGAAGAAGAACAUGCUGAUCAGCUCAACCAGUCUGCUCCAAGAUCAGGAUGGAAGCAUAGUUUAUCACAUCCUCUUGAUAAUCUUAUCUCUCCCUUGAACUCUUGAAUUCAUACUAGAUCACAAACAAGAAAUCUAGUUGCAUUUUCAGAAUUCAUAUCAUCUAUUGAGCCCAAGAAUGUGAAAGAAGCAUUAAGUGAUGCAGAUUGGAUCAACUCUAUGCAAGAAGAACUUCAUCAGUUUGAAAGAAGAAAGGUAUGGUACAUGGUUCCUCGACCUGCAGGCAGAACAGUACUAGGAACCAGAUGGGUUUUCAGAAACAAGCUUGAUGAAAAUGGAGUGAUUACUAGAAACAAAUCCAGGUUGGUGGUUCAAGGAUACAAUUAAUAAGAGGGAAUAGACUAUGAUGAGACUUUUGCACCUGUUGCCAAGAUGGAGGCUAUUAGAAUUUUAAUAGCUUUUGCUGCAUUCAUGGGGUUCAAGCUGUAUCAAAUGGAUGUCAAAAGUUCAUUUCUGAAUGGAGAUCUCAAAGAGGAGGUAUUUGUCAAACAACCUCCUAGGUUUGAAGAUGCUGAGCUACCAGAUCAUGUGUUCAGAUUGAAUAAGGCUUUGUAUGGUCUGAAGAAGGCUCCAAGAGGAUGGUAUGAAAGGCUGUCAAAGUUUCUGCUGAAGAAUGGUUUCAAAAGACGCAAGGUAGACAAUACUCUGUUCUUAUUAAAAAGAGAACAAGAAUUGCUUAUUAUUAAAGUUUAUGUGGAUGACAUAAUUUUUGGAGCUACUUCAAAACAUUUGUAUGAAGAAUUCUCAUUAUUAAUGGGAAAGGAAUUUGAAAUGAGCAUGAUGGGUGAACUGACAUUCUUCCUUGGUUUACAAAUCAAGGAAUCAUCAAAUGAGAUUUCAAUCUAUCAGGAGAAGUACAUUAAGGAGCUACUGAAGAAAUUCAAUAUGUUUGACUCUAAACCUAUUGAUACUCCUAUGGGAACAAAUUCCAAGCUUUUAGUAGAGGAAUCUGAUCCUUUUGUGAAUCAAACAACGUACAGGGGAAUCAUUGGAUCCUUGUUGUAUCUGACUGCUAGCAGACCUUAUAUUGUUUAUAGUGUUGGAAUGUGUGCCAGGUUUCAAGCAUGUCCUCGUGAUUCACACUUGAAGGCUGCAAAAUGUAUUCUCUGAUACUUGAAGAAAAUAGGGGACCUGGUUCUCUUCUAUCAAACAGGUGACACUUUUGAUCUGGUUGAUUUUGCAGAUGCUGAUUUUGCUGGUUAAAGUUGACAGGAAGAGUCCUUCUAGAAUGACUCAUUUCCUUGGAUCAUCACUCAUCUCUUGGGGAACCAAGAAGCAAAAUUUUGUGGCUCUUUCAACUGCUGAAGCGGAGUAUGUAGCUGCUGCAGCCUGCUGUUCACAGUUGUUGUGGAUCAGGCAACACUUGAAAGAUUUUGGGAUACACAUCAAAGCAAUUCCUCUUAUGUGUGAUAAUACUAGUGCUGUUAGUAUGGGAAAGAAUCCAGUCCACCAUAAGAGAAUAAAGCAUAUUGAUGUUAGACAUCACUUUUUGAGAGACAAUGUUGAGAAGGGAAAUAUUGUGCUUACAUAUUGUCCAACUGAGGAGCAAAUUGCAGACAUCUUCACCAAGGCUCUCAGUAAAUAUCAAUUUGAGAGAAAUCGUGUGAAGUUGGGCAUGUUGAUCUCUAAGUGAUGUUCUUAACUUCCAACAGUUGAAUUCCCUUGAUAGCUAAAAUUGUAGUGCAGAUAUCCUUUGUGUGAAUAUUUAAAAAUCUGAAUAAAGAUCUUUUUUGUACCUUUUGUAGGUAUACUUUCAGGAAGGACUGGCCUAGCAAAGAAAAUGACUAGAAUAACUGGGGAAUGAGGAUGUAAUUGUGCUAUGGUACUUGGUUCCUGUCCAGGUUACCAUUUAUACAUUAAUUUGAAACUUAAAUUAUGACCAUUGAUAAUGCCACAUGUCAGUCAUCGGUCAUUCUUACCAUUAGUACCAUCGCUUCUCUUUCAAGUGACACAUCCAAUCAUGGACCUGGCACCUUUUCACGUCUUUUUAAAAACCCUCAUUACUUCUUUUUGAAAUCUUCAUCCGUCCUUUAACAUUCUUUUUGCUUCAAGAAGGGUUUAAGUAAAAGUUAAAAAGGCAAACUUUGUUUCUUCUUCUUCCUUUCUCUGUUCGAAAAGACAUUUUUUUCUAGUCAAACAUGUCUUCUCCUUCUUCUACCUCCAAACAGAUGCUAAAUGCUCUUAGAGAAAUAGAGCCCAUUGCUUUUUACUCUCCGUCUACUGUGAAGUCCAGAUCUAAUGCCCCUUCUAGUUCUCAACAAGAUCCACCUGACAAUCCGUUCUAUUCCAUAGAUUUAAACAACACAUGCUUGCUUACUGGACCUGGUCCUUUGCAAGAAAUGUUGUCUAAUACUCUUUUUGAAGGAGAUUUGCCUAAGCAUAAAGCAUCUAAGUCCAAUAUCUUGGCAGCAAGUGAAGAGUUGGUUAUUGAGAGUUUGGAUAUUAUGAGGGAAGAAGCAAGGGAUGAGCAAACUAAUGUUUUGCAAAGGGAAGAGGUAAGAAAUACUCAACCCAUUUUUGAUAAAACUCCUGACAUUGGAAGGUAUCCUUCUUCCUCCUCCUCUGACUCUGAAAGUGAGGAGGAACCCCUAAAGUGGAAGGUUGAGCGAAUGAGGGUGAGAUGUCUAGGAAAAGGAAGGAGAAGGUUGUAGAAGAGGCCCCUAGGAGAAGACCUACCACUAGGUCUGCUGCUCAAAAAUUGAUGGACGAUGCCUUGAAGGUCAAUGCACGUUCUACUGCUGCAAUUAGAAGUGCCAGAACCUUCAACGUAUCAAAUUUCAUAAUGCCUGAGACUGAUGUUGUUGAGUUGUCUGCUGAGGAAGUUGAAAAGAAGGGUAAGAAGAAAAGGCCAGUGAAGAAAAGGGGAAGGGUUUAAAAGAAGGUUGAAAACACAAAGUCCAAAAAGAAAGUUUUGUAGGAAAAAAGAAAAGACCACCGGGAUCUGGUGCCCAAGAUAGGAGUGUUGUGAGUGUCAACAUGCAGGAAGUUGUUGACAACCUGAGAAAGCAAGCCGUCUUAGCUGGGAGAGUCUUUGAUAUGGGAAUCAUACAUCUUCCCGGCAUGGACUCUCUUCAUGAUAUGGUAGAGAUUCAAUCAUGGAUACAUUUGUUCAAUAGAAAAUCCCCCAUCCUCUAUGAAGAAGAAGUGUGCGAAUUCUAUUAUAAUGUUCAAUUCAAAGAAGAUGGGAGUAUCCUCACACGGGUCAAUGACAUUGUUGUACAUCUAGAUGAAAGUUUGUUGAGCAAAAUUCUCAGGGUUCCUAGAGAGGGGACCCGGUCUGUGCUGGGAAGAACUUGCUCUACUGAGUUUGCUUCCUUGAUUUCUAAGAUACCUACAACCAAGGUUACUGGGAUUUAUAAGAAUAUCAUGAAGAGAGAGUACCAGUUGGUCUUCGAGUUCAUCAACAAAGUUCUCCUUCCUCACACUGAAAAUAGGACCUCAGCAACUGCAACAACUGCUGCUGACUUGUUUGUGAUGGUGAUGUUGUGUAUCUUCGAGCCCUGAAUCUCCCAGGUCUUAUGCUUGAGCAUAUCUACAAAACCGUCAUCGAGAGGAAAAGUGUUCAUGGAAUGCGAUAUAGAUAAUUUCUCACGGAAGUAUUCAAGAACUUUCAAAUUCCUCUCAGUGUUGGAAAGGCAUGGACGGUUAAACCGACUAUCUCAGAGAGGCAAUCCCAAGAGCAAGAUGGCUCAACUCAUCGAAGAUCAGGAUCAACUCAAGCAUGAGGUUGAGGAGCUCACUGUGCGUUUGAGUGGUAAAGAGGCUGAAAUUACUAUACUGAAAGCAGAACUGCUUACUGCACAGAAUGAGAGACCUGGUUUUUUCGUGGUACAAGAUCUGGAGAGAGAGAAUGCAGAGUUGAAGGCUAAGAUCACUGCCUUAUAGGAGAAGGAAAUUAAAGAUAAUGAUGGUGCCAAUCCCCGACUCACUCUUAUAAUCCAGUCCCUGUCUCAUCCACCUCCCUCUUCCUAGCCUGUUAAAAACCCUCCCUUGUGUCUUUCUUUUUGUGUCUUAUCUUUGUGUUUUUGGAUUGUCAGUUUUACUUUAAUGUAUUAAUGUUAUUGUGGAAUGAUGGUUAACUUAUUCCUCUGUUGUUCUGAUUAUAAUCCUUUGUGAAUGCUUUUCCCUUCCUGAUUGAUUUCUCUUUAGCUUUGAUCUUAUUCAGUAUUGCUGUUGAUAUCACUGGUUUACCGCAUAUCUUUUUUAUGAUGCCAAAAGGGGGAAGUAAAACUGGUAAGUAGCUAAAUGAUUAUACAUGUAGGGGAAUACAGUGAGGGGGAAUGUAGUAAGGGGGAACAAAGUUGGAGGAGAUCUGAGACCAUUGUUUGUCAUCAUCAAAAAGGGGGAAAAUGUUAUUUGCAAAUUUGAUGAUUUGACAAACUUAGGGACCUUGUAAAGGUACCGGGUUUCUUACUUGAGUGUUGAAGAUGAAACAAACCCAGGGACCUUGUAGAGGUACCAUGCUCUCAUGGUGAUGAGUCAGUUGACUGCCAGCUGGAGACGGUACAGAAAGUAGGUGCACACUUCCCAAUGGCGUCAGAAAUUGAGACUUCUUUAACAAAUGGCAAAGAUUUUAAGGAAAGUGACUUGUCCAUAUAAAAGACACUUUCCUAAGCAUCUUGUGCAGUUCUUGCAACUUGAUAAAGAACUUUUCAAGAACACUUGCAAAGGCUGUUAGAAAAUAAAUGUAGAAUUAUUCCAAGAACAACGGAAAUCUCUAGAGCUUUUAGUAUAGCUGUUUAAGAAUACAUUCUCUUGUUCUUACAUUGUAAACUAUUCUUGAAACUAUAAGGGAAUCAGUGGGUAGUGUUAAAAUUCUAGGUUGUCCAAGUGGGAUAGCUUAGUGGGUAGAUUGGUUUCUACUUAGGCUUGUUAAGAAAUAGAGACUAUUGCUUAAACGUGAGAUUAAAAACUUCUUCUCACAUUUGGUGUAAUCGUGUUUUACUUUUGCUUUUGAAGAUUAGUAAAAACGAUUGAAAAUCAUGUGAGACAGGUCGUGGUUUUACUCCCUUAAGCAAGGAGGUUUCCACGUAAAAUCAUAGUGUUGAUUUUAACUGCAUUUUACUUUCUGGUUAUAUUCAUUAGUGUAGUAAGGGACCUGGUCCAUUAUUUUGUUAAGUAAAGGCAUAUAUUCUAUCAAGUCCUGACACCAAUUUGCUCUAGUAAACUGGCUGAGGCAGCUGAUAAAUCUCAACAUACUAAUGCUACACUCUACAGGCGUACUCUCGGUAAGUUGCAAUAUUUAUCAUUCACCCAGCCUGAAUACUACUGUAUCUCAGAGCCAAGGUAACUUCAGGUCUUCAUAUUCUUUAUAACUCAGACUACAAUCUUCCUGGGUACGCUGAUGCUGAUUGGGCGGGAGACCCGAAUGAUAUAAUAUCCACAUGCGGCUAUAUUCUUUACAUUGGGCCCAUUCCUGUGAGUUCAUCAUAAAAAAACAACAAGUUGUAGCUCGGUCAUCUACUGAAGAAAAAUACAAAUCAGUUGCAAAGUCUCUUGCCGAACUCACAUGGGUGCGCAACUUGCUCAAUGAAUUUUCUAUCACCGUUCCAAAUAUUCCCACAAUAUUUUGUGACAAUAUUGGUGUCACUUAUCUAUGUCGGAUCCAUUGUUCCAUAGCCGUAUGAAACAUAUUGUUGUGGACUUUUGCUAUGUUAGAAACAAGGUUCAAGCACAUCGAGUUCUUGUCAAACACACUCAUGCUUCUGAUCAAUUGCUAUAUACAUUUGCCAAUCCAUUACUAGCACCAGCCUUUGAAAGGUGUUAUUCCAACUUAGGUGUUGUUGACCCACACUUAACUUGAGGGGAUGUAUUAAGCAUAAUUAUUUUAUCUUAUAAUAAGUUGUUGUUAUAGUUACUACCUUUUAGUAUCUGUAGAAGAGUCCUCUUAUUAAAGGAGUUUAUUGUUUUUGUAUAUUUGUAGAAGAGUCCUCCAACGGUUUAGGAGUUUAAGUAGCAAUUAUCUUCCUUAAGUUUAGCUAUAAGUUCUUGUUAUUAGUUUUAUCCAACACUUCGAUGCUAAAGGAAUUAGGUCAUCUUUUGAUUACUUUUGACUAUAUGAUUUUAUAACCCGUCCAUAGUACUUUAGCAAAAAGACUUACACAAUGUGGAUGAGACUUGUUAGAUUUGUGUUCUUGGACCUGAAGAUAUAGAACACAUGUUAUUCAAAUGUCCUCGGUCUCAACUUUAUGGAGGCAAUAUCCUAUAAAUUGCCUGAUAUAGGAAAUAUUACUGAUUUUUCUAUGACUUGUUCUUAAAUACCAAAUCUUUUCCUGAAUCUAUUGACUUUUUUAAACUUGAGAACUAACAAUAUUUGGCAAGUAAUUGGUUGUUAUUAAUUAGGAAAGGUUAUAUCCAAGCGAUAUUGUUUCUAGAUUUAAGUUUGAGUAUAUAGAAUAUAAAGAGUUACUGACAAAAAGUCUUUCUUCUUGUUCCUCAAUAAAUCAUCUUGUGAUUAAACUAACAAAAUUGCAAGAUGGUGUUUUAUUGUUUACAGAUGCAGGAUUACGACUCUAGAUAGCAUUGGAAACCUGCUUCAUUCCCAUGGAUCCCCAAUCUAAUUUUUUGGGGGGUUAUGACUGCUGAAGCAAUUGCUAUUGGGAAAGCUCUUCAAUAUGCUAUUAGUAAUGGAUGAAAGAGAGUGAAGAUUUCAUCAUAUUGUUGAGUGAAACCUCCUGGGAGAAGUUUUUCCCUAGUUAGAUCAUCCAGGAUGCGAAAGAUAUGUUUAAACUAUGUAUUACGUUGAUGCAACAAUAAAAGUGGUUUUGUUUUGGAGAAAGAAAAAGAACUAACUCUUUUGAAGAGGGAUUAGAAUAGGGAUUAAAAAAAGACUAUUUAGCAAAUAAUUAUAUCUCAAAAGUCUAAGUUGAGUAAUUUUAUUGAUACAAAACAAAAUCUAAUGACUUUACUAUAUAUAUUCCCAAUGUUGAGUGAUCUUUAGAAAUAUCAUUUCUCUAAGAGACAAAUAUCUGAAAUUUAACUAUUUUAAGUAUUAAAUCUUCAUUCGACAUAUGCUUUGAUAAUUUUGUGGAAAAAAAUUACAUUUGAUUCUAUCAAAAUGAGUUGGAUUGGUUAUGAACGCCGUGAUUUACUAUAAGUAGCUACUAGGCCAUAAUUUUUUUUUGACAUAUUUAAAUAUUUUGGGAAUGACUGAUUUUUAUCUAGAUUGACUUCAGAUAAAUUUUUGUUGUCAUCCUGAAACUACACUUGUCGAUGUAUACGUACACUCUACCUAAUAGGGUUGAGGCGAUUCAUGCAACACUACGCGGAGAUGACUUGAACAUGAGCAAGUAGGUUCUGUGAUUUUUGUCACAAAGUUGAUUACCUAUUUGGCCUUGGAUAUUGCAUUGGUAUUAGUAUAUUACUCCCCAAUAAAGGUACAAUAUAUUUGAAUACGUUUAGAUGAUUCUAUUGAUUCAAUUCAAUUGAAAUUGGAUUUAAUGAUUUUAUUUAAAUAUUUUGUGACUGGAAUUUAAAGUAUUUAAGGUUGAGUUGAAUCAAGUUUUCUCUAGAUCCUCCAUCUCAAAUGUAAAAUAAAUUUAUAAUGUGACAUUUAAUGCAUUUUGUUCUACAUCAAAUUAUACUUGCAUGAAUUUACUAACAAUAUCGGUUGACACUGUUGUGUUUUUUUGUGAUAUUCAUCCCCUGUGAGUCGAGCCUCCUUUUCAGUCGGUCUUUGUUAGUUCUAUAUCUUUGUAGGGUAAUAACAUUGAAAGUCGAGACUUUUAGUAAACGAGAGUCAAUAAUACUUAUUUGAGUAUUAUGAUGGUCUACUCGUGGCAAUUGAUGGGUGGACAAGGCUAAGGUUACUCUUUUCUGGAGAUAUAUGUUGAGGCACCACUUUUAUUAUGUGUUAGUUAGUAUAUGUUGUUCUUUUUUCUUUUUGUCAGAAAUUAUUCCAAGAGUUUACAUUUAAAUUCAGCAAUCACAUAGAGGUUUCCUAGACUGAUAGUUGUGUUGAGUUGUAAUAAUAGAAAUGUACAUGACAUACAUGAAAAAAAAUAUUUAUUUUUCUUAUGAAAUAAUUUUUGUAUAGUUCUAAAUUUGAGAACAAUUGAUGAUUAAUUUGAAAAUAUAUAAAUUUUUUGAAAUUGUUUGUGCGGUCGAUAUAUAUGGAUUUGAUUCCCUCAUGUAGUUGAAUGUUAGUCACGUGGAUUUAGGACUACUCUUUCAACCAAUAGGUCACCCACAUUUUCUUUUGUCUAUAGAGAUUCAAAGUCUCAAAUAGUUAUCUCAAAGGCCAUUGCCUCUUUCCCAGUAUGUUUCAAAUUUUAUCAAAAUCCUUUUGUCUUUUGAUAUUAUCGAAAUCCUUAUUUCUCCCUUUUCCACAUUUUUCUAGAUUCCAUCGAUUCAUUCAUAACAGAGGAUCCAAUCCAAUUCAAAAUAACAAAAAGAAAAUAAAAUUCAUGUGUGUGCAGACUAGAAACUGAUAUAUAAUUUUAAAAUGAACAAAAAUAAACAAUUCUGUGUAUACCUGACAAAAAUCAGGUCCAGUAGCCCAUGUAACCUUCUUCAAAGUCAUGACCAAAAUUCACCUUUUUAUCUGCAGAUCUGAAACAAAAAAGAAAUGGAGAUUGGAACCCUAGAAGUCGUGAAGAAAUCAAGAAUGAAAACGUUGCGCCGUUGCAGCCUGCGGGAGGGAGGGAGGGAGGGAGUGAGUAAAAUGUAGUUUCUGUUUUUGUUUUCUGUCCGUAGCAGGAAAAGUUCAUUACAUGCCUUUUUACUUUUUCAUUACGUCAUGUCUUCUUAUUUUUUCAUCUAUAAUUAAUUUAGACCGAAAUACCCCUAUACUACUACUUAGUUAUGGAUACAUCCAUUAUCAAUAUUAUAUUGAUGUUAUUAUUAUCCUCCGGUUUAACUUUAUUUCUCAUUUAUUCUUAAAAUAUAUUUUUAUUUUUACUUUAUUACUUUUGACAUAUAAAAAAAGCUAAUAUUUUAUUUUCAUGUUUGACCAUCAACAUUAAAUAGUUAUUUUUCAAGACAUCAUUUAAUAGGAAAUAGUUUGAUAAAAUAUUUAUACCAAUAAUGAAUGGGUGUCUUAAGUCAAAUAGUGGCAAAAAGAAGUGAACAAAGAGAAGUAAAAGACAAAUUAAAAGUAAUUAUAAACAUUAAGAUAGAUUUAUUUUUAUGAAAUUUUAAAAAGAAAGGUAUUUUUUUUUCAUAAUUGAUUAAGAUAUGAGAAGAUAUUUUCUGAAACAUUUAUCAUUCAAAACUCGUAAAUAAAAAAUAAAAAUAAAUAUUCAAUAAGAUAUAAUCAAUUAUUAGUAGUAACUUGCCAGUAUCCUCCAAAACUAAACGAGUUACACACAUCUUCCUAAUUUGUUCUUAUUUCCAUAAAAUAAAGUCCCUUGACUUAAUUAUUUUCCUAAAACAGAGUCCUACCACUUAAUUAGUUCCCUAAAAUAGAGUUUUACAUACUUAAUUGUCUCCUUAGUUUAAUGUUUUCACUCCGAAUCAGCUCAAUUCUCUCCUAUUUUUUCAUAUCCUAUGUACCAACUCCAAUAGGAGUGUGCAAUUGUCUCUUCCAAUGUUCGGACUCCAACAUGUAAAAUUCGAACUAGAAAAAUGUUAUUACACUAUUAUUGUUGGGUUAACGGGUUAAAGAUUUUUAUAAAAAAGAAUUAUCAGUUCAAUUUUGAUAUAUUAUAUUAGUUUAUUGGGUGAUCAAAUAACUCAUUAAGACUAAGAAAUUUGCUAUUGUAUAUCUACAUAAAUAUAAAAUAUUAAUGUCAAUACCUUAAAUAAUAUUGUUUUGUUUAUUUAACCUGCACUUCAUAGUGAACUUGAGUUCGCACAUUUGCAAAUGAAAAAAGAAUAAAUAUACCCCCUAACUAUCGUAAAUGGUAUGCAUAUACCUGUUGAGUUUUAUUUGUCCUGAUUUCUUACCAUAAAUAGGUUUUCCUUUUAGGAAAAAGGUUUUGAGUUGACUAUUCUUUUUUUUUUAGGAAAAGGUUAAGGACUCUAUAAAUAGAGGCAUGUUCCUUCUAACUUAAUUAGCAUUCACAAUGUAGUUUUAAGGGCUUUGAGAGUUUUGGUUAGAGGGAGAAUUUGUGAACCUCUCAUGUAUUCCGAGUGAAUUGGUUGAGGUUGUUUCCCUCUGUAUUUUGUACUCUCAUGUUUAUAGUGGAUUGCUCAUCUCCUUUGUGGACGUUAGUCGAUUGACCGAACCAUGUUAAAUCUUUGUGUCUUUUGGUAUAUUUCUCGUUGUCUUCUUACUCGUGGUCUUUCGAGGUUUGCUUUGCUAGCUUCCGCGUUUACACCUACUUAUUUACGGUCCUAACAAGUGGUAUUAGAGCCAGAUUCAAUGAUGGAGUCAGGUUCAGUGAUUCGAUAAUCGAUGAUUGAACCAAGUUAGAAAGAGGUGUUCAUCUUGGCGGGUGUAGUUCAAGCCGCAACUUUUUUUACAGUAAUGAAGAUUUUGUUGGAGAAAUUGUUUCAGAGAGGUUUUCUGUGUUGAGACAUAAAAUUUGCAAAGGAGAUUAUGGAAAGGAGAAGCAAGUUGUUGAAGAUUAAGUGAAGAAGGUGGACAAAUUUAUUUUGUCAGAAAUUCAGGCCAAGGGGGAGAUUUGUUGGGUUUUAUUUGCCCUGAUUUCUUACCAUAAAUAGGUUUUCCUUUUAGGAAAAAGGUUUUGAAUUGACUAUUCUUUUUUGGUAGGAAAAGGUUAAGGACUCUAUAAAUAGAGGCAUGUUCCUUCUAACUUAAUUAGCAUUCACAAUGUAGUUUUAAGGGCUUUGAGAGUUUUGGUUAGAGGGAGAAUUUGUGAACCACUCAUGUAUUCCGAGUGAAUUGGUUGGGGUUGUUUCCCUCUGUAUUUUGUACUCUCAUGUUUAUAGUGGAUUGCUCAUCUUUUUUGUGGACGUAGGUCCAUUGACCGAACCACGUUAAAUCUUUGUGUCUUUUGGUAUAUUUCUCGUUGUCUUCUUACUCGUGAUCUUUCGAGGUUUUCUUUUCUAGCUUCCGCGUUUACACCUGCUUAUUUACGGUCCUAACAAUACCCUCCAUCAUACUUUUGAGACAUUGGUGCACAUCCCGUCAAAAAACUAGAGCAUAUAUGUCAUUCACUCUAACAGAUCAAUCUUAUCUAUUGAUAUGAUAUUUACUAAAUAUCGGGUCAGUGGAUAAGAUUAUGACACGUGUAUGUUUGUUAGUAUAAAGGUUAUAUAUGCUCUAAUUUUGGAUGGUAGGGGCACUAAUGUCACAAAAAUAUGACAGAGGGUAUCUGCAUACAAUUUACAAUGGUUCAGAGGUAUAUUUUUUCUUUUUCCUUGUACAAAAGGUCAAAACCUAAAGUAAGAACCUUAUUCCUCUUAAUUUUUCUUGUGUUAUACUUGUAUAGUAAUAUUCAUGGUAGUUAUUACUAUUCUAUUUUAUGAGUGUUUGUAAAGCUAUAUUAUUGUCUUGUCGUGUCAAAUUGUCAGAGAAAAUAUAUUUGUCCUAUAAAUAUUUUUUUAUUGGUUAAAUAAAAAAUCAAACAAUUAAGAAUCAAAAUCAAUAAAUCGAAAACUGAAAAAAAAAUCUUUUUAUUUUAAUUAUUAGUUUAUGGUAAAACGAAACACCUAUUGUAUAACUCAAACUCCUAAUCAAAAAGUUUCUAUCAGAUCACUCUGAAAUCGUUUGGUGUGAAGGAUACUAUCAUAUAGUCCUGAGAUUAAACUAAAAUGUCAUUUUCACAUUAAUUUUCACAUUCGUGUAUAUUUACAUUAUUUUCAAUAUCAUGUAUAUAAAAUAACAUUCAUAUUCUUUACCACUUAUUUUUAUCAUAAUUUUGAUAUCUUUCUAUUAAUAAAUUACAUUACAUAAAUAUAAUUUUCAUCUAUAAAACCUCUUUUACUUUAACAAACUUAAGGUGAAUUUUUUUAAUGUAGAUAAAAAGAAAUUUUUUGUUUUAAAAUAAGUAAAAAUAUUUUUAAAAUGCCCUUAAACUAUGCGAAAAAAUAAAUAUGUCAUCCGUUUGUAGUUUGAUCCAAAAAUGUUCUGCAGUCAAUACUUUGAUCCACAAAUUCUCUUAUUUUUAUUUAAUGGGUCAAAAAAAUACACAUUUUUCAAAUAAAAUAUAUUAUUAAUUUUCUUUUUUAAUAUAUUCUUUUCCUAAUAAUAUCUUUUAAAUUGGAAAAUAUCUAUCUUACUUCAGUUCAGAUAAAAAUAAAAAAUGAAAAUAUUUCUUAUGAUGAAUAUAUAUUUCUAAUGGACAUUUUUGAACCAAAGUAGUGAAGGUAAGGACAUGUUUAAGCCAACCAAUAAACGAAGAACAUUUUUGUUCCUUUCACAUCGUUUAAGGACAUUCUUAAUCCUUAUUCCUUUAAAUACAUAUUGUACUAUAUAUCAUAAAAUACAAACACUUAAAUAUUUAACCUAAAUAAAAUGAAAAAAAAAUAUUUUAAGAAUAAAUAACAAAGAGUUUGUUUGGAUGGGAGCUCUAAAGCUUGCCAACAAACAAUAUUAUAUCAAAUUCUAUUUGUAUUCAAACCAAAUGAUGCCUUCAUUUAUUUCAUCAUCCCAGGCAUCAAUGAUCAAAUUCCGUUUGCCUACCAUCAAUGAAAUACAUUUUAAACUACAUUUUUCUUCACCACCUUAUUCGCCCUGUCAUUCUCUCUCUUCCCAGGGUUAAUUAAAUCCACAUUGCCCGAUUCAAGAACAUGCCUAGGAGCAGAUAAGGAAUCGGUAUUAUCAACCCGAUUAUUACCAAAUCGAUGGUGUACCCGAAUAGUUGUUUAAUAACCUUAACGACUUGAGAAUUUUUUUUGCUAUUAUUGUUAGGAGAUGGAGGGUGAGGGGUACGGGUACGGGUAUGGCUAGAUGAGGAAGCAGGGGGAGCAAAACGGAUACGUGAAUAAGUUUGUUUGCGGGACACAACAGAUUCAUUGAAAAUAGAACGGUCAAUUUUAGGGAUAUUGAAAUAGUCAUCAAGACAAGGAUUGUAAUCAAUGGUGGAACAGAGGGAGAGGGAGUAAAGUUCAUAUUAAGAGAAGAGGCGAAGAUCAACGGUUAUUGAUUUCUCUUCAAGUUCUCCAUCAGCUACGGUGGGAAAGAAGACAUGAAAACGAUUUAUAUAAGUUUUGGGAGAGAAGAAGGAUUUGAUUUGUCUUUUACUGUUGUUUGGUUUUGUAAAGUUGUUUAUAUAUAUCACAUAACUCUAUCUACCAAAUCAUAUUCACAUAUCUCUUUUGGAAUACUAUUUAUUUCUCUUAAUAUUCACAUUUCUCUCUUGGAAUAUCUUUUAUUAAGUUUUGAAUCUAAAAACUCAAAAUUGUCAAUUUACUUUAUUGAACAUAACGUAAAAAUGCAAAAAAUAUUAAUUGAUAAAAUAAAAAUCUUACAAGAUUAAUAUAGGUGAGAUGAUGAAUAUAUGAAAAUCAUUAUAUUUUAUUAAAUUAUGUAUCAUAUUUAAUGAAUUCAUAUUAAUUAUAAUGUAUGUGCAUGAUUCAUUGUCAUAUAUUUUUAGUUUAAUGAUAAUUGUAAAAUAAAUUAAGCAAUUCAAUGAUUCAUUGUAAACAUAAAUUAAUUAUACAUAAUUUUACUUUUUCUUAAUAACCAAAUAUUAUUCCUUGUUUAUUUACUAAAAAUAUUUAAUGUGUGAUGGUAAGAGAAUAAAUUAUAUAAGCAACAUAAGAAAUAUCUUGAAACUAUAUCCAAAAUGCUUCUCAUUUCAAAUGUGUCACAAAAUCAAUAAUGAUUAGUGACAAACUAAAUAUGUAAAAACAUUAUGUGUGUACAAAAAAGAAAGAUCAUUCUACAUCCAUCUAAAAAGAUAUCUUGUGGUUGCAACACUAUAACUUUUGAAUGCAAUAAGAAAAAUUAGAGAUGAACUUCAACCAUAUUUAAUUUUACUAAUAAUAAAAACACACUAUAGAAUCACAUUUCACUAAAUACACUUAGAUACUUUUGUUCUUAUAUAUUACUAAAUUUUGUAUCAUAUUUAUUGAAUUCAUUAUACAUGAAGUACAAUAUAUGUGUAUGACUCGUUAUAAUAUAUUUUUACUUAAAUGAUUAAUCGUAAAAUAAAUUAAAAAAUUCAGAUUAAUUGUAAACAAAAAUUCAUUAUACAUAAUAUUCAUUUUUCUUAUAAAAUUUAUUCAUUGCUUGUUUACUAAAAAUGUUCAAUAUGUGAUGGUAAGAGAAUAAACAAUAUAAACAAUAUAGGAAAUUUCUUUGAAAUGAUAUCCAAAAAUAACUUCUCAUUUAAAAGUCUCAAAAUACAAAAGAGACCAUUCCACAUGCACACAAAAUUUUGGUUUGUAGUCGUGGUAACACUAAAACUUUUGAAUGCAAUAAAAAAAUUAGAGAUGUGUUUAAACUAGAUGUAUUUUUUACAAAAAAAAAUAUAGUAGAAUCAUAUUUCACUAAAUAGUUUUAAAUAUAUUCGUACUUUUGAAUAUUAUUAAUUUAUAAUAUUAAUAGAAUCAUAUACUGAUAUAUAGUUCUUUUGGAAAUAUAUCAUUGAACCGGUACCUUAGAUAAAUUAUUAAUGAAACGAGUAUUAAUUUAAUGAUAUUUAACUUUAUAUUCAUACAACUGAGUAUGGGAUAAAUCAAGAUAAAUAAUUAGAAGAGCAUUUUUUAUCAGUUAAAUAAAAAUCAAACUCUUAAGGAUAAAAAUUGAUAACCGUGAUCUGUUUUUUUGGUAAUCGAUUUAGUAUAUUUAUAACAUUGACAAAUGGAAUCGAUAUUACAGAAAUUCAAACUUAACCAACCAAUAAGCACCUAGAACUACUAGGUAACCCUAGAAUUCAAACUUAUUGUAAUUGUCAUUUUACCCAUUUUACGUUUAUUAAAAAAGUAAUAUUCGAAAAUAGUCUCUUUACUUUCACGGGCUAAUAAUAAGAUUUGUGUACACUCUACACUCCCAAGAUCACCUUGUGAGAUUUUAAUAGGUGUGUUAUUGUUGUAUUUAUCAGUUUCAAAACUUUUGCUCAGAAUUCAUAAUUACUUGUUUAUAUGUAAAAAAUCAGUUUUGAAAUCAAAAGUAAUUUUCAACGCAUACCAAUUAUGUUUAAGUACCUAGCCUAUACGUGCUCUUACACUAUUAGCGUGCUUUAUUAAUUGAUUUCUCUCAUUGUGUUUGUUAGAUUAAUUGGAAUACAAUUAAAUGUGGAUUAACGUCAGAAAAACUCAACUCCCACUAACAAAUAUGAUCUCAUACCCAGAAGACUCAAAUUCAAAAUUAUUAGAUUAAAAAUAAAGGAAUACUUACUGCUCCAUCAUAACUCUUACUAGUACACAAUUAACACAUCAUUUGUAAGACAAGUCAAAUUUAUUCAUAACUCAAGAGAAACAUUUUAUUUUUAAUAAGAUAACUUUAUUUUCAAAGUUCGCCACAUUAAUUAUUGUGAUUUUUUUAAUUUUAAAGGUCGGAAGUUUAAACUGUAGUCCACGGGACAUAUUCAUUAUUUUGUCUGUGUCCCGAUAGCGGCGGAAGGCGGAGCGGGGUUUUAAGUUGUGUGCAUCUUGAUAGCAGAUGCAGAUGGAGCCUCGAUUUGCAGGCUUAUCCAUGCAUGCUUAAUUUUACCCAAAAACCAUGACCCAAAAGCUAUAUUAGUCGGAUUGGCCAUUCAUGUUUAAAUUGUUCCUCAAAGCCCUUACUCAAUAUCCUAGAUCCACCGACUUGGCCAUUCAUGCUUAAAUUGUUCCUGAAAAGCCUUAUCCAAUACCCUAGAUCCACUGACUUGACCAUUCAUGAUUAAAUUGUUCCUCAAUUCCCUUACCCGAUACCCUAUAUCCACGGUUUGGCCGUGAGUACUUAAAUUGUUCUCGAAACCCUAACACUAUACCCUAUACCCUAGAUCCGCCUCUUCCCUCAAGUAUGAUGGACAAGCGACUUUGUAGAUCUGAAUCAACUAUAGUUCUUUCCUAUUUGGGUAAGAUAUUUACUAGCUUCGUAGGUGAAGUUUAUUGGUGAUUCGACUUCUCUAUUUCGCCAGAAAGGGGCAUCAAGUAGCCAUGGAAGCAUUCAAAACCUGAAGGGAUCUCAGCAAACCCAAGUUUCCCCUACACCACAUGUUAGUUACAACUUUGUUCCCUUGUAUGUUCUGGCUGAAUCUUUUUCCAGACUAACCAACUAAUCAAAAUUAUGGGCCUAAGUAUGAACAAUAUGUGAAAACCAGCUCUCGUGUUAAGUUUCUGGUUUUCACAUGUUGUUUGAUACUAGGACCCAUUGUUUUCAUGAGCUGGUUGGUCUGGAAAAAUCUCAGUUUGAGUGCCGAUACUUUUAAAUGUAGGCCGAUAGCGGGGAAUAAAGCUGUAACUAACAGGUAGUUAAGAGAGAAACUUUGGUUUGCUUUGAUAACUUGAGAUUUUGAUAUCUUAAAUGAUAUCAUGGAGUAGAUUGCACAUUAUCGAACAAUAUGUGUGAACCAAAAUAUCCCCCAGCUCAAGUGUCAAGUUUCUUGAAUUCAGAAUUUUGUAAGAAAUUGUGGCAAGCAAUUAUUAGUAACAUUUCUCACUUGUACAGGUACUAGAUGGGCAUUGCACGGGCCCAACAUUAUAUAUUUAUACACAAGCUAUUUUAACUACACAAAAAGGAUUUGUCAUAUAAAUACAAAUUGAAUAUAGAAACAAAAUAGCUCCCCUUCAUGCUAAAAUAACUUUUUUUUAUAAAAUCUUUAAUUUGAUGAGGUGUCACCUGAUUGAAGCAGUCCAUAGAAUACCAUUGUUGGGUCAUUCUUGUAGCACUUUGGUCAUAUUCCAAUAGAUUCUUAAUAUCUUCACGGUAAGAACUUCACUACGAAAAUUCAUCUUUCCUCCAAAUCGAAAAAGGGGUCACCUACAAUGCAAGGCAAGUAUGUGCUUUAGGACAGAUACAUAUAUCAAAAAAGAACUUAAAAGUUACAGUAAGAAUAUUUUAUUUUUCCUAAGCAAAAAAUAAGACAAUGUAUGGUGUAUUGAGUCUCUUCAUUAAGAAUAGGGAAAAGGGUCUAAUAUACCCCUCAAAUUUGUCAUUUAGAGCUGAUACCCCUUGUUAUGAAAGUGGCUCAUAUAUACCUCUACUUGUAAACAAAUGGCUCACAUAUACCCUUUUCCUCUAACGGAAAUGAAAAAAAAUUAUUUUAAUCUCAAUAUUUGUUAUUUUUUUCUAAAAAAUAUAAUCCCAUAUGUCUAAAAAAUAUAAUCCCAUAUAUUCUUUUUUUGACUUUUUUGUUUCAAUUACUACUUUAUAAUUAUUAUUUUGAUAAUCAAAUUUAUUUUCUACUAAUAUUCUUGUAAAACAUAUUGUAGAUGAACAAAUUUUUUCUUCGAAUACGAAAUUAAAUUAAAAUACACACAAAAAAAAGUUUAUUUUUUUUCUUUAAACUAAGGAAUGAAAGAAAAAAAAACAAAAUAAGAAUAAAAAAACUCAAAUAAUUAUAAUAAAGAAGUCAAAAAAUAAUUUAUGUACGAAAAAAAUUAAAAAUAUACCUUGAACUUUGAUAGAAUAAUCAUAUAUACCCCCUAAAUAAUUUUUUAAAAAAAUUAGAAGUCAUAAAUAAAACUUAAAACUAAUUUUUUAACUUCCGUUAAAAUGAAGGGUAUAUGUGAGCCAUUUUGUAACGGUAGGGGUAUAUGUGUGCCGUUUGUAUAACGGUAAGGGUAUAUAUGAGUCACUUUUAUAACAAGGGGUAUAUGAGCUCCAAAUGACAAAGUUGGGGGUAUAUCAAACCCUUUUCCCUUAAGAAUAUAUAAACUCUCUAUUCAAAUGUGGACAUAUUAAAUACACAAGAGUAGAGAGAACUAUUGUUUACAGUCAACAUGUGUUCUACAUAAUCUUAAAUGAUAAGCAAAUUAAAUACCCUUAAACAUAUAAUAUGACAUAAUGCAAACAAUAAAUGUAAGAUUACGUAUUUUAUACCUCUCACUAAUGAAUAUUUCCUUUACUUUUCCUUUACCACAUCUGAAACUCUAGUCACAGUCCCUUUAGGUUUCCCUACACUGUAAUCCAAAUUCAUGGAUGAGCAUUUCACAUUUAUUAGGGACAUUGAAUGUCAAUUUCCCGAGCAUAUAUCAUUACGGGCAGAAUUAAGCAUACUAAGUGAAACAAAAACUCUAAAGUUUUAUAUUUAUUUGAAAAGUCAAUAAAUUAAGUUGUAAGCAAAUAUAGAUAUCUAGUGAUCUUAAAGCAAAAAGCAAAGUGAGACCAUGCACUCACAAAGAAGAUUAGUUUUUUUUUAUCAAACUUGAAAUGUAAAUAUAGUGAGGCUUUGCUUAAAAGGAAAAAGUGUGCUAUUAAACUAUUCAAGAACAUUCACCAAAGGAGAUAUUAUAUCACAAUUUAAAAGGAGAGCAAGAAUAAAAAUGGAAAAAUUUGAUUUUGGACUCGCCCUCGCUACGUGUCCUUUGGACCCUUCGUCUGCGCACCACCGUGUGAAGCAAGCUCCCUAUGUUGAAAAGUUUUUUGAAGAAUGGCACAUAGGAAUUUACCAUGAAAAAUAAGUGGUCUAAGAAGCCACCCAUCAUAACUCCCAACACAAAUAUAAACGGUUCACAAAAAAAAAUUCAUAGUUAAAACCUUUAAUAUAAAUAGUUAAAAACUUUAAUAUAAGAUUAACUUGGACUUCUUACAUGUUUGUUAUCUCAAAUGACCGAUUGUGAUAACUUAUUCAUCAUUCUACUAAUGUCACAAUGAUUAAAAUCAAUUCAUAAAUAAGAAAAAAUAGUGCUAAAACAUUGGAAUGUAAAGAAAGAUUAAACAAAAUUGUAGGCUGAUCAUUCUACAAUAUGAUUAAUUAGCAAUAGAAUAUAUAAUAGAAAACUUGUUUGACAGAAAUGUUCAACUAUAUUGUCCACAUCUAAUUAAAAAUCAAAUAAACAACAUAGAAUUCUAGAAAAUUUUGAUUAUUUCUAUUCAAGAAUUUCCAUUUAGGAAGAAGAGAGAGACAUCCAUAUAAAAUGUUUCAUGUAACAAAUAGCUAUAAAACAACUUUCAUUGUUAUGUGUUAUAACAUGAACCUUGAAGAAAGGGGAGAGAUAUUGUGCAAGUCUUAUGUACACACAACAGCGUAGCUAAGGAAACUUCAUUAAUAUGUACACCCCAGCGUAGAUAAGGCAACUUCAUUAAUACGCCUAAUGCAAUAGUCCUUCAAUGAGAACAGAGUUUGUAAUAUUAGUUCAUAAAUUUUCAUAAAAUUAAACCAUGAUAGAGAUUUCGAAAUGAAUAGAAAAUUGUGUACCUGGUGCACUACUGGUCCUUCAGCAUCAACAUUGCCAUGGAAAACCACAUAUACAAUAUCGUCAAUGCAAAAAUUGUAUCAAAGAGAAGCUUUGGUUUGUCCUUUCACCGGAUUGUCACAAUAGAGUAGUGUCUUUAUCUUACCAAUUAAGGACACUCACAUUAGGCCUCUCUCUUUAAUUCAAUCCUUCACCAGCAGCACGUUCAUAAUCUUGGUAUGCAAACAUUAGUUGGUGAUUGUUUUCUCUUAAUAUAUGAGAUGCCCUUGGAAUUUCCUAAUUAUCCUACCUCUAAGCAAUUUUCACAAUAGUUGCUUCAUCAUAGAAUUUUUUUUUCGGACCGUUAACUGUACAUACUGUUUCCUCACCUAGCUAUUGUUGCGCGUUAUGCGCGCACCACAUAGCAUUAACUACAUUGCAUUUGAGAUUUGUGAGGACACUGCUCACCUGAGGCAAUAGCCCGGUCUCUCACUCGAGCUAUUGACUCGGCACGACCAUUAGUUUUUUAAAGAUUCUUUGGUUGUUAUGCGUAUUAAAAUGAGUAAAACUAUUCCAAAUAUGAUAACUUGGACACAUCGUCAAACAGCUUGAAUGUUAUACUCAGACAACAUUAAUUUUGUACACUCAUCCCUGCCGCCGCAAGACAAAAGGUUUCUAGUGACCCCGAGAACAUGUUGAGUUUUACCUUCAGCUUGUCCACUCUUGUGCUUUCUUUAAGUUGCCAUAAUUACAACCCUACUUUACGUCUAAAAUAUUACAACUUCUUAAUGUCGCGAUUAUAGUAUAAUAGGAAUUGCCACGAUACAUUAUAUCAUAUUUUAAACUUUUCUAAAUAUGAAANNNNNNNNNNNNNNNNNNNNNNNNNNNNNNNNNNNNNNNNNNNNNNNNNNNNNNNNNNNNNNNNNNNNNNNNNNNNNNNNNNNNNNNNNNNNNNNNNNNNAUCAAGUAAAGUAAACAAAGGAUCACAAUAACGCCUAACUUAACAUAACAUAAUGCAUAUAAUUAAUUUCAUUAUAUUUAGAUAAAUAUAUCCAAUAGGAUGUUCAUAAAUGAGCUAACAUCAUAGAGGAUCAUCAACAUGUAAAGUCAACAUAAGAAUAACAUUUAUUUUAUAAGAUUAUUAUAUCCAGAGAUUAUCCUUCUAGGACUUCCAAUCAAAGUCCACUAGUGCAGUGCCUAGGUAGAGUCCCAUACCCCUACAUAGACUAAGAAAACCUCUCAAGUCACCCUAUCUAGAAUUCACAUCAUUACUACUUCAUAAUUUCAGGAAUAUUUGCCUUUUAGACAUAGAAUAGAAGAGCUAAGUGUGGAAUACGGUGUUGUAAAACCUUACACUAAUGGAAGGUGGUCUAUCGCCCAAAGUAGAUCCAAACAAAAACGUAGCUUUCUAAAUGGAUCCACUAGCUAGUCUUCUAUAUGGUGAAACAUAGUUCUCGAACUAGGAGAUAUGUAUGAACCCUAGGCAUGAUUAUGGCAUUGGAUCCUCAUCUCAUGGAAAUCCAUUGGGUGACUGUCCCUGAUACGGGAGUCAACACAUAUAUGGAACGAUAAAGUGAAUCUUCCUCUAUGGGAAGUCAAACCUCCGAUUGUCAAUUUCACUCGGUGCUAAGUUAAGUCCCUUUUGAAAUUUCUUUCCUUAGAAAUGAUUACUUAUUUAGGUCAUACGGUCUAUCCCUUAAAAUAAUCAUAGUCAUUUAGCUCAAUAGAUAUUUCAUGAGAACGUCUUUUCAUGACAACCCUCACAUGUUAGAUUAGCAUAUCAUCAUCAUCAUUUCACAACAAAUACAUAGGCAAGUCAUUACCAACCUUAUAUCAUUUCAUCUUAAGCAUAAUCUUACAAUCACAAAGUCAAGAGAUUUCAAUUAAACAUCAUACCAAGAAAUAUGUAGGCUAUUCACAAUGUAUAUCUUCAAUUGAACUACAUCACCACUCACAAGCCAUCAUACUUGAAGUAAAAGGUUAGGAUCAUGAAGACUUACAAAAAUUUCCUUAAAAAUCCAUCAUUAUUGUCUUACAAUCAACCACCCAUUACAUCAAAUAAUAGGUGUCGUAACAUAGAUCAAUAGUAAUUUAAUAAAAGAAUUUGGUUAUUUGCAUCAUCACUAUCUCAAUUAACAUCAAUUUAUAACCUAGGGUUAAGGGAAUUAGUGUUCAUCGAGAAUUUCAUCCAAUCCCACCAAUACAUUUCCCUAGUCAAUCCAUGGAUGAAUUAGAAUAGACAAAACAAGUCUAAUAAUCAAUUCAUAAUUUAAUUCCCAUCAAUUUAUAACAAAGAUCCAAGAUUUGGGACAAGUAGGGAACGUAACAUGAUCAACAUGAAAUUAAAUCAAUUAACAUAAAUACUCAAUAAGUCAUAGGAAAUCACCAUUCAUCAUCAUUUUGAACUAUAGAAGAAAAUCAUUAGAAUAUGAAAACCCCAUGGAAUUGGGUAAUUUAAAAAUCAACAUUGAGAGGAACUCUUGGGGAAUGGAGGCCCAAGAGUAAAGAAACCCAUACCUUAUUGAAGAUUAAUUCACGAAAUUGAAGGUAAAUCCUUGAAAAAUUGGCCUUCUUCUUAAAGCUUUCUUCCUUGUUCAGUGUAGGAAUUGGGGAGAGUGUAAGUAGAGAGAGGUGAGAGCUUUUGGGUUUAGUUUAUGGAAUUGGGUUUUGAUGAGAGAAAAAUGACUAAAAAUACCUUUAGGCUAAAUAUAAUAACACCCUCCUAAAUUCUCAAAACACCCCUAACUUAAAUGGGUCUUUUUGUGAAGUCCAAAUGUAAGAAAUAUCAUUUUACCAAAGUUGGAAGUGGUUCUGCGUCGUCUCGGGGAAAACAAACAUUUUUAUUUCCAAAAAAUAAUUUGAGAGAAGUGAGGUCCAUUUGUGGUGCGUGUUGCAGAGCAGCCAACAGAUUCUUGACUCUGCAUGUUGUUGGCGCGCUGCCCACCCAUGUUGGGGUCCUCCUCCAUGACCCUUCAAAUGGUUUUUGGGGCAUUUUUAUUGGACAUUUAAACCCACUAUACUACAUUCUACCUAAACCAAUGUCUUUUUACAGGUUUGGUUUAAGAUUCAUUUGGCCCCUUCAAGACUAUCCCAACAUAGCGAUGUCAACUAGUUCAAUACCUAGAUUUUGGACGUCAUGGACGUUCUUUAAUGUCUUGGUUCUAAAACAUCUUGGAUUACUUAUAUACAUUAUUAUAUGUCUUAAACAUUAGUUAAACCUUUAAACAAUGAUGUUAGGAUCUAGAAUAGGUGUUGAAUUUUUUCAGUGUUACAUUAUUAUCCCCCCCCCCCAUAGGAACAUUUGUCCUCGAAUGACACUAAACUUUUUAAGUGGAAGGGAUAGACUAAAGACUAGCAACCCAACAAACAAUAUACAUCAUCAACAUGAGUUAUAAUUUGAUUCAACAUAAAAAUAUGGCAUUUAUAUAAUGACUCAAAGCAUCAGUUUUAUACAUAAUGGCUCAAAGUAACAAUAUGAGGAAUUUUAUUCCCAUAACAGCAACAUGAUCUCAACAUAUCAUUAAAGAGUCAAUUAUGCAAAUGUUCCUUUCUCAACAUAUCAAAAGUUUCAAUAUCAUAUUAUUAAGACAACAACAUAUGAAGCACCUGCAAGUCAACCAAAAAAGCAUUUUUCCAUGAUAAUUAAUUUGAAAAAACCUUUUUACCUUAAUUAUGCAAAAUUUUGCAACACAAGUCAAAUACAAUCAACUCAUUAUUAUUGAUUAUUAUUAAGGAGAAAAACUAACCUUACUUAUAAAAGAGAUGUGGAUAAUGGGACUUCAUGUCGGCAUCGGCCUCCCAUGUUGCUCCCUGAACUAGGUAGUUUCUCCAUAACAAUUUUAAGGAGGCCACCUCUUUGUUCCUCAACCUCUUUACUUGAUGAUCAAUGAUUUCAACCAGAACCUCCUCAUAGGAGAGGUUCUCUUUAACACCAAUACCUUUACUAGGAAGAAUGGACUCGGAUGAUUACCGAUACACUUCUUAUGUAAAGAAAUAUGGAAAACCGAAUGAACUAAACGUAGCUCACUAGGUAGUUUCAACUCGUAUUCAACCUUACCAACCUUUGCAUAAUUUAACAGGGACCCACAUAACGAGGACUUAACUUCUCUUUCUUUCCAAAUCAAACCACCUUUUUGAUGGGUGAAUUUUUCAAAUACACCCUAUCACUUUCUUCAAAUUCAAGGUCUCUUCUCCUAUGAUUGGCAUAAGAUUUUUGCCGACUAUAGGGUCCUUACAACCGGUUCCAUAUGAUAUGAACUUUCUCCAAAGUCUUAUAUAUCUAAUCGGGACAAAAAAGUGAAGAUUUGAAAAUCUCCAACAAUCCAAUAGGUUAUCUUCACCUCAUAUCGUACAAGACUUCGUAAAGAGCCAUAGAUAUAAAUGUGAAACUAUUGUUAUAUGAGAAGCUUACCAAAGACAAGUGCUCAUCCCAAUUUCCCUUUAAGUCAAUUAUACAAGAACUAAGCAUAUCUUCAAGUGUUUGAAUAGUCCACUCCACUUGACCAUCAAUUUGAGGAUGAAGAGCGAUAUUUAACUUUACUUGAGUACCCGAAACUCUUUGAAAUGAUCUUCAAAAUCUAGAUGUAAAUUGAGGAUGUCUAUCCUAUAUAAUGUACAAAUGAACCCCAUGAAGACUUACUAUCUUUUAAAUAUAGAUCCUUGCAUAGUCUUUCACCGAAUUAGUAGACUUAAUGGGAAAAAGUGAGUGGAUUAGGUCAAUCUAUCCACUAAUACCCAUAUAGAGUCAUAUUGCUUUUAGGUUCAAGGCAAACCUACUACAAAAUCCAUAUUAACAUCGUCCCACUUCCAAGUAGGAAUUUUGAUUUGGAUUUCUUGUAGUAGACCACUCGACUUUUGGAGUCCGGCCUUCACUUGUUGACAAUUGGGAAACUUUGCAACAAAUUAUGUAGUAGCUCUUAUUAGGACAUCCCACAAGAAAACUUCUAUAAGGUCAUGGUACAAUUUUGUAGAGUAAAGGGCUCCAUGAGAUUUCUCAAGGAUCCUACUUAUCAAAUCAUCAACAUAGAGCACACACAAUCUACCUUGAUAUCUAAGAACACCAUCCCCCUAGGAGAAUGACUCAUUCAUCUUACAAAGAAUCGAUUCUUUAAACUCCAUCAACAAUUGAUCAAGUUGUUUUUUGACUUCACCUCAAUCACCAAAGACAACUCAGAGUUAUAAUGUACCACCAUACCACCAUUUGGGGAAUCUUCAAUUCAAACCCCUAAACAAGCCAACCUAUGAACAUCUGUCACUAAGUUUCUUUUGAAUUCAUCCACGUGGGACACACUUCCCAUGGACAAUUGACUUAGAGCAUCUGCUACGUAUUCGCCUUGCUGAGGUGAUAGAGAACACUCAUAUCAUACUCUUUCAACAACUCUAACCAUAUCCAUUACCGGAGAUUCAACUCCGUUAGAGUAAAUACAUAUUGGAAACUUUUAAUACCUCCAUACUUUCAAUGCAAAUACCACGGCCGCUAACUCAAGGUAACAGGUGGGAUAAUUCUUCUCAUGAACAUUAGUUGCCUAGAAGCAUAUGCUAUAACUUUGCCAUGUUGCAUAAGAACACACCCAAACCCAACUCGGGAUGUAUCACAACAGACCACAAAACCCUUUGUACCCUCCAGUUAGUACCCUCAAGGACGCUAAGCCAAUCCUUCAACAUUUGGAAGCUCUUUUCACAUGCCUCUGACCAAAACAUUUCGCAUUCUUUUUCGGCAAAGUUGUCAAAGGGGAAGCAAUGGAUGCAAGCACAUCGACAAACCUCUAUAAUAACCGGAAAGGCCUAAGAAAUCCUAAUAUGUGUACGAUCAAAAGAUAUAGGCUAAUUUCACUGUUUUUGUCUUUCUUGGAUCAAUCUCUACACCUUCAAUAGAGAGGAUAUGACUAAUAAAUGCUACCGAUCUCAACAAAAACUCACAUUUUCUAUACUUGGAAUAAAAACUAGUGUUCCUUAAUCACUUGCAACACCACUCUCUAAUGGUCCAGGUGUUCACCCUCAUUCUUCAUAUAUACCAAGAUGUUGUGUCAAUGAACACAAUGACUAAUGAAUCUAGGUAACUUCCAAACACCCUCAUUAAGUCUAUAAACGCCGCCGGAGAGAUUAGUCAGACCAAAGGACAUUACUAAGAACUCAUAGUGACCAUAUCUAGUCCAAAAUGUUGUCUUGAGAAUAUCUUCACCUCUCACCCUAAGUUGGUGAUAUCCCGAUCUCACAUCAAUAAUACAAAUGUAAAUCGCACCUUGGAGUUGAUCAAAUAAUUCGUCAAUCCGAGGGAGAGGAUACAUGUUCUUGAUUGUGACAGGAGUUGACUGUAAGCGAUGCAUAUUCCAAGGGUACAAGAGCAAGAGCACCCCAGGACAAAUACUAGGCUGAAUAAAGCCCCUGUCUAGUAAGUCUUUGAGUUGAACGUUCAACUCUUUCAAUUCAUCCAGAACCAUCCGAUAAGGAGGAAUUAUAAUGGGAUUUGUAUCCGGUUUCAAGUCAAUAUCUAAACUAUUUUCCCAUUCGGGAUGAAUACCUCGAAGAUCAAUAGGAAAGACCUCUGAAAUUCCCUCACUAUGGGGACCGACUCAAUGGGAGGAAUUUCGGAAUCAAAAUCUUGGACUCUUACAAUAUGGUAUAAAAACAACCUUUUAAGAUCAUCCUACAAACUUUCAAACAUAAAAUGAUACGAUCUUUAUGAAUAGAGUUUCCCCUCUUUAACUCUAAAACGGGUUAAUUUGGAAAGUUAAACUUCACCACCCUUGUUCAACAAUCUAUGGAGGCGAUACAAGCAUGCAACAAAUCCAUACCAAAGAUGACAUAAAAAUCACCCCUAUUGUGAUCUACUAACUCCACAUGAUUAACUCUAUUGGGAAACUAUUAUAGGAUAAUUUCUAUAUAUUCUCUUCGAAACAACCGACUCAUCCACCGGGGUAGUAGUACCAUAAAGGUUCAUUAAAGAUAUCAUGCAAAAUGUCAAUCUUUCUACCUGCUAGAGGAGUAACAAAUGACAAGGUAGCACCAGGAUCAAGUAAAGCAUAUACAUCAAUAGAAAAUACUUUAAACAUACCAUUAACCCUAUCGGGAGAAGUGUCUUGCUCACAUCUAGAGGGAAGAGCAUAAAAGGGAUUCUUCUUCGCAGCAUCGUCAGUUGAACCACUUGCUUGUUCACUUCCCUUUUCUUGAACCUUCAAAUUAGGGGAUCUCUCACCUUGUGAAACAUUUUUCCAUAACUAAAACAAUUGACCGUUCAAACUAACCAGUCACAAAAAUGACAUUUCCCACAUAUGGUACAAGUAAGCUUCUCAUUAGUUGAGUUUCCACUCAUUCCCUUUUGGAACCUAGGUUUAGGGAACUUUUCUACGCAAGUCAUAGGGAACUUAGAAGGAACUUGAUUGGAUAAUAUCUUAUUGAACUUAGGCUUAUCUUGGAUAUCAAUCCUACCCUUUGAAGAACCACCAUCAAAAGACAUGGCCCUAUUUCUGUAACAACCCUAAAAAUGGAUAUGCUAAGCAAUGCUUAAUGUCUCUAGAAUGCCUACGAUUAGAUCGGGUUCACACGGAUUGAUGCACGUAGAAUCAGACCUCUAAACCCUUGCUACAGCCAAGACAACUAUCUUGGGGAGUUAUUUGAGCUAGAAAAGGUUGGGUUCAUUCGUGUAGGGCUCUUGAAUACAAAGAUAUACUCAGAAGAUUCUUUACCAGACUUAAAAAAGGAAUGUCUUAGGUUUGGAGGGUCUGUGGGUAAGAUAUUAUAUUUUCGAGGCCAAGAGAAAUAUAGUAAUUACCCUAAGGAAAUUAUUAAUUUAUUAAUUAAUUUAAUGAUGUGGACGGUUUAAAUCGGGUUGACCCAAAAUAAACUGUUCGCGGUACUCACUCCACCCGCGUAUGAACCCCUAUGGAAGCUUCAAUUAAAUGUAAUUAAUUUGAGGUUUAUAUUGUGAUUUUUCAGGGCUUUAUGGUCAUUUCACUAAGCUAAUUAUAUAAUAUUUUUAUUAAAUUAAUAAGGAUUCCUAGUAUGACUAAUUUCCAAACUAAAACUCCUAAUCCUAAACUACUCUCUCACGCUCAUAUCUCUCACGUCUUUCCACUUCUCAUUCACGUUUUCUCUGCAAAACAAGAGUAAUAAAGCAGAAAAAUUACUACAGAUCUUCACACUUGAAGAAAUAACUAAAAAAAUAUAUCAAAAUAUAAGCAAAAAAUUUACGCAAAAAAGGGAAGUUUCUCCGUCUAAUUGGUGUUGAAGUUGCAGGGAAUUGGACAUUAUUUUGGAGUAGGUUUUGGGAGAAAAUCCAAUGUUUAAAAGAAAGAAAAGGUAUGAGUUUUCUUACUCUUGGUCCCUUUCCCAUGAGACCCCUGGGGUUCUAUCGAUUCUAAUCCAAAAACUACGAUUGUUUCCCCGUUGCAUGUCCCUGUCAAUAGCUCCUAUCGAUGGUUGUACGUUUGUAUGUCUGUUGGUUGAUAUUAGGAAUGUAAUGUGUUUUUGUGAUUAAUAUGUUCAUGAAUAUGUGUUUGGAAUUGUAAGAUAUUAGGCAUGAAAUACUAAAAAUAGGAAAUGAGAGGAGUGGGAUUCGAACCCACCACAUCUCAGUAAGAUUUUAGGAGGAAUUAAAAGAAAAAAUAAAAGUUUGAGGCAUGUGGGAAUCGAACACACGACCUCUAGGCAGAAUAAAAGGAGAUUAAGGAGAAAAUUAAAGUGGGGAUAUGGAGGUUUGAUUCCACACCCUCUCGGCGAAGAAGGAGACAAUUAAAAGAAAAGAAAAGAAAAGGAAAUGAGGUUGUGGGGGUUCUAUCCCACAUCCUCUCAAUCCCAAUGAACAAAAAAUAAUGUGAGAAAUAAAGGGGAAAAUGAAAUGAAAGCGUUGGGGAUCGAUCUUAGGUCCUCAAGCCAUGUGGACCAAACCGAAAUAAAUAAAAAUGUAUUGUUAUCUAAGGGAUUCAAAAUAGGGUUCCCUUUCCCAAAUUUCGUAUUGAUACAUAAGUCAUACGUAAAUAAACAUUCAAAAAUAAUGUUGCCUACACAGAUUGAAAUCGAGAUCUUCACAUACUUACAAGAUGUAUAAAUCUUGUAGCACAUAAUCUUAGGAAGAUGUGAAUCACUUAAACGAACUAUGAUUGAAGCCUCAUGGCUUUUAUAUAUAGACCCAUAGUCUAGCUUACGUGAAAAUUCAGUGAACCUAAGAUGUAUGUAACGAAUUUAUGAAACCCUAGAAGGGUCAGUAAGAGUGUGAAACACAUUAAAUGGCCAUGUGCAUUGCCAUAUGAUGAAAUGAACAUUCACGUAAAAACAAGAGAGUAAUUAUGAAGGGAAAAUAUGCUAAAUCUAAUGAAUGUGGUGACAACAUGAUAGGAGGCUAAUGUAAAAGAUGAGAGCAAUCUCAAAUGAGCCUAAGUAUGUGUUACCAAAACUUACUCACCUCUGAGAGUGUAAAGCUAUAGAAGAGACUAGUAUCUAUGAACACUCUAACGAAAGUAUUUAGAAUAAUGUAUACUUAAUAGUAAUGACGAGAUGAGAAAUCAUCUAUUGAGCUAUAAUUUCCUAAUACUAGAAGUCAGCUUCCAUAACGUAUGAGUUAAAUGUAAUAGAACUUUAUACUAAGCACCAAAAGGUUAGCUUUGAGCGGUUAUGCCUUCUUUCGGGAAGGGCGAAGGUUCACGUAACUCUCAUCAGAGGUUACUGUCCCGCAUGCCGGGUAUGGUUCUCUUUAUAUCUCCUAGUCUUUGAACCUAUACUGCCAAUUUAGGGAUCUAGCAGGAUUUAUUUCCUUGUGUAUACUAGCAUGUUUUGGGUCACUUUGGCCGGUGAUUCCACCUUUUAUUGGUGUGGGGUAGGCAUUGGAUUUAAAGAUUCUCACAUGAUCUAUGUGAGUUAAUGUUAAAGUUCCCAAAGGAAUUAAUGAGGUCAGCCUCAAAUAAUGCAUAUAAUUAUAUGAACUAUACCGAAGGUGUUAGGAUAGGAUAAUUAAGAGGUGAUCUAGACUUAAGUAAUGACACUAGGUUAUUCUUGAUCAUUGCAUAGAAAACCCGAUGAGAGUCUUAAACUACAUCGUAGGUGUGAAUAAUGUUUGCACUAGAUUAUGAAUGAAUAAAAUGAAGUAUGAAUGAAUAAAGUAAACUCUGUGUUUGCUAAUGAAGGCUCCCUAGUUGAGAUCCCAUAUGUUGAGCCCUCAUUUUGGGAAUUCUUAAUGUCAAAUCCAUGAUUCAAAGGUCUCAUCGCAUCUGAACGAAUGAUAUGAAAUAUGCUAUGUGUCAUAUGUGAUAUGUUAUGUGCUAUAUGGAAGAUGUUAUGUGAUGUGUAUAAUAUGAUACGUAUGAUGAUGCAUGUUACUCUUAUGGCAUGACAUUACUAAAUUAAAUUUUUCAAGUCCCAUGAAUUUCCUAAUUCAUAUUUGGAAAAUCCCCUGACUUUCCUAAUUAAAAUUUGGAAUUCCCCUAACUUCCCUAAUCCCAAUUUGGCAAGUCCACUGACUUGACUUUCCAUAAGUCAUGUUCUUAGGAAAGAGCUAUUCUUCGUAGUUCAUAACCUUGGUGUGUGCUUGCAUAUACCCAUACUUAUUACAAGAGUGUACUAAUCCCAUACAACUCUACAUUUUUAGGUGAAGGCACAGGUGGACAUUGGAAUUUACAGCUCGACGCUGAAGCUAUCCGGACGUGAAGCACUCAUUAAGACUUGGUAGGCUCUCAUGCAUUAAUGGACGCUUGCCCAUUAUAUUCUAGAUUAUUCAUAAGAUUGAUCUAGUGGAUUAUUUUCAACUAGCAUUUCUUUCCGGUUUAUUACAAACAUUGUAUUGGUGGAUUUUGGAAAGUAUAAUUUUAAUGCAUUAUUGAACUAUUUCUUUCAUCUGAGGUUCUUAAUGUUAUAUGCUUGAUGUUGAAUGUAUAUGAAUUUAACAAGAAUGAAUUACCUGAAUGUUAAGUAAAAAAGUUCAAAAAUUUUCCAAUAAAAUUAACCUAGAUGAAGUAACAAUGACAUAUGUAGGCUUGUCUGCGACCUCUGGAAGGUCAAUGACGCUGGUGUUCUCUGGUUAUAGACUCCGGUCGUGACAAAGUUCGUUUCAGAGAAUUAGGUUAAAUUACUAAGAUCAUAAGUUCACAUCAACCACCUUGAGUAGUUUCUAUGUCAUGGUAGUGAAGUGCACCACUAUCCUGAAUUAGAGACUACAUGAUGCAUGUGGAAAUUUCCUUUCUUCUGAUAUCGACGCGCCUUUUCCUAACGUCUGAUAUCUUUAUGUUAUGAAUGUGUCUACAAUCAAUCCUUAUUGUUUUCAGACAAUAAAUACUAGGACAACAUUUGUAAGAGGAUAGGAGGAGCAGUUGUUGGGGACAAUCAGGUUGCACCCCAGGCUCCAGUUGAAGGAGUAGCUAUUUCGGUUAACCCUGCGGGGUUGACUGAUGCGGAGGUGCAGGCAUCUCUGGACUAGAUGGCACAGGCCAUUACUAUGCAGGCCCAGAUCAUUACUUACAAGGUCAACCGGAAGAAUAUUCAGAGGGAGAACUCACUGGUUCGUAGCAUGCCUGAAAGUCUAUGAGACCGCACGAGGAUGAAUCCUCUUAUUUUCACAAGGUCUAAGAAUUCAGAAGAUCCCCAAGAGUUUGUGGAUGAGGUGCAUAAGAUUUUGGUGGCUAUGGGGGGCCACAUAUAUCGAGAAAGCAGAGUUGGCUCCCUAUUAACUUAAGGAUGUUGCACAAACUUGAUGCAAGAUGUGGAAGGAUAGCCGAGCUUUGGGUCUCUUGGGAGUUUUUUUGGACAACCUUCCUAGAGAGAUUCUUCCUUAGUAAGAUAAGGGAGGACAAGGUUGAGGAGUUUAUCAACCUUAAGUAGGGAUCAAUGACAGUCAGGGAGUAUUCCCUGAAGUUUGUUAAACUAUGGAGGUAUGCAACUUCCCUUCUAUCUAACAGCAGGGAUGAGAUGAGUAGGUUCCUCAUAGGAAUCACCGAAGGUAUGGAAGAGGAGUGUCGGGCUGCGAUGCUCCACGAUAUCAUGGACCUCUCCAGGGAGAUUUUGCAUGUACAACGGUGGAGGACAGCUGGAAGAAGAGGGGCGUCUGUGAUUCUAAGAGGCCUAAGACUCAUUAUCAGGCAGGUCCUAGCAAUAGAGGCAAGAGAAAUAAUUUUGGGGUCCGUGAGCAGCCAUAUUCAAAAAGAGAAAACAGAGUUCAGGUAAAUCUAUCUUUCAGAGGAGUACAACACCUAGAGGAGGCAGACUCGAUACCAAGAAGGGUAAUGGAGGGUAUAUGCAGUGUCCCAAAAAGAAUUGUGGUAACUGUGUCCAUGCUCAUAGUUGACAAUGCAGACAGGACACAAAUGCCUACUUCAGUUGCAUUAAGAAAGGGAACAUGGUUAAGGACUUCCCACUGAACAGGGGUAAGGAUUGAGGUAAUGCUUAGCCUAGGCCUAAUGCACAGGGUGCAGCAACAGCCGCGCCUCCUAAGAGGAAUAGGUUCUACGCACUGAAGAGCACAGAGUAAGAUGAGAAGUCUGCUGAUGUUGUCACAAGUAUUGUACAAGUAUUCUCAACUUCUGUUUAUGCUUUACUUGAUUCAUGCUCUACGCUUUUCUUUAUAACUCGUCUACUUCCUAAAGUUUUGCAUGAUCCUAUAGUGGUUGGUACACCUUUAGGAGAAAAUAUAAGAACUGAUAGAGUAUACAAGGAUUUCCCUAUAGUUGUAGGUGGUAAGACUAUGUGCGCAGACUUGGUUGAGUUACCAAUGAAUGAUUUUGAUGUUAUGUUAUGACUACGAUUGUGCUAGAUAACUAGUAGUGUCAUUCGGGGAUGAAUGACUCUAAGGGGGGAGAAUGUAACAACCCUAAAAAUGGAUAUGCUAAGUAAUGCUUAAUCUUUGACGUAGUUUCUCUAAAAGAUCCAUGAAUGAACCCUAUUCCGAACCUUAACUAUGAAUUAAACUUGUAGAUGGUUAGGGUUGUAGGAAUUGGAUAAGUUAUUUCUUAAUUUAGUAUUAUAUGAAGUUGAUGAUUUGACUAUUGGAUGAAUGUAGUGGACUUGAAUGUCACAUCUUUAAGGAGAAAGGCUUCCCUUAUGACACCAUCCGUCAAAGGUGAAGGAUUGACUGAACCUUGAUCAUCAUUAGCAACUUUUUCAAGAUGAGGGACUUGAUUGCCCCGGGGAGGAAAUCUCGCAUUGGCAAUCUCUUUAUCAAGUCUUCGAGCAUCUGUUCUUCGAGUAUUCAUUGACUAUAAUCAACAUAAAAGGAUUAGAUGCUAAGGGAACAUGCAGUCAUGACUCUAGAGGCACGAUAUUGGAUUUAUAAGAAAAUGAGAGUUUCCCAAGCAUUAUAUUGUUUCCUAUUCAUAUUCGUAGCCUGAUUCACACUUAUGAGUAAGAAUCUACAUAACGUGAUUUAGUGAGACAUUGACUCUAAAGAUAUUGAACCUCGUGCUAUGAUACCAUGUUUGUCACAACAGGGGAGCACCCCCUAACGUAACCGCCGGCGGCGGCCCCGAAGAGGACUGAGAUUGGCCUCUUAGUUUACAUCAGUACAUAAAUAGAAUUAAAAUGCAGAAAAUUUAUUCUAUCUAUAAUAAGUUUUACAUAUACCUCUCGCAUACACAUAAUAUAUUCAUAUCGAGUAUAUAUAGACACUCCGUAUAAGAAGAUUACAUAGUCUUGAACUUUUGUUUGCACAAAUAUAUAUAAGAUAUAACCUAGUCUUAAAAUGAAUGUCUCAUCUCAUAACCAUAUAAACAAGAGUAUAAAAAUUGAGCGUAGCCCAUACAUAAACAUUAAAGCCACAUAUAGGAAAUACAAUCUUUAGUACUAGUAUGAAAAGAAAAGAACUAGAAGUCUUAUAACUAGAACAACAUUAAUAGAUUGAUAGUGGCAUUUCCCUCAGAAGGUGAGGACCUACCCAACUUUGAGAGUGAGAAUUCCAAGUAUUUAUUAAGAAGUUAUAACAAUCCCUUCAAUGACCGGAACCUAAAAUGUUUGGGGAAAACGCAAAAAUGGGGUUAGCACAUAACUUGUAUUAAGUAUAGGAUCACACGCACACACAACAUAUAACCAUUCUAUAAAGGAAAGUUUCAUUAUAGUAUUCUAUCUUACAUUUGGAAGACUUAUGCACAUUCAAGAACCAAUAUCAACAAGACCAAAAAUACUAAGUAUUGUCAAGUAAUAUGCAUAUCAACAUACUUGAGCAUAUAAUCAAGAAAACUCUAUUAUCAAGUCAUAACAUCAUAACCAAGCAAGACCAUUACUCAUGAAUCCUCAUUAAGUCCACUAGUGUAAUGACUAAGAAAACUCCCAUAACCUUACUAAAUCGAGUAAACCUAAAAAGCACCAUAACCAAUGUCCAACUCCACAUACCAUAUCAUUAACAACGCAUAACUUCAUACAUUAGCAAUAGAGACCAAACAUAUGUUCAUAAGGUUGACCAAGAUCAAAUAAUGACAAUAACAUGUAGAGUCAACAUAUCCUAACAUGUAUAUUAUAUGAACACAAGAACAACAUCCUAAGGCUUUCCUUAAGGAAAACUAGUGCAAGACAUAGGUAGAGUCUCAUACCCCGACUAGGCUAACUCAAACCUCUUAAGUCACGCUUGUUAAUUUAUACUUCAUUACUUAAUUUUAAUUUAAGGAACAAUUGACUUAAACGACAUAGACCACAAGAUCUAAGUGCGUAGUCCGUUGUUGUAAAAUGUUACACUGAUGGAAAGUGGUAUACCGGCCAAAGUAAAACCAAACAUAAACGUAGCUUUUUAGGUGUAUCCUGUCACAUCCAAGAAACACCCCCUAGACGUCACCAACUUCAUCGUCCUCUUUGACUACUAAGACUAGCCUCCAAAAAUAUAUCAUUACAUUCAUAGGUUAAAAUGAAGAAAAUUUAAAUUUUUUUUGAUUACUUCUACAUUGAGGUUUACAUAGACCUCUACAUAAACACAAUAUAUUCAUAUCGAAUAUAAAUAGACUAUUUGUAUAGAAAGAUUACAUAGUCUUAUACUUUUAUUGAACAUACAUAGUAUAAAAUAGUCUCAUAGGAAAUAUAUAACAUUAUGUCAUAUUAAUCCAUCUAGACAAGAGUAUCACAAUUUUCGCAUAGACCUUACAUCAACAAUUAUAGCCACAGAUAGGCUUUACAACUAUAGUACAAAAAUGAAAGAGAAUUAACAAAGUGUCUUUAAGACUAAACAACGUCCAAAUAGGUAGAUAAUGUCAUCGUUCUCGAAAAGUGAGGACCUACCGAACUUGGAAGAUAAGAAUCCAUGUAGUCUUAAAUGCCUUCGCUAAUAUUGACGACCAGAUCCUACAUUUGUACUAAACAUCAAACAUGGGUUAGUACACAGUUGUACUAAGUAUGGGUAUAUGCAAAUAAAACAAGUGAAAUCAUGCUAAAGAGGACAUUUGAUCAAACAAUGCUAAAGUACUUUUAAAAGCCUUAUGUACUAUUAGGAACCCAUAUAAGCCAAUACUCACAUAAGCAAUAAGUCAAACCAUCUGCAACCUAAGACCAACAUCAACAAGUAAUAGUCAAAUCAACAUAUACAAUUGUUCAUAACAUCAUAAUACAAGCAAGACCUUUACUCAUAACCCGCCGUUUAUCAUACAAGUGCACUGUCUAAACAAUGACCCAUAACUUUACUCAAUCAAGUAAAGCAAACAAAGGAUCACAAAUAACGCCUAACUUAACUUAACAUAACAUAGCAUCUAUAAUAACUUUCAUCAUAUUUAGAAAUAUAUACCAAUAGGAUGUUCAUAAAUGAGCUAACAUCAUAGAGGAUCAUUAACAUGUAAAGUCAACAUAAGAAUAACAUUUAUUUUAUAAGAUUAUUAUAUGCAGAGAUUAUCCUUCUAGGAAUUCCAACAAGUCCAACUAGUGCAGUGCCUAGGUAGAGUCCCAUACCCCUACACAGACUAAGAAAACCUCUCAAGUCACCGUAUCUAGAAUUCACAUCACUACUUCAUUUUAAUUUCAAGAAUAUUUGCCUUAAUAGACAUAAAAUACAAGAGCUAAGUGUGGAAUACGUGUUGUAAAACCUUACACUAUUGGAAGGUGGUCUAUCGCCCAAAGUAGAUCCAAACAAAAACGUAGCUUUCUAAGUGGAUCCACUAGCUUGUCUUCUUAUGGUGGAAACAUAGUUCUCGAACUAGGAGAUAUGUAUGAACCCUAGGCAUGAUUAUGGCAUUGGAUCCUCAUCUCAUGGAAAUCCAUUGGGUGACUGUCCCUGAUACAGGAGUCAACACCAUAUAUGGAACGAUAAAGUGAAUCUUCCUCUAGGGGAAUUCAAAACCUCCGAUUGUCAAUUUCACUCGGUGCUAAGUUAAGUCCCUUUUGAAAUGUCUUUCCUUAGAAAUGAUUACUUAUUUAGGUCAUAGGGUCUAUCCCUUAAAUAAUCAUAGUAUUUUAGCUCAAUAGAUAUUUCAUGAGAACGUCUUUUCAUGACAACCCUCACAUGUUAGAUUAGCAUAUCAUCAUCAUCAUUUCACAACAAAUACAUAGGCAAGUCAUUACCAACCUUAUAUCAUUUCAUCUUAAGCAUAAUCUUACAAUCACAAAGUCAAGAGAUUUCAAUUAAACAUCAUACAUAGAAAUAUGUAGGCUAUUCACAAUGUAUACUUCAAUUGAACUACAUCACCACUCACAAGCCAUCAUACUUGAAGUAAAGGUUAGGAUCGUGAAGACUUACAAAAUUUCCUUCAAAAUCCAUCAUUAUUGUCUUACAAUCAACCACCCAUUACAUCAAAUAAUAGGUGUCGUAACAUAGAUCAAUAGUAAUUUAUAAAAGAAUUUUGUUAUUUGCAUCAUCACUAUCUCAAUUAACAUCAAUUUAUAACCUAGGGUUAAGGUAAUUAGUGUUCAUCGAGAAUUUGAUCCAAUCCCACCAAUACAUUUCCCUAGUCAAUCCAUGGAUGAAUUAGAAUAGACAAAACAAGUCUAAUAAUCAAUUCAUAAUUUAAUUCCCAUCAACUUAAAGCAAAGAUCCAAGAUUUGGGACAAGUGGGGAAGGUAACAUGAUCAACAUGAAAUUAAAUCAAUUAACAUCAAUACUCAAUAAGUCAUAGGAAAUCACCAUUCAUAAUCAUUUUGAACUACAGAAGAAAACCAUUAGAAUAUGAAAACCCCAUUGAAUUGGGUAAUUUAAAAAUCAACUUUGAGAGGAACUCUUGGGGAAUGGAGGCCCAAGAGUAAAGAACCCAUACCUUAUUGAAGAUUAAUUCACGAAAUUGAAGGUAAAUCCUUGAAAAAUUGGCCUUCUUCUUAAAGCUUUCUUCCUUGUUCAAUGUAGGAAUUGGGGAGAGUGUAAGUAGAGAGAGGUGAGAGCUUUUGGGUUUUGUUUAUGGAAUUGGGUUUGUAUGAGAGAAAAAUGACUAAAAAUACCUUUAGGCUAAAUAUAAUAACACCCUAAAUUUCUCAAAACACCCCUAAUUUAAAUGGAUCUUUUUGUGAAGUCCAAAUGUAAAAAAUAUCAUUUUACCAAAGUUGGGAAGUGGUUCUGCGUCACGGGGAAAACAAACAUUUUUAUUUCCAAAAAAUAAUUUAAGAGAAGUGAGGUCCAUUUGUGCUGCGUGUUGCACAGCAGCCAACAGAUUCUUGACUCUGCACGUUGUUGGCGCCCUGCCUACCCAUGUUGGGGUCCUCCUCCAUGACCCUUCGAAUGGUUUUUGGGGCAUUGUUAUUGGACAUUUAAACCCACUAUACUACAUUCUACCUAACCAAAGUCUUUUUACAAGUUUUAGACUUUAUUUGGCCCCUUCAAGACUAUCCCAAACAUAGCGAUGUCAACUAGUUCAAUAAUCUAGAUUUUGGACGUCAUGGACGUUCUUUAAUGUCUUGGCUCUAAAACAUCUUGGAUUACUUGUAUACAUUAUUAUAUGUCUUAAACAUUAUUUAAACCUUUAAACACUGAAGUUAGGAUCUAGAAUAGGUGUUCAAUUUUUUGAGUGUUACAUUAUCCCCCCCCAUGAGGAACGUUUGUCCUCGAAUGACACUAACCUUUUUAAGUGGAAGGGAUAGACUCAAGACUAGCAACCCAACAAACAAUAUACAUCAUCAACAUGAGUUACAAUUUAAUUCAACAUAAAAAUAUGGCAUUUAUAUAAUGACUCAAAGCAUCAGUUUUAUACAUAAUGGCUCAAAGUCACAAUAUGAGGAAUUUUAUUCUCGUAACAGCACCAUGAUCUCAACAUAUCAUUAAAGAGUCAAUUAUGCAAAUGUUCCUUUCUCAACAUAUCAAAAGUUUCAAUAUCACAUUAUUAGGACAAUAACAUAUGAAGCACCUGCAAGUCAAGCAAAAAAGCAUUUUUCCAUGAUAAUUAAUUUAGAAAAAACCUUUUUACCUUAAUUAUGCAAAAUUUUGAAACACAAGUCAAAUACAAUCAACUCAUUAUUAUUCAUUAUUAUUAAGGAGAAAAACUAACCUUUCUUAGAAAAAAGAUGUGGAUAAUGGGACUUCAUGUCGGCAUCGGCCUCCCAUGUUGCUCCCUCAACUAGGUAGUUUCUCCAUAACAAUUUUAAGGAGGCCACCUCUUUGUUCCUCAACCUCUUUACUUGAUGAUCAAUGAUUUCAACAAGAACAUCCUCAUAGGAGAGGUUCUCUUUAACACCAAUACCUUUACUAGGAAGAAUGGACUCGUGAUUACCGAUACACUUCUUAUGUAAAGAAAUAUGGAAAACCGAAUGAACUGAACGUAGCUCACUAGGUAGUUUCAACUUGUAUUCAACCUUACCAACCUUUGCAUAAUUUAACAGGGACCCACAUAACGAGGACUUAACUUCUCUUUCUUUCCAAAUCAAACCACCUUUUUCAUGGGUGAAUUUUUCAAAUACACCUUAUCACUUUCUUCAAAUUCAAGGUCUCUUCUCCUAUGAUUGGCAUAAGAUUUUUGCCGACUAUAGGGUCUUUGCAAUCCCAUAUGAUAUGAACUUUCUCCAAAGUCUUAUAUAUCUAAUCGGGACAAAAAAUUGAAGAUUUGAAAAUCUCCAACCAUCCAAUAGGUUAUCUACACCUCAUAUCAUACAAGACUUCGUAAAGAACCAUAGAUAUAAAUGUGAAGUUAUUGUUAUAUGAGAAGCUUACCAAAGACAAGUGCUCAUCACAAGUAUUUGAAUAGUCCACUCCAUUUGACCAUCAAUUUGAGGAUGAAGAGCGAUAUUUAACUUUACUUGAGUACCCAAAACUCUUUGAAAUGAUCUUCAAAAUCUAGAUGUAAACUGAGGAUGUCUAUCCGAUAUAAUGUACUAAUGAACCCCAUGAAGACUCACUAUCUUUUAAAUAUUUAUACUUGCAUAGUCUUUCACCGAAUAAGUAGACUUAAUCGGAAAAAGUGAGUGGAUUAGGUCAAUCUAUCCACUAAUACCCAUAUAGAGUCAUAUUGCUUUUAGGUUCAAGGCAAACCUACUACAAAAUCCAUAUUAACAUCGUCCCACUUCCAAGUAGAAAUUUUGAUUUGGAUUUCUUGUAAUAGACCACUCGACUUUUGGUGUCCGGCCUUCACUUGUUGACAAUUGGGACACUUUGCAACAAAUUCUGUAGUAGCUCUUUUUAGGACAUCCCACAAGAAAACUUCUAUAAGGUCAUGGUACAAUUUUGUAGAGUAAAGGGCUCCAUGAGUUCAGGUAAAUCUAACUUUCAGAGGAGUACAACACCUAGAGGAGGCAGACUCGAUACCAAGAAGGGUAAUGGAGGGUAUAUGCAGUGUCCCAAAAAGAAUUGUGGUAACUGUGUCCAUGCUCAUAGUUGACAAUGCAGACAGGACACUAAUGCCUUCUUCGGUUGCGUUAAGAAAGGGAACAUGGCUAAGGACUUCCCACUGAACAGGGGUAAGGAUUGAGGUAAUGCUUAGCCUAGGCCUAAUGCACAGGGUGCAGCAACAUCCGAGCCUCCUAAGAGGAAUAGGUUCUACACACUGAAGAGCACAGAGUAGGAUGAGAAGUCUGCUGAUGUGGUCAGAAGUAUUGUACAAGUAUUCUCAACUUCUGUUUAUGCUUUACUUGAUUCAUGCUCUAUGCUUUUCUUUAUAACUCCUCUACUUCCUGAAGUUUUGCAUGAUCCUAUAGUGGUUGGUACACCUUUAGGAGAAAAUGUAAUAACUGAUAGAGUAUACAAGGAUUGCCCAAUAGUUGUAGGUGGUAAGACUAUGUGCGCAGACUUGGUUGACUUACCAAUGAAUGAUUUUGAUGUUAUGUUGUGACUGGCAUUGUGCUAGAUAACUAGUAGUGUCAUUCGGGGAUGAAUGACUCUAAGGGGGGAGAAUGUAACAACCCUAAAAAUGGAUAUGCUAAGUAAUGCUUAAUCUGUCUAGAAUGCCUACGAUUAGACGGGGUUCACUUGGAUUGAUGCGCGUAGAACCAGGCAUCUGACCCCUUGCUACAGCUAAUCCAACUAACUUGGGGAGUUACUUCUGCUAGAAAAGGUUGGGUCCAGCCAUGUAGGGCUCUCGAAUAUGAAGAUUUACUGGGUUGACUCUUUACCAUACUUAAAAAGGGAAAGUCUUAGGUUUGGGGGGUCUAGGGGUAAAAUGGUCUUUUCCAAGCAAAGGGUAAUAUCGUAAUUACCCUAAAGAAUUUAUUAACUUAUUAAUUAAUUUAAUUAAGUAGACGAUUCUAGUCGGGUCGACCAGAUAUGACCCAUUCGCGUUGGUCACUCCACCCGGGGUCAAACCCCAAUGGAAGCUUCAAUUAAAUGUAUUUAAUUUGAGGUUUAUAAUCUGAUUUUUAAGGGUUUUAUGUUCAUUUCACUAAUCUAAUUAAAUCAGAUUUUUAUUAAAUUAAUAAGGAGUCCUAGUUUGAUUAAUUCCCAAGCUAAAACUCCUAAUCCUAAACUACUCUCUCACGCUCAUCUCUCUCACGUCUCUCCACUUCUCUUUCACGUUUUCUAUGCCAAACAAGAGUAUUAAUGCAUAAAAAUUAUUAAAUUUUUUCACACUUGAAUAAAUUACCAAAAAAUAUAUUCAAAACACAAGAAAAAACAUUAUGAAAAAAAGGGAAGUUUUUCCGUCGAAUUGGUAUUGAGGUAGCAGGGAAUUGGAUGUGAUUUUUGAAAUGGUUUGGGCAGCAAGUUCAAGGUUUGAACGACAGAAAAGGUAUGAGUUUUCAUACUCUUGGUCCCUCUCCCAAUACACCCCUAGGAUUUAGUUGAUUCCAAUCUGAAAAUUUGGAUUGUUUCCCUGUUGCAUGUCCAUGUCAGUAGCUCCUAUCGAUGGUUGUAGGUUGGUAUGUUUGCUGCUAUACAUUAAGCAUGUAAUGUAUUUUCAUGAUGAAGAUGUGUUUGAAAUCUUAUGACUGAUAACCUAUGUUUUCCGAAAAUAUGUGUUUACGUGUGUGCAAUGAUGUAAAAAUGCUGAUUUGAGUGCAAACUCUUUAUCGAAUGUGAUCUUGAAAAUGCACCGAAAGGAAUCACUAAAAAAUACUCCAAACAUAUGCACAUUUAAUGUGAAAGAAGUGAAAAAAUAGGCUGCGAAAAAUGUGAUCAAAAUUCAAGCACUUUGAUGAUAGUUUCGGUAAAGGUAAGUCAAUUAACAUGUUAUGCAAAAUGAAGAAAAAUAAGUGAGGUCACUGAGGAUCGAACCUGUGACCUCACCAUGUUAAAAGUCAUAGAAAUAAUGUAAUCUAAAAGAAAUUUAGCAAGGAGUAUUUGAACCCGUGACCUUGACCGAAAAUGAAAUACUAAAAAUAAGAAAAGAGAGGAGUGGGAUUCGAACCCACAACCUCUUAGUGAGAUUAAAGGACAAAUUAAAAGAAAAGUAAUGGGUUGAGGUGUGUGGGAAUCAAACCCACGACCUCUAGGCAAAUAAAAGGAAUAUAAGGAGAAAUUUAAAGUGGGGUUGUGGGGGUUCAAUCCCACACCCUCUUGGUCAAGAAGGAGAGAAAUAAAAUAAAAGAAAAUAAAAGUAAAUGAGAUUGGUGGGGUUCGAUCCGAAACAAAAAAUAAAGAGAGAAAUCAUUGGAAAAUUAAAUGAAGGUGUUGGGGCUCGAUCUUGGGUUCUAAAGUCGUGUGGAUUAAACCAAAAUAUAUAAAAAUGUAAGUGUUGUUCAAGGGAUUCAAAAUCGCGUUACCUUGCCCAUAUUCCUUCUUGAUACAUAAGUCAUUACGAAAAUAAACGUACAAAAAUAAUGUUGCCUACAUAGAUCGAAAUCUAGAUCUUGGCAUGCUUACAAGUUGUAUAAUUUUUGUACCACAUAAUGCAAUGAAGAUAUGAAUCACUUAAACGAACUAUGAUUGAAGAAUCAUGGCUUGUAUGUAUAGACCCAUAAGUUUAGCAUACAUGUAAAGUAAGUGAAACUAAUAUGUAUGUAACGAAAUGAUGAAACCCUAGAAUGGUUGAGUAAGAGUGUGAAACGCACUAAAUGGCCAAGUGCAUUGACAUAUGAUGAAAUGAACAUUCACGUAAAGGAGGUGAGUGAUUAUUAAGAGCAAAUAUGCUAAAGAUAAUGAAUGUGGUGACAACAUGAUAAGAGGCUAAUGUUAAAAAUGAGAGCGAUCUCUAAUGAGCCUAUGUAAAUGUUACCAAAACCUACUCCCCUAUUAAAGUGUAAAUCUAAAGAAGAGACCCGUCUCUAUGAACACUCUAACAAAAUUAUUGAGAUUAAUGUAUGCUUAAUACUAAUGAUAAGAUAAAAAAUCAUCUAUUGAGCUAAGAUGUCCUCAUACUAGAACCCAGCUUCCAUGACGUAUGAGUUAAAUGUAAUGGAACUUUAUACUGAGCACCGAUAAGCUAGCUAUGAUGUUAUUCAUUUUUUUGAGAAGGGCAGAGGUUUACGUAACUUUCAUGAUAUGAGACUAUCCGGCACGCCGGGUAUGUGUCUCCGUAUACCUACUAGUCUUUGAACCUAUACUACAAUAUAGGGAUCUUGCACGGUUCAUUUCCCUAUGUAAGCUAGAAUAUUUUAGGUCACAUUGGCCGGUGAUUCGAACUCUUUUCGGUUUGGGGCAGACAGUGGAUAUUAUGAUGCUCAGAUGAUCAAUGUCGGUUAAAGUUAAAGUUCCAAAUUAAUGAAUGAGGUCAGCCUCAAAUGAUGCACAUAAUGAUUUAAACGAUACUGAAGGUGUUUGGAUAGGAUAAUCAAGAGGUGAUCUACACUCAUGAAAUGACAUUAGGCUAUUCUUGAUCAUUGCCUAGCGAACCCGAUGAGAGUAUUACACUACAUCCUAGGUAUGGCUAGUGUUUACACUAGAUUAUGAAUGAAUGAAAUGAAGUACGUAUGAAUGAAUGAAGCAAACUCUUUGCUAAAGAAGGCUCCCUAGGUGAGGUCCCAUAUGUUGAGACGUCAUUUUGGUAAGUCUUAAUGUCAAGUCCAUGAUUCCAAUGUCUCAUGGCAUAUGAAUGAAUGAUAUGAAAUAUUUUAUGUGCUAUAUGUAAUAUGUAAUGUGCUAUGUGGAAGAUGUUAUGUGAUGCGUACAAUAUGAUACGUAUGAUAAUGCAUGUAACUCUCGUGGGAUAACAUUCCUAAACCAUAUUUGGCAAGUCCCCUUACUUUCCUAAUUGAAAUUUUGCGAUUCCCCUGACUUUCCUAAUUAAAAUUUUGAAAGUCCCCUGACUUUCCUAAUCCCAAUUUUGCAAGUCCACUAACUUGACUUUCCAUAAAUCAUAUUGUUAGGAAAUAGCUAUUCUUACUUACUCAUGACCUUGGUGUGUGCUUGUAUAUACCCAUACAUAGUAGAAGUGUGUAAUAAUCCCAUACAAGUCUACAUUUUUAGGUGCAGGCACAGGUGGACAUUAGAGCUUACAGAUCGACGAUGAGGGUAUCCGGACAUGGAGCAUCCAUCCGGACAUGGUAGGCACUCAUGCAUUCGAGGACGCUUGCCCAUUAUAUUCUAGCUUAGUUAUAGUAUUGAGGUAGUAGAGUAUUUUCCACUAGAGUUUAUUUCCCGUUUAUUUUAAACAUUGUAUUGGUGCCAUUUUGGAAAGUAUACACUUAAUGCAGUAUUGAACUAUUUCUUUCAUUUGAUGUUCUUAAUAUUUGAUGGUUGAUAGUGAACAUAUAUGAAUUUAAGUUGUAUGACUAACAUGAAUGUUAAGUAAAAAAAAGUUCAAAUUUUCCAAUAAAAUUAACCUAGAUGAAAUAACGAUGACGUAUGUAGGCUUUUCUGCCACCUUUGAGAGGUCAAUGACGCCGGUCUCAUCUGUAGUCUAGACUCCGGUCGUUAUAAUUUUCUUCCCUACUCUUCCUCUUCACCCUAGUCUCUUCCACUUCUUGAGAAUUUGCUAUGAGAUGACAAAUAUUCAUAUUAUCAUGUAGCAUAGCCUAAGGACAUUCUUCUUUCAAAUAAUCUGAUACUUCCGUCAUAAAGAGCUCAUUUUAUCUCUAUGUCGGAACCAUUGAAGGAGCAUAUUUUUAUAAGUUAGUGAAUUUCAACAAGUCAAGUACACUCAUACCCCCUUGAUGAAGGUUGAUGAGUUCUUCCAGUUUGGCUUCCCUCUCCUAUCUACGAAAGAACCGAUCAACAAAAGCCUUCUUGAAAAUAUCCUAUGUCACCGUAUUACCACUUAGAGGCCUAUUGUCUCUCCAUUAGACAUACAAAGUUUGGGCCACAUCUUUUAGUUUGUAAGUGGCUACAUCUGCUUUCUCACUAGAAGUCAACCCCAUUACAUAGAGAAUCUUUUAUUAUUCAUCAAUGAUCUCUUGGGGGUCUUCCUCCACUUUGGACCCAUAUAAAGGAGGACUCAUCCUAGUGAAAUCCCUCAAAUAGGAGGUCGUAGUGCUAACUUGUUAGUUUUCUUGGGGUACCACCUCCCGAUUAGCUUGAUCCAUCAUAGCUUGUGCUUCAGUAGUGAAGGCUUUUACAUGGGUUGUAAUGACGUGGGACAUUCGGAUAAAAGCUUCCCUGAUAUCCCCAUCCGCCAUUGGAGGAGGAGCAAAUGGAACUUGAUCACCCAUAGCAACUUCUUCAAGUUGAGGCACUUCGUUGUGUUGUGCUCCCGCAUUUUCAAUACCUUCCUCUGCCCUUCUUGCGGCUGAUAUUAGGGUAUUCAUACCUAUAACCACCAUACAAGGUUUUGGUGAAAUAACACAUAAUGUAGACUCAAGAGUCACUACAUAGGAUUACAAGAAUAUGAGAGUCUCCUAAGCAUCACAUAGUUCCUCAUUCAUAAUUAUGGAGCACUUCACAAUUAUGAAUAAUAAUUUACAUAGACAUGGUUUAAAGAGAUAUCAAUCCUAAAGAUAUUAAACCUCAUGCUCUGAUACCAAGUUUGUCAGAUUCGGAGAGCACCCCCUAAAUGUAACCAACAUCGUCUUCCACUUUUAGAACUAAGACUAGUCUCUUAGCAUACAUCAUUACAUUCAUAGGUUGAAAUGAAGAAACUUUAAAAAAAAAUUAUUACUUAUACAUUGAGGUUUACAUAGAGCUAUACAUACACACAAUAUAUUAAUAUCGACAUAGACUGCAAAAUCUAAGUGUGGAAUCUGGUGUUGUAAAAUCUUACAUCGAUGGAAGGUUGUCUACGGGCCAAAUUGGACCUAAAUAAAAAUGUAGAUUUUUAGUUGGAUCCACUAGCUAUUCUUCCUAUGAUGGAAACAUAUUUAUAGAACUAUGAGAUAUGUAUGAACCCUCUACAUUCCUAUGGAAUUGGAACCUCAUCUCAUGGGAAUCCAUUGGGUUAGUGUCCCUCAUAGGGGAGUGAACACCUCAUAUGGAACUAUAGAGUGAAUCUUCCUCUAUGGGAAGUCAAGACCUCCCAUUGUGAAGUUCAUGCACUUCUACGUAAGUCUCUUUGAAAUGUCUUUCUUUAACAAUCAUCACUUAUUUUAGGUCAUAAGGUCUAUCUCUUGUAUAAUCAUAGUCAUUUAGCUCAAGAGGUAUUGUAUGAGAAUAUCCUUUCAUGGCAUACCAACAUUAUUAUUUCACAACAAGGCACAUAGGAAAGUAAUCACCAACCUUAUUUCAUUUCAUCAUAAGCAUAAUCUCACAAUCACAUAGUCAAGACUUUUCAAUUAAACAUCAUACCAAUACCUAUUUAGGUUGUUCACAAGGUAUACUUCAAUUGAACUACAUCACCAAUACAAGACAUCAUACUUAAAGGAAAUGUUAGGAUCAUGAAGACUUACUGUAUCUCCUUCACAAUGCAUCAUCAUGGUCUUACCAUCAACUACCCAUUUACAUCCAAUAAUAGGUGUAGUAACAUCCAUCAAUAGUAAAUAAUACAAGAACUAGGUCAAUUGCAUCAUCACUAUCCUAAUUAAAAUCAAUUCAUAACCUACGAUUAGGGGAAAGAGGGUUCGGCAUAAAUUUGACCCACUCUAAUAAAUAAAUUACCUUGGCGAAUCCAUAUAUGAAUUAAAAUAUAUAAAAACAAGUCUAAUAAUCAAUUCACAUUUCAAUUCCCACCAAUUUAUAACCAAGAUCUAUGAUUUGGAACAAGUGGGGAAGGGACCAUGAUAAAAAUCAAAUUUCAUAAAUUAACAUCAAUUAAUAAACAAUAUAUACUCAAUAAGUCAUAGGAAAUCACAAUUCAUCAUCAAUUUAAUGUUUAGAAGAAUACCCAUUAAAAUUGGAAAACCCCAUGUAAUUGAGUAAUUUGAAAAUCAACUUUUAGAGGACCUCUUCGGGAAUGGAACCCCAAGAGAGAAUAAACCAUACCUUAAUGAAUAUUAAUCUACUAAAUUGAAGUGAAAUCCUAGAGGAAUUGACCUUCUUCAUCAAGCUUUCUUCCUUCUUCAAUGGAGAAAUAGGGGAGAGAGAAAGUAGAGAGAGGUGAGAGCUAAUGGAUUUUUUUCUCAGAAAUUCGAUUUGGAUAACUGAAAAUGCACUAACAUGACCCUUAGACUAUAUAUAAUAACCUCCUAAAAUACCCAAAACACCCCUCACUUAAAUGGGUCUUUUUGUGAAGUCAAAAUGUCAAAAAUAUAAUUUUACCGAAUCAGGGAAGUGGCUCCGCAUCGCGGGGCCAACACACAUUUUAUUUCCCAAAAAUAAUUUGAAUAAUUGAGAUCCGUGUGGUCUGCACGUUGCACAUCAGCCCACUGAUUCAUGACUUUCGUAGGCUGCUUUGGCAGCCUGCCCACCCAUGUCGGGGUCUUCCACCAUGACCCUUCGGGUGGUCCUUGACGAAUCGUUAUUUAGACCUUCUAUACUAAAUUCUACCUAAGAAAAGUCUUUUUAAAUGUUUUAGACUGCAUGUGACCCCUCCGAAACAAUCCCCUUACACAAUGAUGUCAACUAGUUCACUUAAGCUAGAUUCUGAACAUCAUGGAGGUUCUUCAACAUCUUCGCUCUAAAACUUCUUGGAUGACUUAUAUAUAUUAUAUUAGGUUUUAAAAUUAUUUAAAUCUUUAAACAUUCAAGUUAGGCUAUAUAUUAGGUCUUGAAUUUUUGGAGUGUUACAUAUCCACUAGCUAAGCCUUCCUAUGGGGGCAACAUAAUUUAGGAACUAGGAGAUAUGUAUGAACUCUCUACAUGCCAAAGGUGGAACCUGAUAUCAUGAGAAUCCAUAGGGUGAGUAUCCCUCGACGGGGAGUCAACACCUCAUAUGGAACUAUAGGGUGAAUCUUCCUCUGCAGAAACUCAAAACCUCCCAUUGUCAAGUUCUUUCGUUGCUAAGCUAAAGUCACUUUUUGAAAUAUCUUUAAAUCAUCCGUUAUUAUAAAAACUUAGUUUAGGUUACAGGGUUUAUACCUUAUAUAUUUAUCAUCACCAUAUCUAAACAGGAAUUGCAUGAGUAUUUUCCUUUCAGUACAAUUUAUACAUGUUGGUUAGCAAAUUUACAUAAUCACAGCAUUAUAAGGCCCAUUGGUAAGUUAUCACCAUCCUUACAACAUUUAAAAUCUUAUCCACCAACUCACAAUCCAUAGUUUAAGACAUUUAAAUUUAAAACCAUACCAACCCUAUAAUUCCUUAUCAUAAGUUAUACUUCAAUAUAACUUCAUUACUAAACACAACUAAUCAUAAUCCAAGUAAACGGUUGAGAUUACAAGACUUACCAAAUCUCCUUCUUAAGCCAUCAUCAAGGUCUUACUAUCGACCAUCCAAUUCAACCCAACAAUAGGUGCAAUAUCAUCUUACAAUAGUAACCCACAUAAUAACAAAGUAAAUUGAAUCACUACACAACCAUUCAUUACGAGUUUUUAUUCUAGGAUUAAGGACUUAGGUCAAAUUCAUGAUGUACUUCACAAUCUAGGUCAAUUCAUCAAGAACUCUCAUAAUUGGAUUACAACAUAUCACCAUAUAUUCAUAACUUAGCAUAACAAAAACAUAGAAUAGUAAUUCACAUAUUAACCAAGCUAGUUAUGUCAAUACUAGAUAAUCGAAUUCAAGACUACAACUUAGGGUUAGGGGGAAAAGGUCAUCUUCUACAAACUAGAUCAAUGCAUCAAAAGGUAAUCCACUUGAGUCAUAACACAUGUUAAUCUAAUCAUAAUAAACAAAAGUAAUCAUCAACAAAGAAAUUCACAAGAUCAAUUUCAUAUUGGAAUAACACCCACUUGAAUUUCAUCUUUUUGAAAUCAAUUUUAAGGAACCGUUUGGGGAAAGAAAUCCAAAAGGUGAAAGGAAUUCCAUAAAUUACUAAUUGAUGAAGUUUUAUGAAUAAAACAUUCUCCAUUUCAUCCCUAAAACCCUCCUUAGAAUUUUCUUCUAUGAAGUAUCUUUAGGAGAGAGAAGGAAGAGCAAUUGGGUUUUGGUAUUUAUGAGAGUUAAGUGAGAUUUUAGGCUUAGGGUAGUUUAUAUAGGGACUUUACAAACUUAAUUAACCACACCCUAAUACCUAAAUAACCUCAUAAAUAAGCUAACUAAUUAAAUUUACUAAAUAAAAUAAGGGAGCAACACAGAGUCUUGACAGACGAAACCCCGACCAACGUGCCGUUUAUUAAUUGACGGCCAAGGGACCAACUGUCAUGUUGGUCCGUCGUAAGCUACAGAGACCACUCCAAAUGAACUCAUGGAAAAAGUGACUAUGUUUCAGUCAAGGACAUCGAAUCCCCGUUAAUUGGACCACGCCCCGUCGAUGGGCACCGUUUGUGGACACUGUAUCUUGACAACUUUUUCCACAAAUUGCAAAGGUCUUCCUCUAGAGACUUAUGUUGGUCCUUAAGGACUCGUACCUGGACGUUUCGACUAUAAACUAACUCUUAUAUGUGUUAAACACCUUUCCACUAAAUUUUAUCAUUUUCCGACUACUAAAACUUAGUAAAAUAGUCUAAGGCACACUAGCACCUCAUUGAACUAGUUUUUGGAUGUCGUAGACGUUCUUUGACGAUUCAUUAUUAAACUUCCUAAAUGACUUAUAUAUAUUAAAAUUGACUUUAAAACAGUGUCAAAACUCUUGGAAUAUUAUGUUAGGAGGCUCAAGUUUAGGCAUUAGACUUUCGGAGUGUUACAUUAUCCCCCCCCCCUGUAGGAACUUUCGUCCCCACAUAACACUAAAAUCUUUUAGAAAGAAGGAAUACACUCAAGACUAGCAGCUCAACCAACAAAAAUACAUUAUAACAUGAUUUAAAGCAUCAAUCAUAGAAUUUACACAUAGCAAUUCAAAACUUCAAUUACUACAAAUAAAGCUCAAAAUCACCAUAUAAGGAAUUUCCUCUCUCACAAAAACAUGAGCUCAACAUAUCAUUAAGGAGUCAGCUAUUCCAAAACUCAAACAAUCAACAUGAUCAAUAUCAUUUUAUAAAUACUCAACAUACAAAAUGCACAACAUAACUCAAAACAAGUAAAAUUGACAAUUUUCAAGUCUGUAGGCAUAACUUUACUAUAAUUCACUAUAACAUCAACAAUUUUUCAAAACAUCACCAAAAAUCAAAACAACAUAAAAUUUAGUCAUUAAUUUUAUUAUUAGUAAGAGCAACUAACCUUCGUUAGGAAAGAGAUGAGGAUAACGGGACAUUAUGUCGGCCUCGGCCUCCCAAUUUGGUGUACCUACUUGAGCCGGAUGAAAGGAAACUUUCACGUCCGAUUUUGAAGGGGGGGAGAUCCUAUAGAAUCCUAUCCCAAUUUUUCUUUUGCUAGGCCCAUAACUAAAAAGCCCACUUUCUUACGAUUACGAGGUUUAUUCGAAUAUGAAAUCCAAUCUUGGAAAUACAGCAUCCCACUUUUUUUUACUACCCAGGGUUUCGAUACAUUUCGCAAUCGAGAAAUCUCUACUGGCGCAGGUGCUAUCCGAGAACAAUUAGCCGAUCUAGAUUUACGAAUUAUUAUAGAGAAUUCGUUGGUAGAAUGGGAAGAGUUGGGGGAAGAAGGGCACACAGGGAAUGAAUGGGAAGAUCGAAAAGUUGGAAGAAGAAAGGACUUUUUGGUUAGACGCGUGGAAUUGGCUAAGCAUUUUAUUCGAACAAAUAUAGAGCCCGAAUGGAUGGUUUUGUGUCUAUUACCAGUUCUUCCUCCUGAGUUGAGACCGAUCAUUCAGAUAGAUGGGGGUAAACUAAUGAGCUCAGAUAUUAAUGAACUCUAUAGAAGAGUUAUCUAUCGGAACAAUACCCUUACCGAUCUAUUAACAACAAGUAGAUCUACGCCAGGAGAAUUAGUAAUGUGUCAGGAGAAAUUAGUACAAGAAGCCGUGGAUACACUUCUUGAUAAUGGAAUCCGGGGACAACCAAUGAGGGACGGUCAUAAUAAAGUUUACAAGUCAUUUUCUGAUGUAAUUGAAGGCAAAGAGGGAAGAUUUCGUGAGACUCUGCUUGGUAAACGAGUCGAUUAUUCAGGACGUUCUGUCAUUGUCGUGGGUCCUUCACUUUCAUUACAUCGAUGUGGAUUGCCUCGUGAAAUAGCAAUAGAACUUUUCCAGACAUUUGUAAUUCGUGGUCUAAUUAGACAACAUCUUGCUUCGAACAUAGGAGUUGCUAAGAGUAAAAUUCGAGAAAAAGAGCCGAUUGUAUGGGAAAUCCUUCAAGAAGUUAUGCAGGGACACCCUGUAUUGCUGAAUAGAGCACCUACGCUGCAUAGAUUAGGCAUACAGGCAUUCCAGCCCGUUUUAGUGGAGGGGCGCGCUAUUUGUUUACAUCCAUUAGUUUGCAAGGGAUUCAAUGCCGAUUUUGAUGGAGAUCAAAUGGCUGUUCAUGUACCUUUAUCCUUGGAGGCUCAAGUAGAGGCCCGUUUACUUAUGUUUUCUCAUAUGAAUCUUUUGUCUCCGGCUAUUGGGGAUCCCAUUUCCGUGCCAACGCAAGAUAUGCUUAUUGGACUCUAUGUAUUAACGAGCGGAAAUCAUCGAGGUAUUUGUGUAAAUAGAUAUAAUCCAUGUAAUCGCAGAAACUAUCAAAAUCAAAAAAGAAGUGACAAUAGUUACUAUAAGUAUACGAAAGAACCCUUUUUUUCGAAUUCCUAUGAUGCAAUUGGGGCUUAUCGGCAGAAACGAAUCAAUUUAGAUAGUCCUUUGUGGCUCCGGUGGCGACUAGAUCAACGCGUUAUUGCUUCAAGAGAAACUCCCAUCGAAGUUCACUAUGAAUCUUUAGGUACUUUUUAUGAGAUUUAUGGACACUAUCUAAUAGUAAGAAGUCUAAAAAAAAAAAUACUUUUUAUAUACAUUCGAACCACUGUUGGUCAUAUUGCUCUUUAUCGAGAAAUCGAAGAAGCUAUACAGGGGUUUUCUCGGGCCUAUUCAUAUGCUACCUAAUUCUAUGAUACCGUGGGACUUCGGGGCUCUCCGGUUCAGCUAGGUCCAUAGUUCCGGAAUUUAUACGCGAAUCAAGAUCGAUAAAAGGAAGUUUUACAAUCACCGACUCAAACCCAUUGUCGAAUCCUACUCAGCGGAAUAUGGAGGUACUUAUGGCAGAACGGGCCAAUCUGGUCUUUCACAAUAAAGCGAUAGACGGAACUGCCAUGAAACGACUUAUUAGUAGAUUAAUAGAGCACUUCGGAAUGGCAUAUACAUCACAUAUCCUGGAUCAAGUAAAAACUCUGGGGUUCCAACAAGCUACUGCUACAUCCAUUUCAUUAGGAAUUGAUGAUCUUUUAACAAUACCUUCUAAGGGAUGGCUAGUUCAAGAUGCUGAACAACAAAGUUUGAUUUUGGAAAAACACCAUCAGUAUGGAAAUGUACACGCGGUAGAAAAAUUACGUCAAUCCAUUGAAAUAUGGUAUGCUACAAGUGAAUAUUUGCGCCAAGAAAUGAAUCCGAAUUUUAGGAUGACUGACCCUUUUAAUCCAGUUCAUAUAAUGUCUUUCUCGGGAGCUCGAGGAAAUGCAUCUCAGGUACAUCAAUUAGUAGGUAUGAGAGGAUUAAUGUCGGAUCCUCAAGGACAAAUGAUUGAUUUACCUAUUCAAAGCAAUUUACGCGAAGGACUCUCUUUAACAGAAUACAUCAUUUCUUGCUACGGAGCCCGUAAAGGAGUUGUGGAUACUGCUGUACGAACAUCAGACGCUGGAUAUCUCACUCGCAGACUUGUUGAAGUAGUUCAACACAUUGUUGUACGUCGAACGGAUUGUGGCACCGCCCGGGGUAUUUCUGUGAGUCCUCGGAAUGGGAUAAUGCCGGAAAGGAUUUUUAGUCAAACAUUAAUUGGCCGUGUAUUAGCAGAUGAUAUAUACAUGGGUUCACGAUGUAUUGCCACUAGAAACCAAGCCAUUGGCAUUGGACUUGUAAAUCGAUUCAUAACCUUUCGGGCACAACCAAUCUCUAUUCGAACUCCCUUUACUUGUAGGAGUACAUCUUGGAUUUGUCGAUUAUGUUAUGGGCGUAGUCCUACUCAUGGCGACCUGGUUGAAUUGGGGGAAGCUGUAGGUAUUAUUGCAGGUCAAUCGAUUGGAGAACCGGGUACUCAAUUAACAUUACGAACUUUUCAUACCGGAGGAGUAUUCACGGGGGGUACUGCAGAACAUGUGCGAGCCCCAUCUAAUGGAAAAAUAAAAUUCAAUGAGGACUUGGUUCAUCCGACACGUACACGUCAUGGGCAUCCCGCCUUUCUAUGUUCUAUAGACUUGUAUGUAACUAUUGAGAGUGAAGAUAUUCUACAUAAUGUGAAUAUUCCACCCAAAAGUUUGCUUUUAGUUCAAAACGAUCAAUACGUAGAAUCAGAACAAGUAAUUGCUGAGAUUCGCGCAGGAAUAUCCACUUUGAAUUUUAAAGAGAAGGUUCGAAAACAUAUUUAUUCUGAUUCAGACGGAGAAAUGCACUGGAGUACCGAUGUCUAUCAUGCACCCGAAUUUACAUAUGGUAAUGUUCAUCUAUUACCAAAAACAAGUCAUUUAUGGAUAUUAUUAGGAGGGCCGUGCAGGUCCAGUCUAGUCUACCUUUCGAUCCACAAGGAUCAGGAUCAAAUGAAUGCGCAUUCUCUUUCUGGCAAGCGAAGAUAUACUUCUAACCUCUCAGUAACCAAUGAUCAGGCGAGGCAGAAAUUGUUUAGUUCGGAUUUUUAUGGUCAAAAAGAAGAUAGGAUUCCUGAUUAUUCAGACCUUAAUCGAAUCAUAUGUACUGGCCAGUAUAAUCUCGUAUAUUCGCCUAUUCUUCACGGGAAUUCUGCUUUAUUGUCAAAAAGGCGAAGAAAUAAAUUCAUCAUUCCACUACACUCGAUUCAAGAACUCGAGAAUGAACUAAUGCCCUGUUCAGGUAUCUCGAUUGAAAUCCCCGUAAAUGGUAUUUUCCGUCGAAAUAGUAUUCUUGCUUAUUUCGAUGAUCCUCGAUACAGAAGAAAGAGUUCGGGCAUUAUUAAAUAUGGGACUAUAGAAACGCAUUCAGUCAUCAAAAAAGAGGAUUUGAUUGAGUAUCGAGGAGUCAAGGAAUUUAGGCCAAAAUACCAAAUGAAAGUAGAUCGAUUUUUUUUCAUUCCUGAAGAGGUGCAUAUCUUGCCCGGAUCUUCUUCCCUAAUGGUACGGAACAAUAGUAUCGUUGGGGUCGAUACACAAAUCACCUUAAAUCUAAGAAGCCGAGUCGGUGGGUUGGUCCGGGUGGAGAGAAAAAAAAAACGAAUUGAACUGAAAAUCUUUUCUGGAGAUAUCCAUUUUCCUGGAGAGACGGAUAAGAUAUCCAGGCAUACCGGCGUUUUGAUACCACCAGGAACAGGAAAAAGAAAUUCCAAGGAAUACAAAAAAGUUCAAAAUUGGAUCUAUGUCCAACGAAUUACACCUAGUAAGAAAAGGUUUUUUGUUUUAGUUCGACCUGUCGUCACAUAUGAAAUAACGGACGGUAUAAAUUUAGGAACCCUUUUUCCACCGGAUCCAUUGCAGGAAAGGGAUAAUGUGCAACUUCGAAUUGUCAAUUAUAUCCUUUAUGGAAAUGGCAAACCGAUUCGAGGAAUUUCUGACACAAGUAUUCAAUUAGUUCGGACUUGUUUAGUAUUGAAUUGGAACCAAGACAAAAAAAGUUCUUCUUGCGAAGAAGCCCGUGCUUCUUUUGUUGAAAUAAGGACAAAUGGUUUGAUUCGACAUUUCCUAAAAAUCAACUUAGUGAAAUCCCCUAUUUCGUAUAUCGGAAAAAGGAAUGAUCCGUCGGGGUCAGGAUUGCUCUCUGAUAAUGGAUCGGAUUGUACCAAUAUCAAUCCCUUUUCUGCUAUUUAUUCCUAUUCCAAGGCAAAAAUUCAACAAUCUCUUAACCAACCUCAAGGAACUAUUCAUACGUUGUUGAAUAGAAAUAAGGAAUGUCAGUCGUUGAUAAUUUUGUCAGCAGCCAAUUGUUCUCGAAUGGAGCCAUUCAAAGAUGUAAAAUAUCACAGUGUGAUAAAAGAAUCAAUUAAAAAAGAUCCCCUAAUUCCAAUUAGGAAUUCAUUGGGCCCUUUAGGAACAUGCCUUCCAAUUGAGAAUUUUUAUUCAUCUUACCAUUUAAUAACUCAUAAUCAGAUCUUAGUAACUAAAUAUUUGCAACUUGACAAUUUAAAACAGACUUUUCAAGUGAUUAAAUUAAAAUAUUAUUUAAUGGAUGAAAAUGGAAAAAUUUUUAAUCCCGAUCCAUGCCGUAACAUUAUUUUAAAUCCAUUCAAUUUGAAUUGGUCUUUUCUCCAUCACUAUUAUUGUGCAGAGACAUCUAAAAUAAUUAGUCUUGGACAGUUUAUUUGUGAAAAUGUAUGUAUAGCCAAAAAUGGACCGCCCCUCAAAUCGGGUCAAGUUAUACUUGUUCAAGUUGACUCGAUAGUGAUACGAUCAGCUAAGCCUUAUUUGGCCACCCCCGGAGCAACUGUUCAUGGCCAUUAUGGGGAAACCCUUUACGAAGGAGAUACAUUAGUUACAUUUAUAUAUGAAAAAUCGAGAUCUGGUGAUAUAACACAGGGUCUUCCAAAAGUAGAACAGGUCUUAGAAGUGCGUUCGAUUGAUUCAAUAUCCAUGAAUCUAGAAAAGAGGGUUGAGGGUUGGAACAAAUGUAUACCAAGAAUUCUUGGAAUUCCUUGGGGAUUCUUGAUUGGUGCUGAGCUAACUAUAGCGCAAAGCCGAAUCUCUUUGGUUAAUAAAAUCCAACAGGUUUAUCGCUCCCAGGGGGUGCAGAUUCAUAAUAGGCAUAUAGAAAUUAUUGUACGUCAAAUAACAUCAAAAGUGUUGAUUUCAGAAGAUGGAAUGUCUAAUGUUUUUUCACCCGGAGAACUUAUUGGAUUGUUGCGAGCAGAACGAAUGGGGCGCGCUUUGGAAGAAGCGAUCUGUUACCGAGUCGUCUUAUUGGGAAUAACAAGAGCAUCUCUCAAUACUCAAAGUUUCAUAUCUGAAGCAAGUUUUCAAGAAACUGCUCGAGUUUUAGCAAAAGCGGCUCUCCGGGGUCGUAUCGAUUGGUUGAAAGGCCUGAAAGAGAACGUUGUUUUGGGGGGGGUGAUACCCGUUGGUACCGGAUUCAAGGGAUUAGUGCACCCUUCAAAACAACAUAACAACAUUCCUUUGGAAACAAAAAAAACAAAUCUAUUCGAGGGGGAGAUGAGAGAUAUUUUGUUCCACCACAGAAAAUUAUUUGAUUCUUGUCUUUCAAAAAAAUUCCACGACAUACCCGAACAAUCAUUUAUAGGAUUUAAUGAUUCCUAACAACGGAUUCGUCUCUUUCGCUAUCUGCAUUUGGUAUGGUUAUUUGCUUUGGUAAUAAAAAGAAUAAUGAAUAGAAAAGAAUAAUGGUUUGGGUCGUGUAUCUACGUCCAAUCUACAGUAGAAGAGAAGGUUCCAUCGGAACAAUUAUUUAUUUCAGUUCAGGGUUCCUCGUCUCUUUUUUUUUUUGAAAAAGAAUAAAAAAAGGGGGGGAGGUUGUGGGGAGAAAUGACAAGAAGAUAUUGGAACAUAAAUUUGGAAGAGAUGAUGGAGGCAGGAGUUCAUUUUGGUCAUGGUACUAGGAAAUGGAAUCCUAAAAUGGCGCCUUAUAUCUCUGCAAAGCGUAAGGGUAUUCAUAUUACAAAUCUUACUAGAACUGCUCGUUUUUUAUCAGAAGCUUGUGAUUUAGUUUUUGACGCAGCAAGUAGGGGAAAACAAUUCUUAAUUGUUGGUACCAAAAAUAAAGCAGCUGAUUCAGUAGAGUGGGCUGCAAUAAGGGCCCGGUGUCAUUAUGUUAAUAAAAAAUGGCUUGGCGGUAUGUUAACGAAUUGGUCCACUACAGAAACAAGACUUCAUAAGUUCAGGGACUUGAGAAUGGAACAAAAAACAGGGAGACUCAACCGUCUCCCGAAAAGAGAUGCAGCUAUGUUGAAAAGACAAUUAUCUCGCUUGCAAACAUAUCUGGGCGGGAUUAAAUAUAUGACAGGGGUACCCGAUAUUGUAAUCAUCGUGGAUCAGCACGAAGAAUAUACGGCCCUGCGAGAGUGUAUUACUUUAGGAAUUCCAACAAUUUGUUUAACCGAUACAAAUUGUGACCCCGAUCUCGCAGAUAUUUCAAUUCCAGCGAAUGAUGACGCCAUAUCCUCAAUCCGAUUAAUUCUUAACAAAUUAGUAUUCGCAAUUUGUGAGGGUCGUUCUAGCUAUAUAAGAAAUCCUUGAUUAAUAAUAACAUAAUAAGAUAAAUAACUUACUUCAGAAAUCCCUAGAAAUCCCUUAUGGAAUCGCUUACUAUUUCUGAAUUUCCAAAAAUAGAUCAAAAUAACUGGGGAUAUUAUGUGAUUUAUUAGUAUUCUAAAUCUUAGUUGGUAUUCAAAAUAUCCGAUUCAAGUAGACAAAGAGAUGGUUGAAUCAAAAAAUUUUGUUUAAAGUUCGAUUUUUUCAGAGGGCAAGGCAAUAUGAAUGUUCUAUCAUGUUCCAUCAAUACUCUAAAGGGGUUAUACGAUAUAUCCGGUGUGGAAGUAGGCCAACAUUUCUAUUGGCAAAUAGGAGGUUUCCAAGUACAUGGCCAAGUACUUAUUACUUCGUGGGUUGUAAUUGCUAUCUUAUUAGGUUCAGCCACUAUAGCUGUUCGGAACCCACAAACCAUUCCGACCGGGGGUCAGAAUUUCUUCGAAUAUGUUCUUGAAUUCAUUCGAGAUGUUAGUAAAACUCAAAUUGGAGAAGAAUAUGGGCCCUGGGUUCCUUUUAUUGGCACUAUGUUUUUAUUUAUUUUUGUUUCUAAUUGGUCAGGAGCUCUUUUACCUUGGAAAAUCAUACAAUUACCUCAUGGGGAGUUAGCCGCACCCACGAAUGAUAUAAAUACUACUGUUGCUUUGGCUUUACUCACAUCCGUGGCAUAUUUCUAUGCGGGUCUUACAAAAAGGGGAUUAGGUUAUUUCGGAAAAUAUAUUCAACCAACCCCAAUACUUUUACCCAUUAACAUCUUAGAAGAUUUCACAAAACCUUUAUCACUUAGUUUUCGACUUUUCGGGAAUAUCUUAGCUGAUGAAUUAGUAGUUGUUGUUCUUGUUUCUUUAGUACCCUUAGUAGUUCCUAUACCUGUCAUGCUCCUUGGAUUAUUUACAAGUGGUAUUCAAGCUCUUAUUUUUGCAACUUUAGCCGCGGCUUAUAUAGGUGAAUCCAUGGAGGGCCAUCAUUGAAAUAGUCUUUUUUAGCUUAGCCCACAGCAAUGUAUAAAUGUAUAUGGUGGGUGGCUUAAGAGAAUUACUUAACUUACGGAAUAGAAUAGGGGAAUCUAAAUAUACAACUAUGCUAUAUACGAUCUAGAAUGAUAGCAAAAACAUUACGAUGAUAUUAAAGAGUAAGGGGAAAAAGAUCUUUGUUUUUAGAUCUUUUUCCUAAAAUUCCCCUUUCCUUCACUUAAUAUCAUACUUCGUCUCAAUGAAUAUUCACUUUAGAUUGCUUAGUCCAUCUCAUUAUUAAUUCAUUGUUAAA